CUCAAGUUUUUUACCUGUAUCUAGAUAAGUUUUAGCAUUCAAUUUAUAGGAAAAUAUUUAGUAUAUUGAUAAUAGAGGUUUUAGACUUCACAACUUGACAAAUUUUUAUCAGUAAAAACUCAUCGGCUAUGCUUCACCCUUUCAAUCUCAUUCCCAUUUAACUGACUCACUUUUUCUUCUUACCAUUACAAAAAUAGAAGCAAAAGCAAAGCUCCCUCAGUUUAUUUUGUUCUCUUUUCCUCAAUCUCACAAUCCACUAUCUGUUUUGCCCUUUGCUCGAUUUCGUAAUCUUCUUCGGGUUUUGCCUAUCGAGAAGAUGAGUGAAUGUUAGAGUAUAGAUAAAGACUCUAUUAGUUUAUUAGUUGUUAGUCUGUUAUACAAGCAGUUAUGCUGUUAACUGAAAUUGUUAGUAGCAAUUACUCAUACACAUAUUAUCAAUACUAUUGUUAUACUGGUUAAAUUCAAGAUAAUAAUACAAAAAUCAUUCUCUGCAUAUUCUAUUUUUCUUUCAACUUAAUGUAGAUAUUAACAUAAAGCAAGGUUGUGCCGUAUGCCUACUUUUUUAUUGUCUUACAUUAUAGAUGUGCUUUUUACUUGCAGAGUUUAAAGCAAGGUAGUAUAAGUCAGCCAAAACCUGGGGAUUAAGCUUUGACUUUUUAAAUAUGCUACUAUGAAGGGAAUGAAGAUGGCAGUGAUCGGUGUAAGAAAAACAGAUGAGGAAACAGAGAGUCAAGAGGGAAUUAAUGGCAGAUCUUUGGAAAGGCCAUUAUGCUUGGAAUUUUAGCUAUUCAAAAAAGAGAGGGAAUGAAGAUGGCAGUGAUCGGCGUAAGAAAAACAGAUGAGGAAAUAGAAAGUCAAGAGGGAAUUAAUGGCAGAUCUUUGGAAAGGCCAUUAUGCUUGGAAUUUUAGCUAUACAAAAAAGAGAGGAAUAAGUAAGCUUCUAAUUUCUUCUACUGAAUUAUUGUCAUAUAUUUGUGGUUAAGCUGAGAUAUUGAGGCUUUAUUGCAACCUGUUAACAGAUUUGGCUUGUUGAUAUCAUUCAACUCUGAUAAUUUUAUAUUGCAUUAUUUACAGAAAUCUGUAGGUGUUUAGCUUAGCUGAACAUGUUAUGCGGCUGCAAUGUGGUGUUUGUGUCUUGAAACAAGCGAUGCGAUUUUCUAUAGCCAUUUGCUGCGUACAGUAAGUCUUCGUUGUGAAUUUACAGUCACUGUUUUGGGAGAAUGAUGUUAAGGGGGUGCUGGAACUCCAGCAAUCGUAAAACGUGGCUGUGAUUCGAGCUAUUAUACUGUGCUUGAAGCUUCGAACUAGAGCAUGACAGUUUCAUUGCGUAUCAAUUCAACCUCAGAUUCUUUGGGGGACGUAUCCGAGCUAAUUAAUUGGUCCAUCAAGUGAAAGAUAUCGAUUUUUGAAAAUGUCUUGCUAAGGCAGCGGCCAAGGAUGGGGUGGAUUGGAUUUUAAUGUUUAUGGAAUGGUAUUUAUUGGCAUUAUACAUUAUGUUGUACUGUUGUUUUUUGUUUACUGUGUUGCUUGUAAGCUGUAACUUUUACACUUGGUUUCCUUUAUUUUAUAUGAUCUUCAAACGAUGUUUAAUCAAAAAUUUUCCACUUGAUUGUAGACUUCAUUGUGUGAAACUUAAUCAAUUUCAUUAGAUUGUAAAAUUAGGUAGUCUUAAGAGUAUAUUGUAAUUUGAUAUUGCUAAUUUUACAUAAAGGUCCAUGGAUAAAUUAUACAUUGCGAAUUCUACAAAUGUUUAAGCUAUGAUAACAAUGUCUAAUUCUUCAUUUUAUCAUUACAAAUUAGCUAGUGAUAGCUGUUGCAAACAAUGUUGUUUGAAUUGGUAAUCAGGGAUUUAGUGAGUAAGAAUUGAGUAUUUUAUUACCCAUAAAUUCAAAACUUGAAUCCUAAACUAUGAUCUAAAACAGAAUUUAUAUUUUAUAGUAUAACAAUGGCAGUCCUUUCAAUGAAAUGCACCAUACUUAAAUAUGGUGGUUAGAAAUUGAGUGGAGCUAAGCUUAAGUUUGCCAUAAAGGGGUCCCAUUUUGUACAUCAAAUAUAAAGACUCAACUGUGUUUAAUGGUCCACAGCCUAUACUUUUGUGUAUACAAAUAUGGAUGUCCAUUUCAUGAUUCCCCUGAAAUUAAGGCACUGUUUUCUUCCACCAUUCAUUCUCUAGGGGUCUUAUCUACUACCCUUUCUGCAUUUAUUGGAGAUAUUUGGCACUAAUGAGCUUUGCAUUUUAGAACAAUAUGUAUGACUGUAAUCUGCAGAUUUUCCAUGAAAUUUCAGCGAAAUUCCUUGUAAUAUAGCUUCGUGGAAAAAAAAGAUGAGAAGAUGACUCUUGACUCUGUUUUGCUACUAUUGAUUUGUUUUUGGUUUUUUUUUUUUCAAUCAAUGAAGGAUGAUAAUAACAAGCUCUUAAAAUUUUAUGGGUAAAUUAUCUCGUUAGUCAUUUUAAAUAGGGGUCAUUCCUAUUUUGGUUGCUCUAAUAUUUUUGUUUAAUUUGGUCAUCCAAAAAGGAAAUUGAUCACUCUUCUGUUAAACAAUAAUGGAAUAUUGAUUGUGUAUUUCCAUAUUAGUCAUGCUGAAAUUUUUAUGAUGGAAGCAAUGUUUUUUUAAAAAAAUUCACGUCAGUAUUUCAAUUGGAAUAAUUAAUAGUAAUAUUUACUUGGAUUAAUUGAUGAUAUUAUUGUAGUAAAGGAUCAAAUUAUUCCAUUUUAAAGUAUAAAAAUAAAAAUCUAAAUUUAGGAAUAAUAAUAGGACCAAACAAAAUUUUAAUUGUAAGGACUAAAUUAUAAAAUCUAGAAAUUUUAGAAAAGGGACUGUUUUGCAAAAUUGUACAAAAAGAGGUUUAGAACUGAACUGUAGAGUAAUAAAAUCUAUUUUUGAGGCAUUAAAUUGUAGAAUAGUAAAAAUUUAGAUUCCAGGGACUAAUUCGUAAAAAUAUAAAAUUGAAAUAUGAUGGACUAUUUUCUUCGACAGUGAAGAGAGCUUUUCUUUUGUUGCUCUGGAAGCUUCCCCUUUUUGUUUCUUCGACGGUGAAGGCAGUCAAUAUAGUCUUAUUAGUUUGGAAAAUCUCUAACGGAAAAAAAAAUUGGUAAGAUAUUUUCCUUGAAAAUGUCUUGAUGUUACAUUUUCUUUCAAGAAUUAUUUCUUUUAGUAAUUCAUUUUCCACCAAACAUAGACGGUAAAACAAUGAAAAUAUUUUACGGAAAACAUUUUCCAUACAAACAAAUAGACCAUUAAUUAGAAAACCAAUUCGAUUCUAUAUUUAAAAUAAAUGUAGGCAAGCAUAUUUGUUCGUAAAAAAUCUAUCGAGACUUUCUAAUCAAUUUUGGUAUUGAGCAAAUUGGAUUCUUUUAAAAAAAAUCGAAGCAAUUUAAAUCCCAUCAGUUUCAAAAGUGAGUAAUUAAGGAUAAUUAAUCACAACAUUGAUGUUUUCCAUCAAAUGUAAAUAAUUUUAAUUGGUAUAAUAACAAAUUUACCCCUCAAAGUUUACAAUUAUAAAACUUGUCUUGAUUUAACAAAUUUAGCCAGCAAUAUUUGUGUAAAUGUUUAUACUAAAUUUGUUGAAUUUUCAGAAUUAAGACCAAAUUAACAAAACAUGCAAACAUGGCUAAAUUUUUUGUUAUACCAAUCAAAAUUAUGUACAAUUGACGAAAAAUAUUAACGUCAUGAAUAAUUGUUCUUGUUGCUCACUUUCGAAAUUAAGAAUUAUUAAAUUACUUUGAUUUUUUUGAAAGGGACCGAUUUAUUCAAUUUCAAAAUUGAAAGAGAUUGGAGAGAUAUUUUUACCCAAACUCACCUUACCUAUGUUCAGAAGAAAGAACUAAACUGGAAACCCCCAAAAGCGCGCACAAAGAAAAUCUAUCAUUGUUUCACCUAAGAAAAAUAGAAACACAACAUCCUUCCUUCCAAAGACUUUUCAUUUAGGGGAAAAGGGUGGCGAUUAUUCUUGAGAAAGUUGUAGGAAACUUAAGUUGAAUUCACCUAAAAUUAUCUAGAAGUGGCAAUUAUUCUUAAGAAAGUUAUACCAAAUUUUAGUUCAAUCGACUCAAAUGACAAAAUGCAUAAGAGUCAAUAUUUUUGUUAGGAAAUUUAUAAGAUAUUUUAUCAUAACCCAAAACGAAAUUCAAGAAUGGUGACAAUUUUUUUUUGAAGUUAUACGUUUAAUUACAAAAUCAAUUAAUAUUUAUUUUUCUUAUAGAUGAUUAUCACAUUAUUUAAAUAAUCUUUUGUACUUUUAUCAUACCCCAAAUAAGUCUUUAAAGUCUAAAUAACCCUUAAUUUUUAACUUGUAUUUAGAUAAGUUUUAGCAUUCAAUUAAUAAGAAAAUAUUUGGCAUAUUGAUAAUGGAGAUUCUAGAUUCCACAAGCGGAGGCGGUAUUAAAAUUUUUAUCAGUAAAAACUCAUCCGCUAUGCUUCACCUUUUCAAUCUCAUUCCCAUUUAAUUGACUCACUUUUUCUUCUUACCAUUACAAAAAUAGAAGCAAAAGCAAAGCUCCCUCAAUUUAUUUUGUUCUCUUUUUCCUCAAUCUCACAAUCCAUACACUUACAUGGCGUCUUCUUCAUCUUCUUCUCGUCAAGUGAAACAUCAAGUUUUCUUGAGCUUCAGAGGUGAAGACACGCGUGUUAACUUCACCGCUCAUCUACUCCAAGCUUUGAAAGACAAGGGAUGGACUGUCUUCUUCGAUGACGAUACACUAAAGAAAGGGGAGAAAAUUUCAUCAGCACUUUCGAAUGCAAUUGCGGCCUCAAUUCUCUCCAUCAUCAUUUUAUCUAAAGACUAUGCUUCUUCAAAUUCAUGCUUAGGUGAACUUUCUGACAUCAUGGAUCGCAAGCGCAAUCCUACUGACAAAUAUAUUGUUCUUCCCAUCUUUUACCAUGUUAAUCCUUCCCAUGUGCAAAAAAUUGGUGGGACUUUUAAGACAUCCUUCCAAAAGCAUGAAUCAAAGCAACCAGCUGAUAGAGUACAACGAUGGAAAUCUGCAUUUCAAGAGGUCGGUGCAUUAAAAGGGUGGCAUAUAGGAGGCAAAUCCGAUAGGUAACAAUAUAUCUAGUCUCAUCUCCUUAUAUUUUACUUAUACGAAUAUCUUUCUUUUGACUCUCGAUUUUUUAACUAUUUUCUAGAUAUGAAACAGAGUACAUUGAAGAUGUGGUUGAAUAUAUUUCAAAAGAGUUGGAUAGCAAUUGUACAAGUGUUUCUGAAGAAUUGGUUGGAAUAAAUGAUCAAAAAAAGAUAAUUUUGGGGCUGAUUGAGCAAGAGCAUAGCCGUGUAAUAGGACUUUGGGGAAUGGGUGGUAUUGGCAAAACUACCCUUGCUGAUGUUGCGUAUAGUGAAAUCUGCCAAAAUUUUGAAAGCCACUUGUUUCUGCGAAAUGUUAGUGAGAAAAUAAAAAAUGUAGGGAAUGAAUCUUUACGAAAUGAACUUUUUUCCAAAUUAUUAAACCAAAAAGGAAUUUGUAUCAACAGCCCUUCCAUAGGACACCCUUACCAAGAGCGGUUGAACAAUAAAAAAGUACUUGUUGUCCUUGAUGAUGUUAGUAACCCAGAUCAAAUAGAAUUUAUGGGUGUUAAACAUUUUGGUCCAGAAAGUAAAAUCAUUGUAACAUCUAGAGAUAGACAGGUACUUAAAAAUGGAAGAGCUAACCACAUAUAUGAGGUGAAGAAGUUGAAUGAGAAUGAUUCUCUUCAACUUUUUUCUACACUUGCAUUUAACUUGUUGACUCCCGCAGCUGAUUUUCAAGAUCUAUCAUGCAAGUUUGCAGGAUAUGCCCAAGGUAAUCCACUUGCACUUAAAGUUUUGGGUUCUAAACUAUAUACAAAGUCUAGAAAAGAGUGGGAGAGCGAAGUGGAUAGUCUAAAGCAAUAUGCCGAGCCAAAAAUGUCACAUAUUUUGAAGAGUAGCUUAGAUGGGUUGCGUGAGCUAGAAAAGAAUAUAUUUCUUGACAUAGCAUGCUUCUUUAAAGGAGAAAAAAUGGAUACUGUAGAAAAAAUUCUAAGUAACUAUUAUAUGGGUGCAAUGAGUGGAAUAAGAAACUUAGUCGACAAGUGCUUACUUGAUAGCAUAGAUUGUUAUUCUAUGCACGACAUGCUUGAAGAGAUCGGCAAGGACAUUGUUCGCCAAGAAUGUAAAGAAGACCCGGGAAAGCGUAGCAGGUUAUGGUUUCCUGAAGACGUAGAUCAAGUGCUCAGAUAUAAUAAAGUAAGCGCUAAUUGUAUUUACAGUGUUUUCUAUUAUUUUAUAUAUUUGUGUUAUUUUAAUUAAAAUUUAUUUGUGAUAUCAUGUAAAUAUAUAAAUUCAGUUAAUUAUAUGUUUUCAUACGUUAAAAGUUUAAUUGUUUGUAUUUAUAUUGUAUCAAAUGUUAAUCAUUUUAAUUAUUAUUUCAAAAAAUAAAAUAUCAGUUUACUUACCAUGCAUACAAAUAAAGACAAAUGUCUUAAGAGUAUAACAUGGGAUCUACUCAAGGAUUUACUGGGUUGGUACUUAUUUAAUGCAUUGCUUUUAAAAAACAGCAAAAUGUAUCUUUAUGUACUGAUACUUGAUAAAAUGUUUUUCAUUAUUAGGGGACCGUAUCAAUUGAAGGAAUAAAAUUAGACAUGUUUCAAAUGGAUGAGCUGCAGUUAUGUCCAUCUGUUUUUCAGAACAUGCUUAAUCUUAAAUAUAUUUGCUUCUAUGAUUCAAAGAUUGAGAAGGGCUAUCGAAAUCCGAAGUUUCUUAUAGAGCAAGUUGAUAGUAUAUCUCUUCCUAAUAAGCUAAGGUACCUUUGUUGGGAUUAUUUUCCCCUUAAAACUUUAUCAAGUUUUAAUCCAAAGAAUCUUGUCAUGUUGAUAUUACGAAGUGGCAAUAUGGAACAACUGUGGAAUGAAAAUGAUCAUAUGGUAUGUGCUUUCAUACUUUCUCCAUCUAAGAAUUUUUUUAAGGAAAAAAAAUUAUAAUUUGAUGUAUCAAAUGAUCAUAUGAUGACAUCUUAUUUAAAGUUUUAAAAAAAAUAAAUAUAAAAGAUUUUAUUUUAUUUAAAUAGGUGACAUCAUUUGAUCUAUUAAUUGUGGGUGAAAUUUCAAGUCCAAUACAUCGGUAUAAGUUUUUGUUUUUCUUAUUAUUAUAAUUAUUUAUUUCCUUUCCAUUUUUUAUUGCCUAAAGUAAGUGGAUGACAUUUAAAUUUUUUUCCUGUACAGAAUCUUGUUAAUUUAAGGGAAAUUGACGUCUCAAAUUGCAAAAAAUUAAGGAAGAUACCUAAUCUUUCAAGAGCCCUCAACCUUGAACUCCUUGAUUGCUCUUACUGUGAAAGUUUGUUUGAACUUCCUUGCCUCAAUCAUUUGGCAUCUCGUGAUGAGGAUAAGCUUCGCCUUGAGGGAUGUUAUAGUCUCAAGAAGUUUCCUCAGGUCCCAAGUCACUUUUGUUAUUUAGAUUUACGAGAAACUGAAAUACAAGAAGUACCUGAUGCAAUUAAGUAUCUCCACAAACUUGAAAGAUUGUUGUUGAGCAAAUCAAAGGUAGAAAAAGUAUCGAUCAAUAUUUCAAAGUUGGAACUCCUUAGUGAAUUGAAUCUUAGUGAAUGCCCAAUGGUCGAAUUUCCAAAAAUCCCGAGGAGCUUAACAUGGUUAGACUUAUCUGGAACUGGAAUUGAAGAAGCUGCCUUGUCGUUAGACUCUUUAAGUAAUCUUCAAUACUUAAAUAUGAGCGGCUCAAGUAUUCAAAAGCUAAUGUGUAAUAUCACCCUGUUCGGUUCCAGAGAGUUUCCAACUGUCGAUUUGCCCACACCAAGCUUGAGGUCUAAAAUCCUUAACCAUAUGAGGAUGGAUCGUUGCGAGAGCCUCAAAUUACUCUCGGAGCUUCCACCAUAUAUGCAAAACUUGAAUGUACAAUGCUGCACAUCAUUAGAAAAAGUUUCCUUUGCAGAUCAAGAUUUAUAUCAGUUCGAUUCGUUAGGUGAUGAUUUGUUUGGCAUGCUAUUCUGUAAUUGCAUCAACUUGAAUCAAGAGUCAAUUGAUAACAUUGAGGAAAAUGCCAUGCUCAAAAUUGGAUCCCUAGCUAAGAAAUGGGCAGCGAGAUAUGAUUGGAAAUACCAGCGAGAAGACUUUCCAAGAUUGAUUUGUUGUUUCCCAGGAAACAAAAUUUCAGCAGAUAAGUUCAAGUGUCAGAGAAUGAAUUCUUCCUUGAGUUUGAAGAUUGCCCCAAAUAGGGGUAGUGGGAGCAGAUUUUUGGUUUUUGCUAUUUGCCUUGUGGCUGAUCUCACUCACUGCCAUCGCUUUAAAUAUCUUAAUUGUAUUUGUGAGUACCACCUUACAGCCGCCGGUGGUGGUGAUUCUAAAAGCUACAUAAGUAAGAUAUCUUUCUUCGAUUGUUCUGAGCCAAAUAAGUACAAGGGUGAUCACGUGUUUAUUCUAUCUAGCAACGACAUGGUUGAAGAAGACAAGAACUAUGAAGAGGCAUCAUUUAAAUUCUACAUCAUCGACAAUGAUGAUGAAGUUAAUGAAGAAGAAGACUAUAACAAGGUGGAAAGAUGUGGUGUUCAUGUAUUUUACGUGGAUGCUACUGAAAAGAGAGUUGCUGGGAACAAAAGAAGCUUUAGCCAUGAUGGUGAAGAAGGGGAUGGAGGACUUAAAAGAUUGAAAUAGUUUGUAUUUCUUUUCAUCUUUGGCUCUGUUUUUGAGGAGUUCCAACUUCUCAAUUAUGUCAUCCAAAUGCAUAGUUAGGGGUUUCAUUUUCAUCUCAUUUUUUCAUAUUAUCAUAAAUCUUCAUGUUAUUUUUCAUAUUGCCAUACUUUUGUUUUCCACAACUGUUAAUAGUAAAUUUUCAACUUAUAAAUUAGUGACAGAAAAUGAAGUGCUUUAAUUAAUUAAAACCAACCAGAAUGAAUCUAACUUGCUCUGCUUUAUAAAUUACUUGUCUUUUAGAAGGUGCUUUGCCAUACUGAAUCCUUGUAGUUCCACAUUGUAAAUGUUAAAAGCAUAAUUUAUGAACAUAAAAUUGGAAAUUUGUUCAAUAGUUUGUGAUAGUUGCUUAUUAUUAUUUUUUCUCAUCUUCAUUCCGCCGUAAUGUCUGUGUUGUUUUGUAGAUAUAGCAUACAUUGUCCAAGAACGAAAUUCUCCAUAUAUAUUAAUUAAUUUGGAGGAAAAUUGAACGGAAACUAGAGAUUUCAACACAGUAGCAAAAUGAUUCUGCUUUGGAGUUGAUAAAAUAUCCAUAGAGGAUUUUGGUGGGUACCAAAACUCAGAUAUUAAAAUUCAUACUUAAUUCUUAUUGACAGUUGACUUGUUUUUGGUUGGUUUUUUUAAUUCAUAGGGCCAAAUGUGGACUCGAUUCAGCUUCAUUGUUUAGUUUCCAGCAUUGGUGUCAUCUGGUAUCUCAAUACUUGCUGCAUUUUCUUCCAUUAGAAAGAUUGGUUAUUUGUGAGAUACGUUUUUCUUAUAUCCUUUGCUUUUGUGUUGAUGUAAGACGAAGGAAUGACAGAUCUUUGUGAAUGCCACUGCUGAAUUGGAGCUUUAGCCAUACAAGGAGGAACACCUGAGCUGUAAGAGCUUCAAUUUGUUUUACUGAAUGCUUGCUUUAUACAAGUGUUUGAACUGAUAUUUGGUGAAAAUGCAAGUUGUCAACAGAGUUGUCUACACAAAUGCAGAGUAAUCUUUUGAGGCCCUUUCUAGGUUCUGGCAAUUCAGUCUUGGUGGAGAAGUAAGUUACCUUUGACUUUGACUUCUUAUUAUGAUUUUAGGUUCAUAUGAUGAUUUUAAGCAUCCUUAAUCUUUUUUUUCCCAUAUUUAUCAAUGGGAUUAUAUAAAUCCAAAAUUUGCAACAGAUCUCAAAACUUGUGAGAUGAACACAUGGAGCUGGAGGCAACCUUUGACAGUUUUCAUUCUCAAGCUAGAUUGAGUUAGUUUCAUGGUAGAGGCAUUGGAGUUUGGGCUGAAAUUUCUUUGUAUGUUACUGCCUCUCAUGUUGUUUGAGCUUUGCAGUGAAGAGAUAUUAAGAUUCAUACUUGAAUUCUUUUUGGCAAUUGACUUGUUAUUGGAUGGUUUUGAUUCAUAGGAUCUGUGGUGGACAUCAUUUAGCUUAAUUUUUUGGGUAUUCGAUUUAUUUGAAUUAUUUGGAUUCUUUGAAUUCGAAAAAUCCUCGAAUUGAACUCGAAAUUUGAAAAAAAAAAUCAAGUUGAGUCAAUUAAUUCGAUUAACUCACUUAACUUGAUUCGAAUAAUUUGAAAUUCGACUUUUUUUUUCAAUGUUUUCGAAUAGAAUCGAAUUUUGCUCAUUCCUACUUGCUAAACAAUUUAGGUGAAUCCUUUUUUAAUUAGAAAACUGAUUCGAUUCUAUGUUUAAAAUAAAUGUAAGCAAGCAUAUUUGUUGGUAAAAGAUCUAUUCAAUCUCUCUCAAUGUUGAUAUUUAGUAAAUUGAUCUCUCUUAAAAAAAUUAGAACAAUUUAAAUUCCAUCAAUUUCGAAAGUGAGCAAUUAAGGUAAAUUAAUCACAACAUUAAUGUUGUCCAUCAAGCGUACAUAAUUUUGAUUGGUAUAAUAACAAAUUUACCCCUUAAAUUUUACAAUUUUGUCUUGAUUUAACAAAUUUAGCCCACAACAUUCGUGUAAAUGUUGAUACUAAAUUUAUUGAUUUUUUAGAACCAAGACCAAAUUGACAAAAAAUGGAAACAUUGAAGGCUAAAUUUAUUGUUAUACCAAUCAAAAUUAUGUACAAUUGACGAAAGACGUUAACAUCACGAUUAAUUGUCCUUAGUUACUCACUUUUAAAAUUAACAAUGAUUAAAUUACUUUAAUUUUUUUUUGAGAGUGACCAAUUUAUUCGAUUCCAAAAUUGAAAGAAACUAAAGAGGUCUUUUUAACCAAACUCACAUUACCUGUGCUCAAAAUAAAGGAUUAAACAGGAAACCCCCAAAGCACAAAGAAAAUCUAUCAUAAUUUUACCUAGGAAAAUAGAAACCCUUCAUUCCAAAGACUUUUCAUUUAGGGGAAAAAAGUGAAAAUUAUAAAGUUUGGGAAAUUUAAGUUCAAUUCACUUAAAAUUGUCUAAAAGUGAUUCUUAUUCUUAAAGAAAAUUAUAUGAGAUUUCAGUUCAAUUGACCCAAAUCACAAAGUGUGUAGAAGUCAAUAUUUUUGUUAGGACCCAAAAAGAAAUUCAAGAAUGGAAAUUUAUUUACUUAACAAUUUUGUGCCAAUGGAAGACCUUGACUUGGAAAUUAACACCCCCCAACAUCAUUGGAACAAUUUUUCUUGUUGAUAAUAAUCUUUAAGACAAAAAUAGCAUCACAUACAUACACAAGAGCUGAGUUACUUGAUUUACAAAUCAAAGUUCCAUAUAUUAAAAUAAAUUUUAAUUAUAAAAAUUUCAAACUUCAAAAAAAAAAAAAGAAAAAAAAAGAGAGAGCAGAGCAAGCAGCACAGUUAAUUUUAUUUGGUUCGAGUUUUUGAUGGUAGGCAGCAGAGUUAAAGGCUUUUGGAGAGAUAGAGUUUGAUUGGUGGUGCGGUUUCUAAGGUCCACACGCACAUUCUUCACUCAUAAAAUUGGCUAUGCUUCACCCUUUCAAUCUCAUUCCCGUUUAAUUGACUCGCUUUUUCUUCUUACCAUUAAAAAGAUAGAAGCAAAAGCAAAGCUCCCUCGGUUUAUUUUGUUCUCUUUUUCCUCAAUCUCACAAUCCAUACACCUUCAUGGCGUCUUCUUCAUCUUCUUCUCGUCAAAUGAAGCAUCAAGUUUUCUUAAGCUUCAGAGGUGAAGACACGCGCCUUAACUUCACCGUUCAUCUACUCCAAGCUUUGAAAGACAAGGGACUGAAUGUCUUCUUCGAUGAAGAAAAACUAGAGAAAGGGGAGGAACUUUCACAUGCACUUUCACAAGCAAUUGCAGCCUCAGAUCUCUCAAUCCUCGUUUUAUCUAAAGACUAUGCUUCUUCACAAUCAUGCUUAGCUGAACUUUCUGACAUCAUGGAUCGCAAGCGCAUGCCCACGGACAAACAUAUUGUUCUUCCCAUCUUUUACCAUGUUGAUCCUUCCGAUGUGCGAAAUAUUGGUGGGACUUUUAAGACAUCCUUCGAAGAGCAUGAAUCAAAGAGACCAAUUGAAGACAUGAAGCGAUGGAAAGUCGCCUUCGCUGAAAUCGGUGCAUCAAAAGGGUGGCAUAUAGAAGGAGGCAAAUCCGAUAGGUAACAAUACAUACAUUCUCAUCUUCUUAUAUUUGACUUAUAUAUAUAUCUUUCUCUUUUGACUGUUGAUUUUUUUUUUUAAUUUUCUAGAUUUGAAACUGAGUACAUUAAAGAUGUCGUUGAAUAUGUUUUAAAAAAGUUGAAUAGCAAUUGUAGAAGUGUCUCUGAAGAAUUGGUGGGAAUAGAUGAUCAAAAAAAGAAGCUUUUGGUGUUGAUUGAGCAAGCGGGCAUCCAUGUAAUAGGACUUUGGGGCAUGAGUGGUAUAGGCAAAACUACCCUUGCUGAUGCUGUAUAUAAGGAAGUCUCUCCAAAGUUUGAAUGUAGUUUGUUUCUUCAAAACAUUAGUGAGAAAAUAAAGAAACAGGGGAGUGAAUCUUUACGAAAUGAACUUCUUUCCAAACUAUUAAACAAUACUCUUUCCAUAGGAUACCCUUACCACGAGAGGCUGAAUAAUAAAAAAAUACUUCUUGUCUUUGAUGAUGUUACUGACCCAGACCAAAUGGAUUUUGUGGGUGUUAAAUAUUUUGGUCCUGGAAGUAAAAUCAUUGUAACAUCUAGAGAUAUACAAGUACUUAGGAAUGGAGGAGCAAACCACAUACAUGAGGUAAAGAAGUUAAACAUGAACGACUCUUUUCAACUUUUUUCUACAUAUGCAUUUCAAUUGUUGAAUCUUCCAGUUGAUUUCAAAUAUCUAUCAUUCAAGUUUGUAGAAUAUGCCCAAGGUAAUCCACUUGCUCUUAAAGUUCUGGGUUUGAAAUUAUAUACAAAGUCUAUAAAAGAGUGGAAGAGCGAGGUGACUAAACUAAAGCAAUGUGGAGAAAUAAAACUUUCACAUAUUUUGAAGAGUAGCUUAGAUGGGCUGGAUGAGUUAGAGAAGAAUAUAUUUCUUGACGUAGCACGCAUCUUUAAAGGGCAACACUUGAAUUACGUAGAAAAAAUUCUAAGUAAUUAUUAUAAAGGUGCAAGAUGUGGAAUAAGUAAAUUGGUCGGCAAGUGCCUACUUGAGGUCAAAUAUGAAUCUAUUUCUAUGCAUGGCAUGCUUGAAGAGAUGGGCAAAGACAUUGUUAUGCAAGAAUCUGAAUACCCUGGAAAGCGCAGUAGAUUAUGGAAUUGUAAAGAUGUGGAAGAAGUGAUCAGCUAUGAUAAAGUAAGUGUUAAUAGUAUUUAUAUUCUUUCUAUUCUUUCACAUGGUUUAAUAGAUGUUGUGGUGUACAAAAUAUUAUCCUUUUUAAUUAUUAUUUUAAAAAAUAAAAUAUUUAUUACUUCCCAUAAACAUAAUGACCAAAUGUCUUAUGAUGCAACAGUCAACAUGGAAUUUGCUGAAGGUUUUUUGAGUUUGUUAAAUAUAUAAUGCUUUACUUUAAAAAAAAUUAAACAGUAAAAACUUUGUGCAUCUAAAAAUUCCUCUAAUAAAAAGGUAUGCCAAGUUAGUUUAAAGUAUUUCCUAAUUUAAUUAACUUUUUUAUGACUGAUUUAAUGGAAUGUCCAUAAAUUUUUUUGUGUUAAUUCAUGAUAAACAAUUUUUUUGUCAGGGGACUGACCUAAUUAAAGGAAUAAAGGUAGACAUGACUGAAGUUGAUAGUCUACAGUUUUGUGCUACUGCUUUUGAGAAGAUGCAUAAGCUUAGAUAUAUCAACAUCAGCUUUCCUAAGAAAAUGUUGUGGCUUAAGAAGCUAUAUGCAAAUCAAGUUGAGAGUAUAUCUCUUCCUGAUGAGUUAAGGUUUCUCCGUUGGGAUGUUUACCCUUUCAAAUCUUUAUCUGGUUUUAAUCCAAAAAAUCUUGUCGUGUUGAAACUAUUACAUGGCAACAUGGAACAACUUUGGAAUGAAGACGACGAUAUGGUAUAUACUUUCAUACUUUCUUCAUCUAAGAAGUUUUUUUUAAGGAGAAAGAGGAUUUAUAAUUUGAUGUGUCAAAUAAUAUAUCGGAUGAUAUUUAUUUAAAGUUUUUAAAAUAUAAAUAUGAAACAUUUUAUUUAUUUAAAUAAGUGAAAUCAUUUUAUUUAAUUUUUUUAAAUAUAUAUAUAAAUUUAUUUUAUUUUUCUAAAAGAAGCAAUUUCAUCUAUUAAUGGUGGGUGUGAAUUAAUACACCCAAUAUAAAUUUUUAUUUUGAUAGUCUUAAUAUAAGUAGAUGAUGCUCUAAAGUAAUCAUCCUGUGUAGGAUCUUGUCAAUUAUUUAUUUUCUUUUUAUUUCUUACUUUCUAAAGUAAGUAGAUGAUACUUAAGAAGGAUAUAAUUAUUUUUAUAUAUUUUUCUUUUGCACAGAACCUUACUAAUUUAAGGGAAAUUGACGUUUCAUAUUGCAAGAAUUUAAGGAAGAUGCAUAAUCUUUCAGGUGCCAUCAACCUUGAACUCCUUCGUUGCAUUGGCUGUGAAAGUCUGGUUGAACUUUGGAGUGAAGAUGAUCAUAUAGUAUGUGUGCUUUCAUACUUAUUUCAUUUAAGAAUAUAUUUUUUUAAUUUAAUGUAUCAAAUAAUCAUAUGUUAUGUUGACAUCUUAAUUAAAGUUUUUACAAAAGAAAUAUGAAAGAUUUUAUUUUAUUUUAUAUAAAUUAGUGGCAUCAUUUGAUCUAUUAAUUGUGGGUUAAUUUUCAUGCCCAAUACAUCAAAUAUGAAUUUUUAUUUUUCUUAGUAUUAUAAUUAUUUAUUUCCUUUUUCUUUUUUUACUACUUAAAGUAAGUAGUUGAUGCUUAAAAGCAAUACAAAUGUUGUUUCUAUACAGGAGCUUGUUAAUUUAAGGGAAAUUUACGUUUCAGAAUGCAAAAAUAUAAGGAAGAUAUGUAAUCUUUCAAGAGCCAUCAACCUUGAAUUCCUUGAUUGCUCUUACUCUAAAAGUUUGGUUGAACUUUGGAAUGAAGAUGAUCGUAUGGUAUGCGUUUUUAUACUCUCUCUUUUUUUUGAAAAAAAUAAUUUAUAAUUUGAUGUAUCAAAUAUUCAUAUGAUAAUAUUUUAUUUAACGGUUUUUAAAAAUAUAUAUAAAAGAAUUUAUUUUAUUUAGAUAAGUGACAUCGUUUGAUUUAUUAAUACAUCAAAUAUAAAUUUUUAUUUUUAUUGUAUUAUAAUUAUUUAUUUCCUUUACAUAUUUUACUGUCUAAAGUAAGUGGUGGAUGCUUAGAAGUAGAACAAUUAUUUUUUCUGUACAGGACCUUGUUCAUUUAAGGAAAAUUUACUUUGAUGGGUGCGUGAAUUUAAGGAAGAUACCUAACCUUUCAAGAGCCAUCAACCUUGAAUUCCUUGGUUGCUCUAACUGUAAAAGUUUGGUUGAACUUCCUUGCCUCAAUCAUUUGGCAUCUCUUCAUCAAUAUAGUCUUCGCCUUAACGGAUGUUAUAGUCUCAAGAAGUUUCCUAAGGUCCCACGUCCCUUUUGUUCUUUAGAUUUACCAGAAACCAAAGUAGAAGAAGUGUCUGAUUCAAUUAAGGAUCUCCACAAACUUGAAACUUUGUGGUUAGGGAAGUCAAAGGUGAAAAAAGUAUCGAUCAAUAUUUUAAAGUUGGAAUUCCUUCGUAAAUUGGAUCUUAGUGGUUGCCCAAUUGAAGAAGUGUCGUUGCCUUUCGACCCCCUAUGUAAUCUUCAGCACUUAAAAAUGAGUGGCUCAGCGGUCAAAAAUGUAUCGAUCAAGUUGGAAUCCCUUCGCAAACUGAAUCUUAGUGGAUGCCCAAUGGUCAAAUUUCCAGAAAUCCCAGGAAGCUUAAUAAAAUUAAACUUAUCUGGCACUCAAAUUGAAGAAGUGUCGUUGCCUUUCGACUCUCUAUGUAAUCUUCAGCACUUAAAUAUGAGUGGCUCAGCGGUCAAAAAUGUAUCGAUCAAGUUGGAAUCUCUUCAUUAUCUGGAUCUUAGUGGUUGCCCAAAGAUCGAAUUACUCUCAGAGCUUCCACCAUAUCUGGAAGUCUUGAGUGUAAAUGACUGCACAUCAUUAGAAAAAGUAUCCUUUACAGAUCAAAAUUUAAAUCAGUUUGAUUCUUUAGAUGAUGAGUAUUGCAUAAAUCAUAACUUUUUAAUGCGAUUCCGUAAUUGCUUCAACUUGAAUCAAGACUCAACUAAUAACAUUGAGGCAAAUGCCAUGCUCAAAAUUGGAUCCCUAGCUAAGAAAUGGGCAGCGAGAUAUGAUUGGCAAUACAACCCUGACAGAGCUCCAAGUUUGAUUUGUUGUUUCCCAGGAAACAAAAUUUCAGCAAAUAUGUUCAAGUGUCAGAGCAUGAAUUCUUCCUUAAGUUUGAAGAUAGCCCCAAAUGGGGGUAGUGGGAGCAGAUUUUUGGUUUUUGCUAUCUGUCUUGUGGCUGAUCUCACUCACUGCCUUGAAUUUCAAUUACGUGAAUGUAUUUGUGAGUACCAACUUACAACCGCCGGUGGUGGCAAUGGUGGAGGUGGUUGUGAAAAUUUCAGAAGUGAGAUACGUUUCCGCAGUUUUUAUGAGCCAGUUAAGUACAUGGAUUAUCACGUGUUUAUUCUAUCUAGCAUCGACAUGGUAAUAGAAGACAAGAAUUAUGAGGAGGCAACAUUUGAAUUCUACAUCAAAAAUUUCCAUUUCGAUGAAGACAAUGAUGGAGGAGAAAAGUAUAUCAAGGUGGAGAGAUGUGGUGUUCAUGUAUUUUACGUGGAUGCUACUGAAAAGAGAGUUGCUGGGAACAAAAGAAAAGCUUUAGCCAUGAUGGUGAAGAAGGGGAUGGAGGACUUAAAAGAUUGAAAUAGUUUGUAUUUCUUUCCAUCUUUGGCUCUGCUUUUGAGGAGUUUCAACUUCUCAAUUAUGUCAUCCAAAUGCAUAGGUAAGGGUUUCAUUUCAUCUCAGUUUUUCAUAUUAUCAUAUAUUUUUUAGUUUUUUCAUUUCAUUUUUCAUAUUGCCAUACUUUUGUUUUCCACAAUUGUUAAUAGUAAAUUUUGAACUUAUAAAUUAAUAACAGCAAAUGAAGUGCUUUAAUUAAUUAAAACCGACCAGGAUGAAUCUAACUUGUUCUGCUUUAUAAAUUACUUGUCUUUCAGAAGGUGCUUUACCAUACUGAAACCUUGUAGUUCUACAUUGUAAAUGUUAAAAACAUAAUUUAUGAACAUAAAAAUUGGAAAUUUGUUCAACAGCUUGUGAUUUUUGCUUAUUAUUAUUAUUAUUAUUUUUUCCAUCUUCAUCCCCCUGUUGUGUCUGUGUUCUUAAAAUUCAGAUAUUAAGAUUCAUACUUAAUUCUUAUUGACAGUUGACUUGUUAUUGGUUGGUUUUUUUUAAUUCAUAGGACCAGUGGUGGACUCGAUUCAGCUUCAUUGUUUAGUUUCCAGCAUUGGUGUCAUCUGGUAUCUCAGUACUUGCUGCAUUUUCCUUCAAUGACAUCUAGAUUCAUUAGAAAGAUUGGUUAUUUGUGCCACUGCUGAAUUGGAGCUUUAGCCAUAUAAGGAGGAGCACCUGAACUGUAAGAGCUUCAAUUUGUUUUGCUGAAUGCUUGUUUUAUACAAGUGUUUUAACUGAUAUUUGGUGACAAUGCAAGUUGUCAACAGAUUUGUGAACACGACUUCAAAGUAAUCUUUUGAGGCCCUUUCUGGGUUCUGGCAAAUUCAGUCUUGAUGAAGAAGUUACCAUUGACUUUGACUUAAUUAUCAUGAUUUUAGGAUCAUAUAAUGAUUUUCAGCAUCCUCACCAUUUUUUCCCAUAUUUAUCAAUGGGAUUAUAUAAAUCCAGAAUUUGCAAGAGAUCUCAAAACUUGUGGGAUGAACACGUGGAGCUAGAUGGAACCUUCGGCAGUUUUCAUUCUCAAGCUAGAUUGGGUUAGUUCCAGGGUAGAGCCAUUGGAGUUGAUAGCUUCUUACCUUGGAUUUUGAUUGUCGUAUCAGUUUGGGCUGAAAGUUCUUUGUAUGUUACUGCCUCUCAUGUUGUUUGAGCAUUGCAGUGAAGAGAUAUUAAGAUUCAUACUUGAAUUCUUUUUGGCAAUUGACUUGUUAUUGGUUGGUUUUGAUUCAUAGGAUCUGUGGUGGACAUCAUUCAGCUUAAUUGUUUAGGUUCUACCAUUGGUGCUUGUGCCAUGGGCAGUAAGUAGAGAUUUAAUCAUAUUGUAUCUCAAGACUAUCUGCAUUUUACUUCAAUGAUUCGUUCACCCAUUGAUUUAUGCUCAUAUUUCCUUAAAAUGUUAGUAAAUAUAUAUGUUUUCAGUUCAUGAUUUCUGAUUUAUAUUCAUGUUAGAUAAGGUAAACCUACCAACUGUUCCCUAUAUAUAAUCAAUAGAUGCUUGAGAUUGGUUAAUCUUCUAACAUAUGGUUUUAUAUUGAUCACAGAGUAGGUGUUUUCUAUUUGUUAUGUUUUAUUUUUUUUGAAUUUUAUGACCGUGAUCCGUAGUUUCCAUAAAAUUUUAAUGAAAGUCAAGUCGGACAUAGUGCUGCACAUAAUUCCUCCCAUUCAUUCUCAAUUGUGGAAUUCACAAUCUGCCAGAAAUCAUACUCAUAAGAUUUCCCUAGCUUCCUUCCUGACCAAUUUGCAAACAUGUCCCUCGCACAAUUCCUAUGCUCCACCUUUGGCGAUAUGUCAGAAAUUACAAUCUGAAGGCCUUAAUUGUGUUUUAAUGAACCAAAUAGAUUAUUAGAAAAAUAUAGUUAAUUAUACUUAACAAAAUAAAAAGACAAGACCAAGCCCAAAUUAGUUAAUUCACUAACCUUUUGUUGGUCCUUGAUAAUUGUUUAAUUCGGCUCGGUUUGGUUCACAAUUUCUUAUAUUAAUUUUUUGUUUUGAUUUUUAAGGUUUAUUUUGAUAAAAUGAGUUUUGUUUUAUGGCUUUUAAAUAUUAUUUGAUAAAUUUCAAAUUUAUUUUCAUAAAUAUUUCUAAAAUACAAUAAUUUUUCAAAAACUUUUAAAUUACUUUCACUAUUUUAAAUAUAAAAUAUGUAUUUUUAUAUCAAAAAAGUUAAAAUUAAUUAUAUAUGAAAUAAAAAAUAAAAUUCGAUUCGAUUUCAGAUAAUAACCAAUUUUUUAGUAAAAAACAAACAAACAAAUAAAAAUUACAUCAAACUAAAUUGAUCAAAAGCACCCUUAACUUUUAUCUUGAUUUAAAAUAUUUAAAACAUCACGAGGGACUUUAUUAUAAAACUGUAAACUUAUCCUCUCAACUAAGCUCAAUUAAUCGCCAUUUUUAAAUUUAUAUUUUAUUAAUCGUUGAAAUAAGAAACAUUUUGGGUUUGAUGGGCCCACCCACCAUCAAAACACUCCCACUUUUGCGGUAAAAGAUAAAAAGGAGAAUUGAUUAUCUCCGGUGGUGUUGACUAAGAUAAUUGGCUAAGCUCAAGUCUAAGGAAAACGCCUUCAAUCUCUUUCCCAUUUAAUAAAAGGAUACCAAAGAUUAUGCAUAUUUUACACUUUUUCUUCUUACAAUAAUACCACAACCCAAGCAAAACUCACUUGCUAUAUUUUUCUCUCUUUUGCUUCAAUACUCUUCCAUGGCUUCUUCUUCUUCUUCAUCUUCUACUCUAAUGAAGUAUCAUGUUUUCCUUAGCAGAAUACCCUUAAAUUCUAUAUGAUGUUGUAAUAGCAUAAGGAAAAAAACUAAAAUAACUAGAAUAUCCUUAGCAGAAUUUUUUUUAGGUAGAUGAUUAUUGUUAUUGUUAUUAAAUUUUAAUAAGAUUAUUAAUAUAAAUAAUAAAUAAUUUAAUCAUAUGUUAUAAAAAAAGUUGACGAAUAUUGGGUUUGAAAGUGCUUCUGAAGAAUUGGUUGGAAUAGAAUAUCAGAAAAGGACGAUUUUGAAGCUGAUUAAGCAAAAAGACUGUCGUGUAAUAGGACUUUGGGGAAUGGGUGGUGAAGGCAAAUCAACCCUUGCUGAGGCUGUUUAUAAAAAACUCUCUUCAGAGUUUGAAACGCAUUGCUUUCUUCAAAAUGUUAGAGGAAAUAAAAAAACAAGGGAAGGAAUCUUUACGAAAUAAAUUUCUUUUGGAAUUAUUGAACUCAAAUGUUGAUAUAGGCACCCCCUCCAUUGGAUCCACUUUAACUCAAGAGAGACUCAACAAGAAGAAAGUACUUGUUGUCCUUGAUGAUGUUGAUGACUCAGACCAAAUAGAUUAUAUGGGUGUUAAACAUUUUGGUUAUGGAAGUAAAACCAUUAUAACAUCAAGAGAUAGACAAGUGCUCGAGAGUGGAGGAGCUGACACAAUACAUGAGGUGAAAGGGUUAAAUGAGAACAAUUCUCUUCAACUUUUUUCUACCUUUGAGUUUAAGCAGUUGAAUCCCCCAGUUGGUUUUGAAGAUCUAUCCCGUAGGUUUGUAAAGUACACACAAGGCAAUCCACUUGCUCUUAAAGUAAAAGAUAAUCUGGCGUGCAAGUAACACCAGUGUUGACUAAAGGAUAGUUGGCUAAGCUCAAGUCGUCGCCUGUGCUUUUGCCUAGGCCUUCAAUCUCUUUCCCAUUUACACUUUUUCUUCUUACAAUAAUACCACAACCCAAGCAAAACUCACUUGCUAUAUUUGUUCUCUCUUUUGCUUCAAGCACACUAUCAAUACUCUUUCAUGGGUUCUUCUUCUUCAUCUUCUACUCUAAUGAAGUAUCAUGUUUUCUUGAGCUUCAGAGGUGAAGACACGCGCCUUAAUUUCACCACUCACUUACUUCAAGCUUUGAAAGACGAGGGACUUGAUGUUUUCUUCGAUGAAGAAAAACUGGAAAGGGGGGACCAGCUUUCACAAGCACUUUCUCGAGCAAUUGCAGUCUCAAAUAUCUCAAUCAUCGUUUUGUCUGCAGACUAUGCCUCUUCGAAAUCAUGCUUGGUUGAACUCUCUGACAUCAUGGACCGCUAUAGCGUCGGACAACAUACUGUUCGUCCCAUCUUUUACCAUGUUAACCCCUCUGAUGUGGUGAAAAUUGAUGGGAGUUUUAAGAAAUCCUUUGAUGAGCAUAAAACAAAGAGGUCAGUUGAUGAAGUGAAACAAUGGGAAACCGCUUUUGCUGAAGUUGGUAAAUUACAAGGGUGGCAUAUAGAUGGAAGCAGGUCGGAUGGGUAACUAUAUUUGUCUCAUCUCCUUAUAUUUGACUUAUCUUCGUUUUGGCUUUCAUAUAUAUACUUCUUCUAUUAUUUGCUAGACCUGAAACCCAGUACAUCAAGGAUAUUGUUGCGUAUGUUAUGCAAAAGUUGAUGAAGCAUCAAGUUUUCUUAAGCUUAGGUGAAGACACACGCCUCAACUUCUCCAAUCACCUAGUAAAUGCUUUGGAAAAAGUAGGAAUUAAUGUCUUCCCCGAUAACGAAACACUGAAAAAAGGAGAGAAACUUCCACCAACGUAUUCUCGAACAAUUUCGGCCUCAAAUCUCUCAAUCCUCGUUGUAUCUAAAGCCUAUGCUUCUUCAAAAUCAUGCUUAGGUGAACUUUCUGACAUCAUGGAUCGCAAGCACAAUCCCAAUGACAAACAUAUUGUUCUUCCCGUCUUUUACCAUGUUGAUCCUUCCGAUGUGCGAAAUAGUGGUGGGCAUUUUAAGACAUCCUUCGAAGACCAUGAAUCAGAGCAACCAGCUGAUAGAGUACAACAAUGGAAAACUGCUUUUGCAGAGGUUGGUAAAUUAAAAGGGUGGCAUAUAGAAGGAGGCAAAUUUGACAGGUAACUAUAUUUUUCUCAUCUUGUUAUUUUCAACUUAUCUUUGUUUUAGAUUUCAUAUUUACUUUUUACAUUUUUUAUUGUUUUCUAGACCUGAAACCGAGUACAUUAAAGAUAUUGUUGAAUAUGUUAUAAAAAAGUUUACGAAUAUUGGGUUUGAAAGUGCUUCUGAAGAAUUGGUUGGAAUAGAAUAUCAGAAAAAUGCGAUUUUGAAGCUGAUUAAGCAAAAAGACUGUCGUGUAAUAGGACUUUGGGGAAUGGGUGGUGAAGGCAAAUCAACCCUUGCUGAGGCUGUAUAUAAAAAAACUCUCUUCAGAGUUUGAAACUCAUUGCUUUCUUCAAAAUGUUAGAGAGGAAAUAAAAAAACAAGGGAAGGAAUCUUUACGAAAUAAAUUUCUUUCGGGAUUAUUGAAAUCGAAUGUUGAUAUAGGCACCCCCUCCAUUGGAUCCACUUUAACUCAAGAGAGACUCAACAAGAAGAAAGUACUUGCUGUCCUUGAUGAUGUUGAUGACUCAGACCAAAUAGAUUAUAUGGGUGUUAAAUAUUUUGGUUAUGGAAGUAAAACCAUUAUAACAUCAAGAGAUAGACAAGUGCUUGAGAGUGGAGGAGCUGACACAAUACAUGAGGUGAAAGGGUUGAAUGAGAACGAUUCUCUUCAACUUUUUUCUACCUUUGCGUUUAAGCAGUUGAGUCCCGCAGUUGGUUUUGAAGAUCUAUCCCGUAGGUUUGUAAAGUACACUCAAGGCAAUCCACUUGCUCUUAAAGUUUUGGGUUCUGAUUUAAAUAAAAGAAGUAAAAAUUAUUGGGAAAGUAAGGUGGAGAAGCUAAAGGACUGUCCCCCAGAAAAAAAAAUUUCAGAGGUUUUGAAAAGUAGUUAUGAUGGGCUAGAUUUAGUAGAGCAGAAUAUAUUUCUUGACAUUGCAUGCUUCUUUAAAGGGGAACCCAUGGAAAGAGCAAAACUUAUUCUAAGUAGUUGUUAUACGGGUGUAGAGUGUGGAAUAAACAAAUUGGUUGACAAAUGCCUGAUCAAUGUCUCAUCUUCUACUAAUUUCUCUCUUGAUUAUUUUGAUUAUUCUACAAUGUGGCCAUGUAAAUUAUUACGAGAUGCAAUUGAUAUGCAUGAUAUGCUUGAAGAGAUGGGUAAGGACAUUGUUUGUCAAGAAUCUAAAACCCUUGGUAAGUGCAGUAGACUAUGGAAUCCGAAACACGUGGAAGAAGUGCUCAAAUAUAAUAAAGUAAGCACUAAUUAUAUUUUUUAAUAUACUUUAAUGAGAUAUUGUCAUUUGGUUGAAUGCCACUAUAUAAACCUAUACAUUUGAUAUCAUAUCAAGUAUUAUCCCUUUUAAUUAGUAUUUAAAAAAUAAAAUAAUUAUCAUCAUACUGGACACAUAAUGACUAUGUCUUAGGUAUAAUGUAGAAUCUGCUCAAGGUUUAUGACUUUGUUAAAUACUUAAUGCAUUGAUUUGAAAAAAUAAAAACAAAAGAAAAGAAAACACUUUCUGUAUGUAAAAGUGCUCAAUUAGUCUACGUCUAUCCUAAUAUAAUUAUUUUUUUAUGAGUUAUUUAAUGGAAUGUCUAUAAAUUUCUCCAUGCUAAUAUUUGAUAAAUUGGUUUUUGUUAUCAGGGAACUGAUCGAAUUCAAGGAAUAAAGGUAGCCUUGUCACGUAUGGGUAACCUAUUAUUCCAACCUUCUGGUUUUGAAAGCAUGAUUAAUCUUAGAUGUAUUUUCUUCUAUUUUCCUCGGAGUUGGUUGAGGAAAGAGCAUGAGGAUUAUAAGAAGCUACAUACAUACCAAGAUGAUAUUAUCUCUCUUCCGAAUGAGCUAAGGUAUCUUGUAUGGCAUUAUUACCCCUUCAAAUCUUUAUCAUCAAGUUUUAAUCCAAAGAACCUUAUUACAUUGGAAUUACCAUAUGGAAACAUGGAGCAACUUUGGAACGAACUUCAUCAGGUAUAUAUACUUUUAUACUUUCUUCAUCCAAGAAUUUUUUUAAGAGCACUACACCAAAACAGGUUUUUAGCGGCUUUUUUUUAGGCCUGUAGCGGCGCUUCUUAGCGCCACUAAAGGUGUUUGCGAUGCUUCCACAAGCGCCGCAAAAAAUGCCGCUAACGACAACGUCGCUAUGUUUGCAGCGUUUAAAAAAAUAAACGCCGCUAAAGGUCAUGUUCUUUAGCGGCGCUUAGAAAUAAACGCCGCUAAAGAUCAUGUUCUUUAGCGGCACUUAGAAAAAAACGCCGCUAAAGAUCAUGUUCUUUAAUGGCGUUUAAAGAAAAACGCCGCUAAAGAUCAUGUUCUUUAGCGACGCUUGAAGAAAACCGUCGCUAAAGGGCAUGUUCUUUAGCGGCACUUUAUACACAAACGCCGCUAUAGGGACACGACUUUUAGCGGCGCUUUUAUAAAAAAACGCCACUAAUUUGGGAUUUCUGUAAAAUAAAAUUUUCCAUUUUUUCAGCAUUCCUGUAGCAACAAAUCAAAAGCAACCAGAUCUAAACCAGCCAAAAGCAAUAAAGUUAUAUAAUAUUUCAAAUUAAAUGAAUAAAAUAAUAUUAAUAUCAAUAAAUAAAAGUGAAUUCAUAUUAUUUUUAAAAAAAUGUUAAAAGUUGAAAUGAUAAAAAUAUUUAUGCAAUACUCUAUGACGCGGAAUUUGCGACUGCUGAAACAUCUUCAACAUACUCUGAAGCUACUGUUGGAGUUCGUCGUACUUUCUGCUCUGCUCUGCUUAUCUCGAGUCCGCAUCUGCUUUAAGUUUUAGUUGGAGUUCUUCAUAUUUCUUUUGAACCUCUGUUUCUCUCACUGUAGCCUCUGCUUCUCUCACUGUAGCCUCUGCUUCUCUCGCUGCAGCCUCUGCUUCCCUCGCUACCGCCUCUACUUUAAGUUGUAGCUGGAGUUCUUCAUAUUUCUUUUGAACCUCAACUGUGGUCGCUUGCAUCUGAGCAAUCUGGUCUUUUAACCUCUGAACUUCAGCUUGAGCCUGACUCCCCGAAGCCAUGUAUUGCUGCGAGCUGGAUCCAAAAUAUUGGGUUGGGCUAGCAAAAGAUCUUUGAAAUCGAACCCGACCAUACCUUUUAGGACCCAAAACUUCAGUAAUAAUUUGGUUAACAAUGUCUUUGGGAUGAACAGAACUAUCACUAGAAGCAAUCGCUUCGUACUCCGCAUUUUUAUUCUUUAGUUUUUCCUAAUAAAUAAAUCACAUAGUUAAGAACGCAAUAUAUAUUAAAAAAAAUAAAUGCAACAUAACAAUAGUCGCAUUACAAGCAAUGAAUUAAACCAUUAGAAAAUAAACACUAUAAAUAACUAAAACAAGUCAAACGGUAUUAAGUAAACGUACCAUAAUUUCACCAGCUUCAAGAGUCAUAGCAGAUCCAUCUUUCUUCCUAUGUGUAAUUUCAAAAAGUUGAAGGCGUCCAACUUUUUGACCGGACGACAGUUCCUACAAUAUAGUAGUAAAAAUAUUAUUUAAUGGAAAGUUAUACAUAUUUGACAAUAUUAAAAAAUUAAAAAUACCUCCGCCUCAGCUACACAUGCAAAACUUCUCGACCCGGCUGUGUGAGUGAAUUUUUGUUUAUGCCUGCUGCUUUUUCCAACUCGUUCACGAUCCUACGUUAUGAAAUUUUUAGUACGUAAAUAGUAAAUACUAUAAACCAAAAUAAUUACAAUAAUUUGGAAGUACGUCAUACCUCGCCUUUCUUCGAAUGCCAAAAUCUAACCGCAUCUUCCCAUUGGUACCUCAGCAUACCCGGCGGGACAUUUUGUAAUUUCUCAUCGAGGGUUGUUUUUUUCUUAUAAUAAUAUUUCUUCAAAGUAUUUUUAUGUUCUCUCCAUCUUUUUCCCAAUGCCUUCUUUACAUAAGCAUCCAAGACCUCUAAAACAAACCUCGCCUACAAAAAACACAAGUUAAUAAAGUAAAUAUAAAUGAAACUAUUUCCCAAGUAUUAUAGAUGACAGUAACAUUUUGUUACCUUAAUAUUAUCGAGGGCUUGGUUUUUGUUGCUAUCAGGCAUUUGAUUCCAUGACUCGUAGUUGAUAGGCAACAUAUCCGUAUUUCGUGCUAAAAUGCUCAUGUAUCCUGCUAAAAGUCGAGCUUCUAAUCCAACAGGCUGACCAAAACUGUUUCUGCAUACAUUGACACACUCAACUAGAUCUAACUUGUAUAAAUCUCUAAGUAGCGUACGUCCUCGACCUCUACGUGUCCCACCAUUUUCAGCUGCAAAUGGUAUAUUAUAAUAUAAGAAUUUGAAAAAUAAAUCAAUUAUAAGUCAACACGCAUGUAAAUUAAAUAUAAAAUUACUUUGAACUUCUGUAGGAUCCUUAGGUGUAAUCGGAACAUUCGAAGAUCCAAUUACUAUUUGUUGUUCAGUACUAUUUGUUUCUGUCGAGUUUGGAUCAUUUUGAACAAUGCUUCCCCUUGGAAUUUUUCUUCUAGGCAUUUUAUCUGCAAUACACAUAAAAUAGUUGAAAACUUAAUAACUAAUUACAACAAUAACAACACAUAUAAAAUAGUUGAAAUAUAUAGUAAGACCAAGAUUUAAAUUAUGAUAUUACAUAUAAUUAAACAAUCGUAAAAUCUUACUACGUCAUUAGUCGUAAAUAUCUUCAUCCGUAUCCUGACAAACCCAUUGAAAUUGUGUAAUAGUACUAGGGAUAUUAUCGUUUAAGUUUUGUUCUGGAAAGGGCAAAGUUUUUGAUCUGUCGUUGAUGUUAUCUCUACUUCCACUGCCCAUGUCAAACAAGUCUCUAGGGAUGUUACGGAGUACAACGUAUCAACCCUCAUCAGUUGGAUCUUUUGAGUAAAAAACUUGUUUGACUUGAGAUGAGAAUACAUGCGGCUCAUCUAUCAGUUGUUGUCCUGUGUGAAUCAAUCGAGCGAAGUUCACCAUUGUAAAACCAAAUUGAUCUUGCUUAAUUCCACAAGCAGUAUUAACAUCGGCCCAAUCACCUCGAAAUAAGACAACUUUCCAUUUGCCAUAGUAAUCCAACUCAAUUAUGUCAGUAAAAAGUCUGAAAUAUUCCACAUUUCCCUCGACAGGAUUAUUGUCCCUAGCACUAGCAUAACUUGUAAUUGAGGAAUUAACAACUAUUCCACAAUUUUGCAUUCUCCUCAACCUCUCGCUAUAUUUUGUAUGAAAUCUGAAUCUGUUGAUGAGGAACGCACUAUAUCUUUUAACCACUUGAUUUGGACCUUGGGAGAGCCAUUUAACUUUGUCGUUUACAUUCUUCCCACUCCAAACCUAUUGAAUGGAAAGUAAACUGAGUAAUUAAAAAUGUUAUAAGAAAACAUUAAUAUUUGUAAGCGGAAGCUCCAACCGCAUACCGUUGGGCUUAACCAUUCAUGAAAAGAUUCUGUAAACAACUUAUUGAUAUCUCGAUAUUGUGUUCUUCGGGAGCGCGAACGAGAUCUCAACAUUUGUUUGUACUCGCUAUGUUAAAAAAUGUUCACUUUGUUAGAAGAUAAUCAAUUUUUAAUUUGAUAAAUAUUUAUCAAAUUUGUAGAACUUACUUCCGUAAAGGUUCCAUUAAUUCGUGGUGAAACAGAACAUAUCGAUGUGCUUGUACCCAUGAUAAAUGAUCUAAUUUUACAAUUUUAACUUUGCCGAUUGGUUCUCUAAAACUUUGGAACAAAUAAGUAUCGAUGAUGUUAUGGUCCGUGAGUCCAGCAUUCCUAUUUGGUCUGUUCAACCUUGUUUCAACAUCUUCCAAAUAUCUUGAGCAGAAGGUCAUACAUUCCUCUUCUAAGUAGCCUUUAGCAAUCGAUCCUUCUGGAUAUCGCUUGUAGCGGCAGUAAGACUUUAAUUUGGAUAGAAACCUAAACACGAUAUACAACACUAUCAAAAGUUGUAACUAAAGGCAUAGAGGUGAAUGAAGGAAAAUUUUAAAAAUUUUAAUUAACACCUUUCUAUGGGAUACAUCCAUUGAUAGAAAACGGGUUCGCCAAGAAUUGCUUCAUGUGGGAGAUGAAUUAUCAAGUGAACCAUAAUGGUGAAGAAGGAAGGUGGGAAGAUUUUCUCCAUGUUGCAUAAAGUCAAAGCGUCUUGAUCCUAUACCUUCUGAAGUUCUUGAACAUCCAAAACUUUGCCACAAAUGGCUUUCAUUAUAUUGGAUAGUUCAAUUAUACAAGACGUCACCUUCUUGGACAUACAACAUCGUAAAGCAACUGGCAGUAAAUCUUGCAUCAAGAUGUGAUAGUCAUGUGAUUUUAGCAAAUAUAAUCUUCGAUCUUUAACACUAACACAUCGAGAUAUAUUUGAUGCAUACGCAUCUAGAACAUUUAUAUUCUUCAACACCGUGCAGAACACUUCUUUUUUCGUCUUCGACAUUGAAAAAAUAGAAGGCGACAACCGAUAUUUCCCAUUCGGAAGUGGAUUGGGAUGAAGAUCAGGCCGAAUUCCCAUUUGGACUAAAUCAAGUCGACUCUAAAGAUUAUCUUUUAAUUUUUCGUCGACAUUCAAAAUUGUACCCACAAUGUUCUCGCAGACAUUUUUCUCAAUAUGCAUAACAUCAAGAUUGUGUCGUAAAAGGUGAUGCUCCCAAUAAGGCAACUCAAAAAAAAUACUUCUUUUUUUCCACAAGUCUGCCUCAUUAGGAUCGUCCUCUUGAUCAGAGUCAUCAUUAGCUUCAUCAUUUGAUCUUCUAUUUCUUUGCGUGUUUGGCGGUUGGUUCAUCUUCCCAUAAAUGAAAUUCAUAUCUUCCAACAUGAACAAGAUUUCAGAGCCACUGGUCUGCGAAGGAGCUUCUCUGAACUCUUCUGUACCGUCAAAUACAGAACUCUAAAAUCUAAAUCUAUGAUUUUUCGGUAACCACCGACGAUGCCCCAUGUAAGAGAACUUCUUCCCAUUGUACAACCAUUGCAAACAUGUUUGUGCAGCACAACAAGGACACGCAUAACGACCCUUGGUACUCCAACCAGAUAAAUAAGCAUAAGCGGGAAAGUCAUUAAUGGUCCACAUCAAAGCUGCACGUAAAUUAAAGUUCUCCUUUCUCAACACAUCGUAUGUCUUGACACCAACCCAUAAUUGUUUUAACUCUUCAAUAAGUGGCUGUAAAUUCCCAGGCCCUUUCUCUCUAAGGAUAAUCAUAGAUAAGAUAAGGGAAGAUUGCUUCAUGCAAAUCCACGGAGGCAGAUUGUAAGGAACAAGCACUACUGGCCAAGUACUGUAUGCAGUGCUCAUGAUCUUGAAAGGAUUAAAUCCAUCAGAUGCUAGUCCAAGCCAAACACUCCUAGGAUUGCUUGCAAAGCUUGGAAAUUUAUUGUCAAAUGAUUUCCAAGCUAAAGAAUCUGCCGGAUGCCUUAGUAAUCCAUCAUCGGUUCAUCCAUCAUGGUGCCACGUCAUAGACUCCGCUUUCUUGGACGACAUGAAAAGCCUUUGAAGUCUUGGUAUAAGGGGAAAAUACCGCAAAAUCUUGACUGGCUUCUUCCUCAACUGUGCAUCAUUUUCAUCGUCAUUCCAAUCUUCUGUGUUUCUAUUUAUCCAACGGGAUUGGCCGCAUACAUGACAGCACUGUUGGUUUUUCUGAUCGCCCCAAUACAACAUGCAGUCAUUUGGGAAACUAUGGAUUUUGUUGUACCCAAGGCCUAAAUCUUUUAUCAUUUUCUUCAUAUCUUUGCAUGACUGAGGGAUUUUUGCAAACGGAAAUAUUUCUCUCAAAAACUCUAACAGCAUUGUCAACGAGUUUCCGGUCCACCCUCCCAAACAUUUUAACUGAAAAAGACGAACACAGAAUGACAUUUUUGAAAAUUUUGAUCCCUCAUACAGUUCUUCGUUCAUGUCAUUAAGUAGAGCGUAGAACUUCGUCGCUUCUCCAUUCGGCUCUUCAUGUGGUACACUACUUCCCGGUUCGGUAAAAGCAGUUCCACCAAUAUUACAAUCAUCAGAUGCCACAAAAUCCACUGGGAACAACUGCACACCAUGAUUGUGCAUAUUAAAUGCAUCCUGCAACAUACCUUUCAUGUCAUCCCCUCUAUCAGACUGUUGGUAAGUAGUAUCAGGAUAAGAUACAUCCAUCGUUGAAGAGGAAGUACUAGGCGGGCAUUCUCCAUGAAAUAACCAUUGUUUAUAACCCCAAACAAACCCAUCAACAAUUAGAUGCCCGUAUACAACCUCACGAUAAUGCCAACUUAUGUUGACACACUUCUUACACGGGCAAAGAAUCAUGUUCUCUUGGCUUGCAUAUUGAAAUGCAAAAUUUAGAAAAGUCUGUACUCCAUUUCGAUAACCGUUGCUAACCCUUGACAAAUUCAUCCAAGACCGGUCCAUUUCUUAAUUCUUGUAGUCUGACGUUGACAAUAAUUUGCACUGUAAGUUAAAACGCUAGUUAUAACCAUAAAUGAGUUAUAUAAGUUAUGAUAUGAUAUAUUUUUAUGUAUUAUGUAAGUUAUGUAAGUUAUAUAUUAUGUAUUAUGUAAGUACUGUAAGUAAUGUGAGUUAUGUAAGUAAUGUAUUAUGUAAGUUGUGUAUAAUAUUAAUUAUGUAAGUUGUGUAUAAUGUAAGUUAUUUAAGUAAAUGUUGUAUUAUGUAAGUUAUUUAAGUUAUGUAAGUUAUGUAAGUUAUGUAAGUUAUUUAAUUUAUGUAAGUUAUGUAAGUUAUGUAUGUUAUGUAUUAUGUUAGUUAUUAUGUUAUUAUAUAAGUUAUGCAAGUUUCUAUAUAUGUUUAUAUAUUGUAUGUUAGUUAUUAUGUUAUUAUAUAAGUUAUGCAAGUUAUAUAAGUUAUUUAAGUUGUGUAAAUGUUGUAUUAUGUAAGUUAUGUAUUAUGUAAGAUAUGUACGUUGUAUUUUAUGUAAUUUCUGUAUUAUGUAUGUUAUGUAAGUUGUGUAGAAUGUAAGCUAUGUAAGUUAUGUAAGUUAUGUAAGUGGUGUAUUAUGUAAGUUGUGUAAGUUAUGUAAGUUAUUAUGUAAGUUAUGCAAGCUUAUAUAUAAGCUUAUAUAUAAUUAUUUAGAAAACUUAUAAAAUUAAUACUAAUAAAUUUUAUUACUAAUAAAUUUAGAACACUUAUUUAGAAAACUUAUAAAUUUAAUACUAAUAUAGAAAACUUAUGAAUUUAGAAAACUUAUAUAGAUAUUAAAACAAUAUUUAUAAUUAUUUAAAAAACUUAUAAAUUUUAUAGUAAUAAGUUUUAAAUAUAGGUUAUAUACCCAUACCAUAUAUGGGGUGAUAUAUUAAAAAUAUUGGUUUUAAUAGAUAUUAAAUUAUCAUUUACAAUUAUUUUUUAAAUUAAAAUAUUAUUAUUACAAAAAUUGAAAUAUAGGUUAUAUAUCCAUAUUAAUAUAUGUAAUAUAUAAAAAGAAUAUAAAUUUUAAUAUUUACGAUAUAAUAUUUCUGUCCAAAAUUUAUUGUGUUUUUGGCACGAAUGAUUGCGUUUUUUGCACGAAUGUAGCAAACCAUAUUCCUUUCUAAGUUGCUGCUGGAAAAUAUUAACAUGCUAGAGAGACUAUGAAAAUUAUGUGUUUAUUUUCUAAGCAUUGCAAACUGUUACCAAUUAAUUAAAAUAUUUCAUUUCAAAUAAAUAAAACCUAACACAUGAGGUACAUCUUGUAUAAAACUAACAAAUAUGAGAAAACCCAAUGUAUAAAAUACGCAGCAUUGAUUUAAAUGCAUAGAUGCAAUUGGCGAUUGCCAAGUUUAAAGCAAAGUCAAAUCCCCUAAUCUUCUUGUCUAUGAAGUCAAAAGUUUAAAGCAAAGUUAAUUUUAAACCCCCAAAUCAGUAACUUACCCUUGCAGAAGAUCAACAACUCCCCAAGCCUUAAUCCUCCAAUAGAUUAGUUGGUCUGUGACCUUCACCAAAAUAAUCCAAAAGAUUAAUAGCGAAAAUAAACCCCGAUUCAACAAGGUAACAAAUAAUGAAAUAAAGGGCUUUAAUCAAAAGAAAUAUAACCUUAAUCGAAACAAAUAACGAAAAAUCGUGCAAUGAGGAAACAAGGAAACUUAUAGUGAAUAGAAGAAGCGGACGACAGAGAAAGCGGGUGACAGAGCGACCGCCAGAGUGGAGACGACUGCAAUGACAAGAGGGAAUUUGGGAAUUUGGGGAUUUGGGGAAAUGAAAUCCGGGAAAUUGGGGGAAAAUGAAUUGGGGGGAAAUGAAAUCGGGGAAGUUGGGGGGAUAGGAAAUGGGAAAUUAGGGAAAUCAGAGUGGGGGAGAACUAAGGAAAUUCAGCGCUAAACAAAUGACGUCGUUUAAGUUAGUUCAAUUAAAAUUUGCGACGUUUAUAAAUAGCGCCACUAACGGAUUAAAAAAUCCUAGACAGAAAACGACAACGUUUAGCAAACACUUAAAACAUAAUUGCGGCGUUUAUAAUAAAAAUGCCACUAAAACAUAUCCUUUACCGGCGUUUUAGUACAAAUGCCAUUAAAAACGUAGAUAAAAACGACAACGUUUAGCGAACACUUGUAACAUAAUUGCGGCAUUUUUAUAAAAACGCCAGUAUCACAUAACCUUUUACGGCAUUUUCGUAAAAAUGCCACUAAUAAUGUAGAUAAAAACGACAACAUUUACAGAAGACUAAUAACAUAAUUGUGGCGUUACCUAACAACGCCACUAACACAUAUCAUUUUGCGGCGUUUUGGCAAAAACGCCACUAAAAACGUAGAUAAAAACGACAACAUUUAACAAAGACAAAAAACAUAAUUGCGGCAUUUUUCGUAGAAACGCCACUAAUAUAACUCCUUUUGCGGCAUUUUAGUAAAAACGCCACUAAAAAAUCAGACAAAACGAAACCGUUUUGCUACCUUUCAAUGAAUAUUUGUGGAGUUUUCAAGAAAAACGCCACUACUGGUCAAACUUAAAAUUAUUUUCAAAUUAUUUUAAAUAGUACUAUUUUAUUUUUUCUAUUUUUAACAUAUAUUUUUCUAUUUUUUUAGCAUAACCCUUAAAUGUGGAAAAUUAAAAUUUAAACCCUAAACCAUAAGCCCCUAACCCUUAGACUCUAAACCCGUAACCUUUAAACUUUAACCUCUUAAACCCAAAACAAUAAACACUCGACCAUAAACCUACACCAUAAAUCGUAAACACUAAACUCUUAACACUAAACCAUAAACCUUAAACUUUAUACCCUAAACAUGCACCCUAAGCUAUAAACCCUAAAUUAACCAUAAAUCGUAAAUCAUAAAUUAUAAACCCUAAAACCAUAAAUCUUAAACCUUAAACCAUAAAUCAUAAACCCUAAACCACUAAAGCCCAUGAACCCCUAACCCCCUAACCUAUAAACCCUUAAGCCCAAAACCCAAAGCCACUACCCCUUAGACCCUAAGCCUAUAACCCCUAAAUCCUAUGCUCCUAACCACUAAACACUAAACCAUAAACCAUGAACGGUAAAUCAUGAACUCUAAACUUAAAACUCUAAUCCUAAUAUAAUAAACAUUACUUCAUAAAUCCUAAAACCCUAAACUAUAAAAAUUAAACCUUAAAUACUAAACACUUAAACCUAAAAUAAAUUUAUUUUUACUUGUGGGGCUUACAAUAAAGCGCCACUAAUGUCUCUAAACCUCCACAACAAAACGAAGCCGUUUCCUUAAAUAUAUUUGCGGCGCUUAACACAAAUCACCUCUAAUGCUUGAAAUCUGCGGCGUUUAUAAAGUUGCGCCGCUAAUGUAACUAAACCUUAACAACAAAACGUUGUCGUUCUCGCAAAGCGCCACUAAUGUCCCUAAGCACAACAGGAAACGACGGCGUAUGCUUAAAACAUUUUGCGGCGCUUCCUCUUAAGCGCCGCUAGUGAUUGACUUUAGCGGCGAUUUCUCUAAAGCGCCACUAUUGUGUCUAAAACUCAACAAGAUCCAAACGACUUCGUUCGGUAAAANNNNNNNNNNNNNNNNNNNNNNNNNNNNNNNNNNNNNNNNNNNNNNNNNNNNNNNNNNNNNNNNNNNNNNNNNNNNNNNNNNNNNNNNNNNNNNNNNNNNNNNNNNNNNNNNNNNNNNNNNNNNNNNNNNNNNNNNNNNNNNNNNNNNNNNNNNNNNNNNNNNNNNNNNNNNNNNNNNNNNNNNNNNNNNNNNNNNNNNNNNNNNNNNNNNNNNNNNNNNNNNNNNNNNNNNNNNNNNNNNNNNNNNNNNNNNNNNNNNNNNNNNNNNNNNNNNNNNNNNNNNNNNNNNNNNNNNNNNNNNNNNNNNNNNNNNNNNNNNNNNNNNNNNNNNNNNNNNNNNNNNNNNNNNNNNNNNNNNNNNNNNNNNNNNNNNNNNNNNNNNNNNNNNNNNNNNNNNNNNNNNNNNNNNNNNNNNNNNNNNNNNNNNNNNNNNNNNNNNNNNNNNNNNNNNNNNNNNNNNNNNNNNNNNNNNNNNNNNNNNNNNNNNNNNNNNNNNNNNNAAAUUAAAGUCUUACUGCUGCUACAAGCGAUAUCCAAAAGGAUCGAUUGCUGAAGGCUACUUAGUAGAGGAAUGUAUGACCUUCUGCUCAAGAUAUUUGGAAGAUGUUGAAACAAGGUUGAACAGACCAAAUAGGAAUGCUGGACUUACGGACCAUAACAUCGCCAAUACUUAUGUGUUCCAAAGUUUUAGAAAACCAAUCGGCAAAGUUGAAAUUGUAAAAUUAGAUCAUUUAUCGUGGGUACAAGCACAUCGAUAUGUUCUGUUUCACCACGAAUCAAUGGAACAUUUACGGAAGUAAGUUUUACAAAUUUGAUAAAUAUUUAUCAAAUUAAAAAUUGAUUAUCUUCUAACAAAGUGAACAUUUUUUAACAUAGUGAGUACAAACAAAUAUUGAGAUCUCGUUCGCGCUCCCGAAGAACACAAUAUCGAGAUAUCAAUAAGUUGUUUACAUAAUCUUUUCAUGAAUGGUUAAGCUCAACGAUAUGCAGUUGGAGCUUCCGCUUACAAAUAAUAAUAUUUUCUCAUAACAUUUUUAAUUACUCAAUUUACUUUCCAUUCAAUAGGUUUGGAGUGGGAAGAACGUAAACGACGAAGCUAAAUGGCUCUCCCAAGGUCCAAAUCAAGUGGUUAAAAGAUAUAGUGCGUUCCUCAUCAACGGAUUCAGAUUUCAUACAAAAUAUUGCGAGAGGUUGAGGAGAACGCAAAAUUGUGGAAUAGUUGUUAAUUCCUCAAUUACAAGUUAUGCUAGUGCUAGGGACAACAAUCCUGUCGAGGGAAAUGUGGAAUAUUUCAGACUUCUUACUGACAUAAUUGAGUUGAAUUACUAUGGCAAAUGGAAAGUUGUCUUAUUUCGAGGUGAUUGGGCCGAUGUUAAUACUGCCUGUGGAAUUAAGCAAGAUCAAUUUGCUUUUACAAUGGUGAACUUCGUUCGAUUGAUUCACACAGGACAACAACUGAUAGAUGAGCCGUAUGUAUUCUCAUCUCAAGUCAAACAAGUUUUUUACUGAAAAGAUCCAACUGAUGAGGGUUGGUACGUUGUACUCCGUAACAUCCCUAGAGACUUGUUUGACAUGGGCAAUGGAAGUAGAGAUAACAUCAACGACAGAUCAAAAACUUUGCCCUUUCCAGAACAAAACUUAAACAAUAAUAUCCCUAGUACUAGUACACAAUUUCAAUGGGUUUGUCAGGAUACGGAUGAAGAUAUUUACGAAUAAUGACGUAGUAAGAUUUUACGAUUUUUUAAUUAUAUGUAAUAUCAUAAUUUAAAUCUUGGUCUUAUUAUAUAUUUCAACUAUUUUAUAUGUGCUGUUAUUGUUGUAAUUAGUUAUUAAGUUUUCAACUAUUUUAUGUGUAUUGCAGAUAAAAUGCCUAGAAGAAAAAUUCCAAUGGGAAGCAUUGUUCAAAAUGAUCCAAACUCGACAGAAACAAAUAGUACUGAACAACAGACAGUAAUUGGAUCUUCGAAUGUUCCAAUUACACCUGAGGACCAUACAGAAGUUCAAAGUAAUUUUACAUUUAAUUUACAUGCGUGUUGACUUAUAAUUGAUUUAUUUUUCAAAUUCUUAUAUUAUAAUAUACCAUUUGCAGCUGAAAAUGGUGGGACACGUAGAGGUCGAGGACGUACGCUACUUAGAGAUUUAUACGAGUUAGAUCUAGUCGAGUGCGUCAAGGUAUGCAGAAACAGUUUUGGUCAGCCUGUUGGAUUAAAAGCUCGACUUUUAGCAGGAUACAUGUGGCAUUUUAGCACGAAAUGCGGAUAUGUUGCCUAUUAACUACGAGUCAUGGAAUCAAAUGCCCGAUAGCAACAAAAACUAAGCCCUCGAUAAUAUUAAGGUAACAAAAUGUUAAUGUCAUCUGUAAUACUUGAGAAAUAGUUUCAUUUAUAUUUACUUUAUUAACUUAUGUUUUUUGUAGGCGAGAUUUGCUUUAGAGGUCUUGGAUGCUUAUGUAAAGAAGGCAUUGGGAAAAAUAUGGAGAGAACAUAAAAAUACUUUGAAGAAAUAUUAUUAUAAGACAAAAACAACCCUCGAUGAGAAAUUACAAAAUGUCCCGCCGAGUAUGCUGAGGUACCAAUGGGAAGAUGCGGUUAGAUUUUGACAUUCGAAGAAAGGCGAGGUAUGACGUACUUUCAAACUAUUGUAAUUAUUUUGGUUUGUAGUAUUUACUAUUUACGUACUAAAAAUUUCAUAACGUAGGAUCAGUGAACGAGUUGGAAAAAGCAGCAGGCAUAAACAAAAAUUCACUCACACAGCCGGGUCGAGAAGUUUUGCAUGUGUAGCUGAGGCGGAGGUAUUUUUAAUUUUUUAAUAUUGUCAAAUAUGUAUAACUUUCCAUUAAAUAAUAUUUUUACUACUAUAUUGUAGGAACUGUCGUCCGGUCAAAAAGUUGGACACCUUCAGCUUUUUGAAAUUACACAUAGGAAGAAAGAUGGAUCUGCUAUGACUCCUGAAGCUGGUGAAAUUAUGGUACGUUUACUUAAUACCGUUUGACUUGUUUUAGUUAUUUAUAGUGUUUAUUUUCUAAUGGUUUAAUUCAUUGCUUGUAAUGCGACUAUUGUUAUGUUGCAUUUGUUUUUUUAAUAUAUAUUGCGUUCUUAACUAUGUGAUUUAUUUAUUAGGAAAAACUAAAGAAUAAAAAUGCGGAGUACGAAGCGAUUGCUUCUAGUGAUAGUUCUGUUCAUCCUAAAGACAUUUUUAACCGGAUUAUUACUGAAGUUUUGGGUCAUGAAAGGUAUGGUCAGGUUCGAUUUCAAAGAUCUUUUGUUAGCCCAACCCAAUAUUUUGGAUCCAGCUCGCAGCAAUACAUGGCUUCGGGGAGUCAGACUCAAGCUGAAGUUCAGAGGUUAAAAGACCAGAUGGCUCAGAUGCAAGCGACCACAGUUGAGGUUCAAAAGAAAUAUGAAAAACUCUAGCUACAACUUAAAGUAGAGGCGGCAGCGAGGGAAGCAAAGGCUGUAGUGAGAGAAGCAGAGGUUCAAAAGAAAUAUGAAGAACUCCAGCUAAAACUUAAAGAAGAUGCAGACUCGAGAGAAGCAGAGCAGAGCAGAAAGUACGACUAACUCCAACAGCAGCUUCAGAGUAUGAUGAAGAUGUUUCAGCAGUCGCAAAUUCCGCCGUCAUAGAGUAUUGCAUAAAUAUUUUUAUCAUUUCAACUUUUAACAUUUUUUUAAAAAUAAUAUGAAUUCACUUUUAUUUAUUGAUAUUAAUAUUAUUUUAUUAUUUAAUUUGAAAUAUUAUAUAACUUUAUUGCUUUUGGCUGGUUUAGAUCUGGUUGCUUUUGAUUUGUUGCUACAAUAAGGCUGAAAAAAUGGAAAAUUUUAUUUUACAGAAAUCCCAAAUUAAUGGCGUUUUUUUUAAAAGCACCGCUAAAAGUCGCGUCCCUAUAGUAGCGUUUGUGUAUAAAGCGCCGCUAAAGAACAUGUUCUUUAGCGACGUUUUUCUUCAGGCGCCGCUAAAGAACAUGCCCUUUAGCGGCAGUUUUCUUCAAGUGCCGCUAAAGAACAUGAUAUUUAGCGGCGUUUUUCUUUAAACGCCAUUAAAGAACAUGAUCUUUAGCGGCGUUUUUUUCUAACCACCGCUAAAGAACAUGAUCUUUAGCGGCGUUUAUUUCUAAGCGCCGCUAAAGAAUAUGACCUUUAGCGGCGUUUAUUUUUUUAAACGCUGCAAACAUUAGCGACGUCGUUAGCGGCAUUUUUUGCGGCACUUGUGGAAGCGUCGCAAACACCUUUAGUGGCGCUAAGAAGCGCCGCUACAUGCCUAAAAAAACGCCGCUAAAAACCUGUUUUGGUGUAGUGCUCUUAAAAAAAAUUCUUGGAUGAAGAAAGUAUAAAAGUAUAUAUACCUGAUGAACUUCGUUCUAAAGUUGCUCCAUGUUUCCAUAUGGUAAUUCCAAUGUAAUAAGGUUCUUUGGAUUAAAACUUGAUGAUAAAGAUUUGAAGGGGUAAUAAUGCCAUACAAGAUACCUUAGCUCAUCCGGAAGAGAGAUAAUAUCAUCUUGGUAUGUAUGUAGCUUCUUAUAAUCCUCAUGCUCUUUCCUCAACCAACUCCGAGGAAAAUAGAAGAAAAUACAUCUAAGAUUAAUCAUGCUUUCAAAACCAGAAGGUUGGAAUACUAGGUUACCCAUACGUGACAAGGCUACCUUUAUUCCUUGAAUUCGAUCAGUUCCCUGAUAACAAAAACCAAUUUAUCAAAUAUUAGCAUGGAGAAAUUUAUAGACAUUCCAUUAAAUAACUCAUAAAAAAAUAAUUAUAUUAAGAUAGACGUAGACUAAUUGAGCACUUUUACAUACAGAAAGUGUUUUCUUUUCUUUUGUUUUUAUUUUUUCAAAUCAAUGCAUUAAGUAUUUAACUAAGUCAUAAACCUUGAGCAGAUUCUACAUUAUACCUAAGACAUAGUCAUUAUGUGUCUAGUAUGAUGAUAAUUAUUUUAUUUUUAAAUACUAAUUAAAAGGGAUAAUACUUGAUAUGAUAUCAAAUGUAUAGGUUUAUAUACUGGCAUUCAACCAAAUGACAAUAUCUCAUUAAAGUAUAUUAAAAAAAUAUAAUUAGUGCUUACUUUAUUAUAUUUGAGCACUUCUUCCACGUGUUUCGGAUUCCAUAGUCUACUGCACUUACCAAGGGUUUUAGAUUCUUGACAAACAAUGUCCUUUCCCAUCUCUUCAAGCGUAUCAUGCAUAGAAAUUGCAUCUCGUAAUAAUUUACAUGGCCACAUUGUAGAAUAAUCAAAAUGAUCAAGAGAGAAAUUAGUAGAAGAUGAGACAUUGAUCAGGCAUUUGUCAACCAAUUUGUUUAUUCCACACUCUGCACCCGUAUAACAACUACUUAGAAUAAGUUUUGCUCUUUCCAUGGGUUCCCCUUUAAAGAAGCAUGCAAUGUCAAGAAAUAUAUUCUGCUCUACUAAAUCUAGCCCAUCAUAACUACUUUUCAAAACCUCUAAAAUUUUUUUUUCUGGGGGACAGUCCUUUAGCUUCUCCACCUUACUUUCCCAAUAAUUUUUACUUCUUUUAUUUAAAUCAGAACCCAAAACUUUAAGAGCAAGUGGAUUGCCUUGAGUGUACUUUACAAACCUACGGGAUAGAUCUUGAAAACCAACUGCGGGAUUCAACUGCUUAAACGCAAAGGUAGAAAAAAGUUGAAGAGAAUCGUUCUUAUUUAACCCUUUCACCUCAUGUAUUGUGUCAGCUCCUCCACUCUCAAGCACUUGUCUAUCUCUUGAUGUUAUAAUGGUUUUACUUCCAUAACCAAAAUGUUUAACACCCAUAUAAUCUAUUUGGUCUGAGUCAUCAACAUCAUCAAGGACAACAAGUACUUUCUUCUUGUUGAGUCUCUCUUGAGUUAAAGUGGAUCCAAUGGAGGGGGUGCCUAUAUCAACAUUUGAGUUCAAUAAUUUCGAAAGAAAUUCAUUUCGUAAAGAUUCCUUCCCUUGUUUGUUUAUUUCCUCUCUAACAUUUUGAAGAAACCAAUGACUUUCAAACUCUGAAGAGAAUUUUUUACAUACAGCCUCAGCAAGGGUUGUUUUGCCUUGACCACCCAUUCCCCAAAGUCCUAUUACACGACACUCUUUUUGCUUAAUCAGCUUCAAAAUCGCAUUUUUCUGAUAUUCUAUUCCAACCAAUUCUUCAGAAGCACUUUCAAACCCAAUAUUCGUCAACUUUUUUUAUAACAUAUUCGACAACAUCUUUAAUGUACUCGGUUUCAGGUCUAGAAAACAAUAAGAAAUGUAAAUAAGUAAAUAUGAAAUCUAAAAUAAAGAUUAGUUGAAAAUAACAAGAUGAGAAAAAUAUAGUUACCUGUCAAAUUUGCCUCCUUCUAUAUACCACCCUUUUAAUUUACCAACCUCUGCAAAAGCAGUUUUCCAUUGUUGUACUCUAUCAGCUGGUUGCUCUGAUUCAUGCUCUUCGAAGGAUGUCUUAAAAUGCCCACCACUAUUUCGCACAUCGGAAGGAUCAACAUGGUAAAAGACGGGAAGAACAAUAUGUUUGUCAGUGGGAUUGUGCUUGCGAUCCAUGAUGUCAGAAAGUUCACCUAAGCAUGAUUUUAAAGAAGCAUAGGCUUUAGAUACAACGAGGAUUGAGAGAUUUGAGGCCAAAAUUGUUCGAGAAUACGUUGGUGGAAGUUUCUCUCCUUUUUUCAGUGUUUCGUUAUCGGGGAAGACAUUAAUUCCUACUUUUUCCAAAGCAUUGACUAGGUGAUUGGAGAAGUUGAGGCGUGUGUCUUCACCUAAGCUUAAGAAAACUUGAUGCUUCAUCAACUUUUGCAUAACAUACGCAACAAUAUCCUUGAUGUACUGGGUUUCAGGUCUAGCAAAUAAUAGAAGAAGUAUAUAUAUGAAAUCCAAAACGAAGAUAAGUCAAAUAUAAGGAGAUGAGACAAAUAUAGUUACCCAUCCGACCUGCUUCCAUCUAUAUGCCACCCUUGUAAUUUACCAACUUCAGCAAAAGCAGUUUCCCAUUGUUUCACUUCAUGAACUGACCUCUUUGUUUUAUGCUCAUCAAAGGAUUUCUUAAAACUUCCAUCAAUUUUCACCACAUCAGAGGGGUUAACAUGGUAAAAGAUGGGACGAACAGUAUGUUGUCCGACGCUAUAGCGGUCCAUGAUGUCAGAGAGUUCAACCAAGCAUGAUUUCGAAGAGGCAUAGUCUGCAGACAAAACGAUGAUUGAGAUAUUUGAGACUGCAAUUGCUCGAGAAAGUGCUUGUGAAAGCUGGUCCCCCCUUUCCAGUUUUUCUUCAUCGAAGAAAACAUCAAGUCCCUCGUCUUUCAAAGCUUGAAGUAAGUGAGUGGUGAAAUUAAGGCGCGUGUCUUCACUUCUGAAGCUCAAGAAAACAUGAUACUUCAUUAGAGUAGAAGAUGAAGAAGAAGAACCCAUGAAAGAGUAUUGAUAGUGUGCUUGAAGCAAAAGAGAGAACAAAUAUAGCAAGUGAGUUUUGCUUGGGUUGUGGUAUUAUUGUAAGAAGAAAAAGUGUAAAUGGGAAAGAGAUUGAAGGCCUAGGCAAAAGCACAGGCGACGAUUUGAGCUUAGCCAACUAUCCUUUAGUCAACACUGGUGUUACUUGCACGCCACAUUAUCUUUUUGAAGAAAGCAAUGAGUUUCAAACUCUGAAGAGAGUUUUUUAUAUACAGCCUCAGCAAGGGUUGUUUCGCCUUGACCACCCAUUCCCCAAAGUCCUAUUACACGACAGUCUUUUUGCUUAAUCAGCUUCAAAAUCGUCCUUUUCUGAUAUUCUAUUCCAACCAAUUCUUCAGAAGCACUUUCAAACCCAAUAUUCGUCAACUUUUUUAUAACAUAUGAUUAAAUUAUUUAUUAUUUAUAUUAAUAAUCUUAUUAAAAUUUAAUAACAAUAACAAUAAUUAUCUACCUAAAAAAAAUUCUGCUAAGGGUAUUCUAGUUAUUUUUAGGGGUGUGCAUAAUUCGGGUAAAACCGAAAAAAUUCGGUUAACCGACCAAAUUCGGUUAAUCGGUCGGUUAACCAAAUUUUUACGGUCGGGGGUCGGUUAAUUUUUUUUAUGAUUUUUUGUUAACGGUUAAUUCGGUUCGAAACCGGUCGGUUAACCGAAUUUUUUCGGUUAACCGAAAAAAUUAAUAAAUAAAAUUAUUCAACCCAACCCAAUUACCAACCUAACCCAAUAAAACUAAAACAAAAGUCUACCCAAUUACCUAACCUAAUAAAACUAAAACAAAAGCCUACCAAAUUACCAACCCAAUAAAAAUAAAACUAAAGUCUAACUCUUAAGUAUCUACCCAAUUACACAUGUUUUUUUGUUAGGUUUAAUGCAAAUGAAGAUUUUUUGGAGAGAAGAAAUGGAUAUAAAUGGAGAAUAUUAAAGACUUACAUUUAAACUAUGUGUUAUUUCAAGAAUUAAUUUCAAGAAUUAUGUAAUGUUUUUAAUUAUGUAGUGGUUCAAAGACUUAUGUAAUAUUUUUAAUUAUGUAGUGAUUCAAUUCGGGUAAUUCGGUUAAUUCAGUUAAUUCGGGUAAUUCGGUUAAUUCGGUUAAUUCGGUUAAAUCGGUUAAUUUGGUUAGUUUUUAACCAAAAAUAAAUACCAUACAAUUUUUGGUUAAUUCGGUUAACUAAUCUAAUUAACCGAAAAAAUUUCGGUUCGGUUAAUUUCUUUUUAAAAAAAUUCGGUUCGGUUAACGGUUAAAAAUUUUAGAAAGUCGGUUAAUUCGGUUAUAGCUAUUUCGGGUCGGUUAACCGGUCGGUUAACCGAAUGCACACCCCUAAUUAUUUUAGUUUUUGUCCUUAUGCUAUUACAACAUCAUAUAGUUUAAGGGUAUUCUGCUAAGGAAAACAUGAUACUUCAUUAGAGUAGAAGAUGAAGAAGAAGAAGAAGCCAUGGAAGAGUAUUGAAGCAAAAGAGAGAAAAUUUGGUUGGGUUGUGGGAUUAUUGAAAGAAGAAAAAGUGUAAAAUAUGCAUAAUCUUUGGUAUCCUUUCAUUAAAUGGGAAAGAGAUUGAAGGCGUUUUCCUUAGACUUGAGCUUAGCCAAUUAUCUUAGUCAACACCAGCGGAGAUAAUCAAUUCUCCUUUUUAUCUUUUACCGCAAAAGUGGGAGUGUUUUGAUGGUGGGUGGGCCCAUCAAACCCAAAAUGAUUCUUAUUUCAACGAUUUAAAAUACAAAUUUAAAAAUCGCGAUUAAUUGAGCUUAGUUGAGAGGAUAAGUUUACAGUUUUAUAAUAAAGUCCCUCGUGAUGUUUUAAAUAUUUUAAAUCAAGAUAAAAGUUAAGGGUGCUUUUGAUCAAUUUAGUUUGAUGUAAUUUUUAUUUGUUAGUUUGUUUUUUACUAAAAAAUUGGUUAUUAUCUGAAAUCGAAUCGAAUUUUAUUUUUUAUUUCAUAUAUAAUUAAUUUUAACUUUUUUGAUAUAAAAAUACAUAUUUUAUAUUUAAAAUAAUGAAAGUAAUUUAAAUUUUUUGAAAAAUUAUUGUAUUUUAGAAAUAUUUAUGAAAAUAAAUUUGAAAUUUAUCAAAUAAUAUUUAAAAGCCAUAAAACAAAACUCAUUUUAUCAAAAUAAACCUUAAAAAUCAAAAAAAAAAUUAAUAUAAGAAACUGUGAACUAAACCGAGCCGAAUUAAACUAUAAUGGAUGAUUCAAAAAAUAUAAAUAACCCGGCCCUGUGAACCUCUUUGAAACUUCACUAUCCAUGAAAUUAGCCAAUUUGGAAAAGGGUCAAAUUUUGAUUUUGAGUCCUUUUACUAUUCUCAAAUUCGAGAUUUAGUCCUUUAACUUAAAAUAAUCUCUUUAUUUAUAUGUUGUCAUUAGUUAAUUCAAACAAGACAAUUAACUAUUUCAAUUAAAAUUAAAACGUAUUAUUAUCAAAGUGAUAUAAUAUCUUGUAAAAGGUAACUAAAAUAAACAAAUAAAGAACAAAAAAAAUUGAGAGAGAAGUGAAGAUAAGGGCAUAGUUAACUUUUUCUAUGUUUAUUAAGAUAAAUCAUCUUAUGGAGCAAAUCCAAAAAUUAGUUUAGAGUCUACUGUUGGAGAGGAUAAUGAUAGUAGUUAUGGAUCAUCUGUUGGUGAUGAAAAUGCUGUUGAUUUUGCAUUAGAUGAAGUGAACAAUGUUGCGGUUGCAAUUAGUGGAAAAGAGGAGGAUGGGAAUAAUACUAAAACUGAGGUAUGGGACUUAGAUGAACAUGGCAGCUUGGUUGGGUUCAAUGAAGAUGAAGAACAUGAAGAUGGUGAGAGAAGAAGAAGCAAGUUUCUUUUAUACAAUGAUUGAUCUAAUCCGUUAAAAUUUAGUUUAGGAAUGUUGUUUAAAGAUGGCAAAUAGUUUAAGAGUGCAAUUCGAAACUACUCCAAAGAAUGUAGAAGACAACGGAAGUUUCUUAAGAAUGAAUUGAAAAGGGUUGUUGUGAGGUGCAUUGCUUCCCCUAACUGUCCAUGGAGAAUUUUGGCUAGCUACAAUCCUAUUCCCAAAUACUUGCAAGUAAAAACUUUUCAGGAGAAGCAUCAUUGUUUGGGUAGUUCUGAGAACAAAAUGAUGAUUGCUGCAAUGAUUGCCCAACAUUUUGAAGCAAUUAUCAAUGAUCACUUUAAGAUGCAAAUAAGGAAAAUUCAAAGAAGAUGUGCUUCAUAGAUGCAUGUAAAUGUGAGCAUUCAGUGUUGUUAUAGAGCUAAGAAAGUAGUGAAGGAGAAAAUGGUUGGGAAUUACGAGGAAUUUGGUCAGUUAUAUGACUAUACUCAUGAGUUAAGGUCAAAGAUGUCAGGCAGCACAAUAAAAAUGGUUGUUCAUAGUAGAUUCCCCUCCUUAUUUUAGAAGGUUUUAUCUGUGCUUUGAUACACUAAAGAGAGGCUGGAAAGUGAGGUGUAGGCCAUUUAUUGGAUUAGAUGGUUGCUUCCUAAAAGGGUCAUUUAAGAGUGAAUUUCUCACAAUUGUUGGAAGGGAUGCAAACAACCAGAUGUUCCCUAUGGCAUGGGUUGUGAUUGAAGUGGAAUACUUUGAUUCAUGGGCCUAGUUUCUUAGUCUCCUAUUAAUUGAUUUGGGCUUGGAGGAUGGGUAUGAGUUCACAAUUAUCAGGGACCAACAAAAGGUUAGGGAAUUAACUAAUUUGGGCUUGGUCUUGUCUUUUUAUUUUGUUAAGUAUAAUUAGCUAUAUUUUUCUAACAAUCUAACUGGUUCAUUAAAACACAAUUAAGGCCUUCAGAUUGUAAUUUCUACAUAUCGCCAAAGGUGGAGCAUAGGAAUUGUGCGAGGGACAUGUUUGCAAAUUGGUCAGGAAGGAAGCUAGGGAAAUCUUAUGAGUAUGAUUUCUAGCAGAUUGUGAAUUCCAUAACUGAGAAUGAAUGGGAGGAAUUAUGUGCAGCACUAUGUCCGACUUGACUUUCAUUAAAAUUUUAUGGAAACUACGGAUCACGGUCAUAAAAUUCAAAAAAAUAAAACAUAACAAAUAGAAAACACCUACUCCGUGAUCAAUAUAAAACCAUAUGUUAGAAGAUUAACCAAUCUCAAGCAUCUAUUGAUUAUAUAUAGGGAACAGUUGGUAGGUUUACCUUAUCUAACAUGAAUAUAAAUCAGAAAUCAUGAACUGAAAACAUAUAUAUUUACUAACAUUUUAAGGAAAUAUGAAGCAUAAAUCAAUGGGUGAACGAAUCAUUGAAGUAAAAUGCAGAUAGUCUUGAGAUACAAUAUGAUUAAAUCUCUACUUACUGCCCAUGGCACAAGCACCAAUGGUAGAACCUAAACAAUUAAGCUGAAUGAUGUCCACCACAGAUCCUAUGAAUCAAAACCAACCAAUAACAAGUCAAUUGCCAAAAAGAAUUCAAGUAUGAAUCUUAAUAUCUCUUCACUGCAAUGCUCAAACAACAUGAGAGGAAGUAACAUACAAAGAACUUUCAGCCCAAACUGAUACGACAAUCAAAAUCCAAGGUAAGAAGCUAGCAACUCCAAUGGCUCUACCCUGGAACUAACCCAAUCUAGCUUGAGAAUGAAAACUGCCGAAGGUUGCAUCUAGCUCCACGUGUUCAUCCCACAAGUUUUGAGAUCUCUUGCAAAUUCUGGAUUUAUAUAAUCCCAUUGAUAAAUAUGGGAAAAAAUGGUGAGGAUGCUGAAAAUCAUUAUAUGAACCUAAAAUCAUGAUAAUUAAGUCCAAGUCGAUGGUAACUUCUUCACCAAGACUGAAUUUGCCAGAACCCAGAAAGGGCCUCAAAAGAUUACUUUGAAGUUGUGUUCACAAAUCUGUUGACAACUUGCAUUGUCACCAAAUAUCAGUUAAAACACUUGUAUGAAACAAGCAUUCAGCAAAACAAAUUGAAGCUCUUACAGUUCAGGUGCUCCUCCUUAUAUGGCUAAAGCUCCAAUUCAGCAGUGGCACAAAUAACCAAUCUUUCUAAUGAAUCUAGAUGUCAUUGAAGGAAAAUGCAGCAAGUCUUGAGAUACCAGAUGACACCAAUGCUGGAAACUAAACAAUGAAGCUGAAUCGAGUCCACCACUGGUCCUAUGAAUUAAAAAAAAAACCAACCAAUAACAAGUCAACUGUCAAUAAGAAUUAAGUAUGAAUCUUAAUAUCUGAAUUUUAAGAACACAGACACAACAGGGGAUGAAGAUGAGAAAAAAAUAAUAAUAAUAAUAAGCAAAAAUCACAAGCUGUUGAACAAAUUUCCAAUUUUUAUGUUCAUAAAUUAUGUUUUUAACAUUUACAAUGUAGAACUACAAGGUUUCAGUAUGGUAAAGCACCUUCUGAAAGACAAGUAAUUUAUAAAGCAGAGCAAGUUAGAUUCAUCCUGGUCGGUUUUAAUUAAUUAAAGCACUUCAUUUGCUGUUAUUAAUUUAUAAGUUCAAAAUUUACUAUUAACAAUUGUGGAAGACAAAAGUAUGGCAAUAUGAAAAAUGAAAUGAAAAAACUGAAAAUGUAUGAUAAUAUGAAAAACUGAGAUGAAAUGAAACCCUUACCCAUGCAUUUGGAUGACAUAAUUGAGAAGUUGAAAGUCCUCAAAAGCAGAGCCAAAGAUGGAAAGAAAUACAAACUAUUUCAAUCUUUUAAGUCCUCCAUCCCCUUCUUCACCAUCAUGGCUAAAGCUUCUUUUGUUCCCAGCAACUCUCUUUUCAGUAGCAUCCACGUAAAAUACAUGAACACCACAUCUCUCCACCUUGAUAUACUUUUCUCCUCCAUCAUUGUCUUCAUCGAAAUGGAAAUUGUUAAUGUAGAAUUCAAAUGUUGCCUCCUCAUAAUUCUUGUCUUCUAUAACCAUGUCGAUGCUAGAUAGAAUAAACACGUGAUAAUCCAUGUACUAAACUGGCUCAUAAAAACUGCGGAAAGAGAUCUCACUUCUGAAAUUUUCACAACCACCUCCACCAUUGCCGCCAACGGCAGUUGUAAGUUGGUACUCACAAAUACAUUCACGUAAUUGAAAUUCAAGGCAGUGAGUGAGAUCAACCACAAGGCAGAUAGCAAAAACCAAAAAUCUGCUCCCACUACCCCCAUUUGGGGCUAUCUUCAAACUUAAGGAAGAAUUCAUGCUCUGACACUUGAACAUAUUUGCUGAAAUUUUGUUUCCUGGGAAACAACAAAUCAAACUUGGAGCUCUGUCAGGGUUGUAUUGCCAAUCAUAUCUCGCUGCCCAUUUCUUAGCUAGGGAUCCAAUUUUGAGCAUGGUAUUUGCCUCAAUGUUAUUAGUUGAGUCUUGAUUCAAGUUGAAGCAAUUACGGAAUCGCAUCAAAAAGUUAUGAUUUAUGCAAAACUCAUCAUCUAAAGAAUCAAACUGAUUUAAAUUUUGAUCUGCGAAGGAUACUUUUUCUAAUGAUGUGCAGUCAUUUACACUCAAGACUUCCAGAUAUGGUGGAAGCUCUGAGAGUAAUUCGACCUUUGGGCAACCACUAAGAUCCAGAUAAUGAAGAGAUUCCAACUUGAUCGAUACAUUUUUGACCGCUGAGCCACUCAUAUUUAAGUGCUGAAGAUUACAUAGAGAGUCGAAAGGCAACGACACUUCUUCAAUUUGAGUGCCAGAUAAGUUUAAUUUUAUUAAGCUUCCUGGGAUUUCUGGAAAUUUGACCAUUGGGCAUCCACUAAGAUUCAGUUUGCGAAUGGAUUCCAACUUGAUCGAUACAUUUUUGACCGCUGAGCCACUCAUUUUUAAGUGCUGAAGAUUACAUAGGGGGUCGAAAGGCAACGACACUUCUUCAAUUGGGCAACCACUAAGAUCCAAUUUACGAAGGAAUUCCAACUUUAAAAUAUUGAUCGAUACUUUUUUCACCUUUGACUUCCCUAACCACAAAGUUUCAAGUUUGUGGUAGAUCCUUAAUUGAAUCAGACACUUCUUCUACUUUGGUUUCUGAUAAAUCUAAAGAGCAAAAGGGAGGUGGGACAUUAGGAAACUUCUUGAGACUAUAACAUCCGUUAAGACGAAGACUAUAUUGAUGAAGAGAUGCCAAAUGAUUGAGGCAAGGAAGUUCAACCAAACUUUUACAGUUAGAGCAACCAAGGAAUUCAAGGUUGAUUGCUCUUGAAAGAUUAGAUAUCUUCCUUAAAUUCACGCACCCAUCAAAGUAAAUUUUCCUUAAAUGAACAAGGUCCUGUACAGAAAAAAUAAUUGUUUUACUUUUAAGCAUCAACCACUUACUUUAGACCGUAAAAUAUGUAAAGGAAAUAAAUAAUUAUAAUACGAUAAAAAAUAAAAAUUUAUAUUUGAUGUAUCAAGGGUGAAAAUCCACCCACAGCUAAUAAAUCAAAUGAUGUCACUUAUCUAAAUAAAAUAAAUUCUUUUAUAUAUAUUUUUAAAAACCUUUAAAUAAAAUAUUAUCAUAUGAAUAUUUGAUACAUCAAAUUAUAAAUUAUUUUUUUCAAAAAAAAAAGAGUAUAAAAAUGCAUACCAUACGAUCAUCUUCAUCCCAAAGUUCAACCAAACUUUGACAGUAAGAGCAAUCAAGGAAUUCAAGGUUGAUGGCUCUUGAAAGAUUACAUAUCUUCCUUAUAUUUUUGCAUUCUGAAAUAUAAAUUUCCCUUAAAUUAACAAGCUCCUGUAUGGAAACAACAUUUGUAUUGCUUUGAAGCAUCAACUACUUACUUUAAGUAGUAAAAAAUGAAAAAGGAAAUAAAUAAUUAUAAUACUAAGAAAAAUAAAAAUUCAUAUUUGAUGUAUUGGGUGUGAAAAUUAACACACAAUUAAUAGAUCAAAUGAUGCCACUAAUUUAUAUAAAAUAAAAUAAAAUCUUUCAUAUUUCUUUUUUAAAAACUUUAAUUAAGAUGUCAACAUAUCAUAUGAUUAUUUGAUACAUUAAAUUAAAAAAAAUCUUAAAUGAAAUAAGUAUGAAAGUACACAUACUAUAUGAUCAUCUUCAUUCCAAAGUUCAACCAGACUUUCACAGCCAAUGCAACGAAGGAGUUCAAGGUUGAUGGCACCUGAAAGAUUAUGCAUCUUCCUUAAAUUCUUGCAAUAUGAAACGUCAAUUUCCCUUAGAUUAGUAAGGUUCUGUGCAAAAGAAAAAUAUAUAAAAAUAAUUAUAUAUCAUUGUCAAGUAUCAUCUACUUACUUUAGGCAGUAAGAAAUAAAAAGAAAAUAAAUAAUUGACAAGAUCCUGCACAGGAUGAGAACGAAAGUAGUUUCAUUACUUUAGAGCAUCAUCUACUUAUAUUAAGAUUAUCAAAAUAAAAAUUUGUAUUGGGUGUAUUAAUUCACCCACCAUUAAUAGAUGAAAUUGCUUCUUUUAGAAAAAAAAAAUAUAUAUAUUUAAAAAAAUUAAAUAAAAUGAUUUCACUUAUUCAAAUAAAAUAAAAUGUUUCAUAUUUAUAUUUUAAAAACUUUAAAUAAAUAUCAUAUGAUAUAUUAUUUGACACAUCAAAUUAUAAAUCCUCUUUCUCCUUAAAAAAACUUCUUAAAUGAAGAAAGUAUGAAAGUAUAUACCAUAUUGUCAUCUUCACUCCAAAGUUGUUCCAUGUUGCCAUGUAAUAGUUUCAACAUGACAAGAUUUUUUGGAUUAAAACUAGAUAAAGAUUUGAAAGGGUAAACAUCCCAACAGAGAAACCUUAACUCAUCAGGAAGAGAUAUACUCUCAACUUGAUUUGCAUAUAGCUUCUUAAGCCAUAACAUUUUCUUAGGAAAGCUGAUGUUGAUAUAUCUAAGCUUAUGCAUCUUCUCAAUAGCAGUAGCACAAAACUGUAGACUAUCAACUUCAGUCAUGUCUACCUUUAUUCCUUUAAUUAGAUCAGUCCCCUGAUAAAAAAAAAUAUUUAUCAUGAAUUAACACAAAGAAAUUUAUGUACAUUCCAUUAAAUCAGUCAUAAAAAAGUUAAUUAUAUUAGGAAACACUUUAAACUAACGCAUACCUUUUUUUUUUUUUGAAGUUUGAAUUUUUUUAAUCAAAAUGGCUUUUUAUAAUUAAAAUUUAUUUUAAUAUAUGAAACUUUGAUUUGUAAUCAAGUAACUCAGCUCUUGUGUAUGUAUGUGAUGCUAUUUUUGUCUUAAAGAUUAUUAUCAACAAGAAAAAUUGUUCCAAUGAUGUUGGGGGGUGUUAAUUUCCAAGUCAAGGUCUUCCAUUGGGACAAAAUUGUUAAGUAAAUAAAAUUCCAUUCUUUGAAUUUCUUUUUGGGUCCUAACAAAAAUAUUGACUUCUACACACUUUGUGAUUUGGGUCAAUUGAACUGAAAUUUCAUAUAAUUUUCUUUAAGAAGAAGCACUUUCAGACAAUUUUAAGUGAAUUGAACUUAAAUUUCCCACAACUUUAUAAUUUUCACUUUUUUCCCCUAAAUGAAAAGUUUUGGGAAUGAAGGGUGUUGUGUUUCUAUUUUCCUAGGUAAAAUAAUGAUAGAUUUUCUUUCUGCUUUGGGGGUUUCCUAUUUAAUCCUUUAUUUUGAGCACAGGUAAGGUGAGUUUGGUUAAAAAGACCUCUUUAGUUUCUUUCAAUUUUGGAAUCGAAUAAAUUGGUCACUCUCAAAAAAGAAAAUCAAAGCAAUUGAAUCAUGGUUAAUUUUAAAGGUGAGUAACUAAGGACAACUAAUCGUGAUGUUAACGUCUUUCGUCAAUUGUACAUAAUUUUGAUUGGUAUAACAAUAAAUUUAGCCUUCAAUGUUUCCAUUUUUUGUCAAUUUGGUCUUGGUUCUAAAAAAUCAAUAAAUUUAGUAUCAACAUUUACACAAAUGUUGUGGGCUAAAUUUGUUAAAUCAAGACAAAAUUGUAAAAUUUGAGGGGUAAAUUUGUUAUUAUACUAAUCAAAAUUAUGUAAGUUUGAUGGACAACAUUAAUGUUGUGCUUAAUUUACUUUAAUUGCUCACUUUCGAAAUUGAUGGAAUUUAAAUUGUUCUAAUUUUUUUAAGGGAGAUCAAUUUACUAAAUAUCAACCUUGAGAUAGAUUGAAUAGAUCUUUUACCAACAAAUAUGCUUGCUUACAUUUAUUUUAAACAUAGAAUCCAAUCAGUUUUCUAAUUAAACAUGGAUUCACCUAAACUGAUUAGCAAGUAGGAAUGAGCAAAAUUCAAUUCUAUUUGUAUUGGCAAGCAUGCAAUCUUUGAUUUUUUCAAAGAUGAAUGGUGUCAGAAAGUUGGCACCGAAAAUCUAAGCAUUUAAGGCAUAGAUUUUUGAGUUGAAAUUUGGCUUGGAAUAAUUGCAAUUUUGGUCCCUAAUUGUAUAGGGACUUUGCAAGUUGAUCGUUGAGCUUCAACUAUAAAUAGGCCUAGCUAUUUCUCAUUUUCACCAUCCCACAAAUGCCAUUCUCUACUUAAGGCAUUAUUCUCUCUCCUUAUUUGUAAAAUUUCACUUGUAUUUUGGAGUGAAAUAUAUUUGGUAGUGCCCGAGGACGUAGGCAAAAUUUGCUGAACCUUGUUAAAAUUCUAGUGUUCUUUAUUGUUUAUUUUGCAUAUUUUGUAAGUGUGAUUGUAGUGAUUUAUUGUGCUAUUAAAUUACGAUAGAGGGAUAUUCUGGCUAGGAAAGACCUGGGAAUUGAACUUAGUGUGAUUUUUUAGUACAAUAAUUUUACUCUUUUACACGCUUUCGCGCAACAAUUGGUAUCUGAGCUAGAUUCGUACUUGGGGAAUACGACCAUUUACGAUACUAUUUACGUAUACGAUAUUGUUCAUCCACGGCACUAUUCACGUAGACGGUACUGUUCACAUAAACAGUAGUUGGGAUCGAGGAGAAGAAUGGCAGAGGCAUCGUCAUCAACAAAGACUACCGUGACCAAUGCAAAAUUUGAAGUAGAGAAAUUUGAUGGUACAAAUAAUUUUGGUAUGUGGCAAUGUGAGAUCCUGGAUGUCUUAUGUCAGCAAGAGUUGGAUAUAGCUCUUGAAGAAAAACCUGACAAGAUGGAUGACAAGGAGUGGGCCAAGAUCAAUAGACAGGCGUGUGGUACAAUCCGCUUAUGUCUGGCCAAAGAGCAGAAGUACUCUGUCAUGAGGGAGACAUCAGCAAAGAAGUUAUGGGAUACACUGGAAGAAAAGUUUCUAACGAAAAGUCUUGAAAAUAGGCUUUAUAUGAAAAAGAAACUUUUUCGAUUCACGUAUGCACUCGGUAUGUCGAUGAAUGACCAUGUGAACUCAUUUAAUAAAAUUUUAGCAGACUUGCUAAAUUUGGAUGAGAAGUUUGAAGAUAAGACAAGGCAUUAUUGUUGUUGAAUUCUCUUGCCGAUGAAUAUGAUCAUCUUACCACCACAUUGCUUCAUGGGAAGGAUACGAUCACAUUUGAUGCAGUCUGCAGUGCGUUGUACAGAUCUGAGACUCGAAAGAAAGAUAAAAGAGAUCACAGAGAUACAACUGCAGAAGUCUUAACAGUAAGAGGUCGUUCACACAGCAACAAACCUGGUAGAAGGGGCAAGUCCAAAGGGAGACCCGCCAAAGAUGAAUGUGCUUUUUGUCGUGAGAAAGGGCAUUGGAAAAAGAAUUGUCCUAAGUUACAAAAGGGCAAGGCUAUUUCUAAUGCAUGUGUAGCGGAGCAUGAUGAGGAGUCAGACUUUAGCUUGGUUGGCAUGGCAAUGACAUGUCAUACAGAUGAGUGGAUAUUGGAUUCGGGAUGUACUUACCAUAUGUGUCCUAAUAAGGACUGGUUUUCUAGUCUUGAAGAACUAGAAGGUGGAGUUGUUUUUAUGGGCAAUGACAGUGCCUGUAAGACAAUGGGAGUAGGUACAAUCAAAUUAAAGAAUCACGACGGCUCAAUCCAAGUCUUGAUAGAUGUUCGCUAUGUACCUAGCUUGAAGAAAAAUCUCAUCUCAUUAGGGGCCCUAGAAUCUGGGCUCACAGUCACUUUGAGAGAUGGAUUACUAAAGGUAGUAGCUGGGGUAUUGACAGUGAUGAAAGACACUAGAAGAAAUAACUUUUACUAUUUAAAUGGAAGUACAGUUAUUGGAUCAACAUCAACAGCUUCUGCAAAAGAUGCAGAUUCAGAGGCUACCAGUUUAUGGCAUAGGCGAUUGGGACAUGCUGGUGAAAAAGCUUUGCAGACUUUGGCGAAGCAAGGCUUGUUGAAAGGUGCAAAUUCUUGCAAAUUGGAAUUCUGUGAACAUUGUGUUCUGGGCAAGCAGACGAGGGUAAAAUUUGGUUCAGCAAUUCACAAUACGGAAGGAAUUCUGGACUACGUUCACAGUGACGUGUAGGGACCUACCAAAGUGGCUUCUUUGGGAGGUAUGCACUAUUUUGUUACUUUUGUUGAUGAUUAUUCAAGAAAAGUAUGGGUGUAUCUAAUGAAAAGAAAAAGUGAAGUUUUGGAUGCAUUUCUGAAGUGGAAGAAGAUGGUGGAGACUCAGACUGGUCGAAAGGUCAAACGACUUCGAUCAGAUAAUGGUACUGAGUACAAAAAUGAUCCAUUUCUACAAGUAUGUCAAGAUGAGGGCAUUGUGCGACACUUCACUGUCCGGGAUACACCACAGCAGAAUGGGGUGGCAGAACGUAUGAAUCGGACUAUACUGGAGAAAGUUCGAUGUAUGUUGUCCAAUGCUGGAUUGGGCAAGGAAUUUUGGGCUGAGGCAGUUACAUAUGCGUGCCAUCUAAUCAACCGGUUUCCAUCAGCUGCAAUAAAGGGAAAAACUCCUAUGGAGAUGUGGACUGGUAAACCUGCUACUGAUUAUGAUUCUUUACAUGUUUUUGGUUCCACUGCAUAUUAUCAUGUAAAAGAAUCUAAGUUAGACCCAAGAGCAAAGAAAGCAUUAUUCAUGGGUAUAACUGGUGGAGUAAAAUGAUACCGUCUCUGGUGUCCUGAUACAAGGAAGAUUGUUUUCAGUAGAGAUGUGACUUUUGAUGAAUCAACCAUGAUGAAGAACAAAGAUUCACAAAAGGAUGACAAAACCAGUAGUACUUUGCAGCAGGUGGAGCUUGAAAAGGUUAAUGAUGAUCCAGCUAAUAUUGAAGAAACAAAUGAUGAAGAAGUUUUGACUCAAGAACUUCUACAGCAACAAGAUUCAAUUGCAUAUAGGAGGCCAAGAAGAGAGAUUCGUAAGCCUGCUCGCUUUGAUGAUAUAGUGGCCUAUGCACUUUCAAUUGCAGAUGAUGAUGUUCCUUCUACUUACACAGAAGUAAUAAGUAACCCUGAUAGUGUAAAGUGGAAGCAAGCUAUGAAUGAAGAAAUGCAGUCUCUUCAUAAAAAUAGGACUUGGGAGUUGGUGACACUGCCCAAGGGAAAGAAGGCAAUUGGAUGUAAAUGGGUAUAUGCAAAGAAAGAAGGAUUUCCUGGUAAAAAUGAAAUUCGAUACAAGGCUAGAUUGGUAGCAAAGGGUUACGCUCAGAAAGAAGGAAUAGACUACAAUGAAGUGUUUUCUCCAGUUGUGAAGCAUUCGUCUAUUCGGAUUUUGCUAGCCUUGGUUGCGCAAUAUGACCUUGAACUAGCUCAGCUUGAUGUGAAGACGGCUUUUUUACACGGUGAUUUGGAAGAGGAAAUCUAUAUGACUCAACCUGAUGGAUUCAAGGUUGCUGGUAAAGAAAAUUGGGUUUGCAAACUGAUGAAGUCGCUUUAUGGAUUGAAAUAAUCUCCGAGACAGUGGUACAAGCGAUUUGAUCAGUUCAUGAAAGGGCAAAGGUACACAAGAAGUAAAUUUGAUCAUUGCGUGUAUUUUCAGAAGCUACAAGUAGGAACUUUCAUAUACUUGCUCUUAUAUGUUGAUGAUAUGCUGAUAGCAUCUAAGAGCAAAGUUGAGAUUGAGAAAUUGAAGACUCAACUCAAUCUUGAAUUUGAGAUGAAAGAUCUAGGUGAAGCUAAGAAGAUUCUUGGCAUAGAAAUAUGUAGAGAUAGAGCUCAAGGCAGAGUUAGCUUGUCUCAGAAGCAGUAUUUGAAGAAAGUACUACAGCAGUUUGGCAUGAACGAGCAGACCAAACCAGUAAGUACCCCGUUGGCUUCUCAUUUCAAGCUUUCUGCACAACUAUCUCCUUCGACGAAUACGGAACAAGAAUACAUGUUACAAGUUCCGUAUUCUAAUGUAGUGGGUAGCUUGAUGUAUGCAAUGGUGUGUACAAGACCCGACAUUUCACAAGCAGUUAGUAUAAUGAGCAGAUAUAUGCAUAAUCCUGGAAAAGGACAUUGGCAAGCUGUGAAAUGGAUUCUACGAUAUAUUCUGAAGACCGUGGAUGUUGGAUUACUGUUCAAGCAGGAUACUACACUUGGUAAAGGUGUUAUUGGGUACGUUGAUUCUGACUAUGCCGGUGAUUUGGACAAACGAAGAUCAACCACCGGUUAUGUGUUUACACUUGCUGGAGGACCAAUAAGUUGGAAGUCUACACUACAGUCUACAGUUGCGUUGUCAACCACAGAAGCCGAAUACAUGGCUGUAACAGAGGCUGUAAAGGAAGCUAUUUGGUUACAAGGUAUGGUUAAAACCUUGGGAUUGGUUCAGGAGCAUAUUGACGUGUAUUGUGAUAGUCAAAGUGCUAUUCAUUUAGCAAAGAAUCAAGUCUAUCAUGCACGUACAAAGCAUAUCGACGUACGAUUCCAUUUUGUGCGGGAAAUUAUUGAUGAGGGGAAAAUUCGUCUUCAGAAGAUCAAGACUGCAGAUAAUCCCGCAGAUAUGAUGACCAAGGUGGUAACAACAAUCAAGUUCGAACAUUGUUUGAGCUUGAUCAAUAUUCUGGAAGUCUAACAGUUGAAGAAGGCACUAUCAAGUAUUGUUGUCAAAGGCAGAAAGAAUUGUGUGAAGAUAAGAUUAUCCUAAUCAAAUCUUCAAGGUGGAGAUUAUUGGCAAGCAUGCAAUCUUUGAUUUUUUCAAAGAUGAAUGGUGUCAGAAAGUUGGCACCGAAAAUCUAAGCAUUUAAGGCAUAGAUUUUUGAGUUGAAAUUUGGCUUGGAAUAAUUGCAAUUUUGGUCCCUAAUUGUAUAGGGACUUUGCAAGUUGAUCGUUGAGCUUCAACUAUAAAUAGGCCUAGCUAUUUCUCAUUUUCACCAUCCCACAAAUGCCAUUCUCUACUUAAGGCAUUAUUCUCUCGCCUUAUUUGUAAAAUUUCACUUGUAUUUUGGAGUGAAAUAUAUUUGGUAGUGCCCGAAGACGUAGGCAAAAUUUGCUGAACCUCGUUAAAAUUCUAGUGUUCUUUAUUGUUUAUUCUACAUAUUUUGCAAGUGUGAUUGUAGUGAUUUAUUGUGCUAUUAAAUUACGAUAGAGGGAUAUUCUGGCUAGGAAAGACCUGGUACUUAAGCGAUCUUCGUGAUCCACCUCCCUUUCCUGGGAAUUGAACUUAGUGUGAUUUUUUAGUACAAUAAUUUUACUCUUUUACAUGCUACCGCGCAACAAUUUGAAAAAAUAGAAAAAAAAUCGAAUUUCAAAUUAUUCGAAUUGAGUUAAUUGAGUUAAUCAAAUUAAUUGACUCAACUUGAUUUUCUUUCAAAUUUCGAGUUCAAUUCGAGGAGUUUUCGAAUUCUAAGAAUCCAAAUAAUUCGAAUAAAUCAAUUGCCCAAACAAAAUUAAGCUAAAUGAUGUCCACCACAGAUCCUAUGAAUCAAAACCAACCAAUAACAAGUCAACUGCCAAAAAGAAUUCAAGUAUGAAUCUUAAUGUCUCUUCACUGCAAUGCUCAAACAACAUGAGAGGCAGUAACAUACAAAGAAAUUUCAGCCCUAACAGAUAUGAUAAUCAAAAUCCAAGAUAAGGAAAUAUCAACUCCAAUGCCUCUACCAUGAAACUAACUCAAUCUAGUCUGAGAAUGAAAACUGUCAAAGGUUGCCUCCAGCUCCAUGUGUUCAUCUCACAAGUUUUGAGAUCUGUUGCAAAUUCUGGAUUUAUAUAAUCCCAUUGAUAAAUAUGGGAAAAAAAUAUUUAAGGAUGCUGAAAAUCAUCAUAUGAACCUAAAAUCAUAAUAAUAAGUCAAAGUCAAAGGUAACUUACUUCUCCACCAAGACUGAAUUGCCAGAACCUAAAAAGGGCCUCAAAAGAUUACUUUGCAUUUGUGUAGACAAAUCUGUUGACAACUUGCAUUUUCACCAAAUAUCAGUUCAAACACUUGUAUAAAGCAAGCAUUCAGUAAAACAAAUUGAAGCUCUUACAGCUCAGGUGUUCCUCCUUGUAUGGCUAAAGCUCCAAUUCAGCAGUGGCAUUCUCAAAGAUCUGUCAUUCCCUCGUCUUACAUCAACACAAAAGCAAAGGAUAUAAGAAAAACCUGUCUCACAAAUAACCCAUCUUUCUAAUGAAAGAAAAUGCAGCAAGUAUUGAGAUACCAGAUGACACCAAUGCUGGAAACUAAACAAUGAAGCUGAAUCGAGUCCACAUUUGGCCCGAUGAAUUAAAAAAACCAACCAAUAACAAGUCAACUGUCAAUAAGAAUUAAGUAUGAAUUUUAAUAUCUGAGUUUUGGUACCCACCAAAAUCCUCUAUGGAUAUUUUAACAACUCCAAAGCAGAAUCAUUUUGCUACUGUGUUGAAAUCUCUAGUUUCCGUUCAAUUUUCCUCCAAAUUAAUUAAUAUAUAUGGAGAAUUUCGUUCUUGGACAAUAUAUGCUAUAUCUACAAAACAACACAGACAUAACGGGGGAAUGAAGAUGAGAAAAAAUAAUAAUAAGCAACUAUCACAAACUAUUGAACAUAUUUCCAAUUUUAUGUUCACAAAUUAUGCUUUUAACAUUUACAAAGUGGAACUACAAGGAUUCAGUAUGGCAAAGCACCUUCUAAAAGACAAGUAAUUUAUAAAGCAGAGCAAGUUAGAUUCAUUCUGGUUGGUUUUAAUUAAUUAAAGCACUUCAUUUUCUGUCACUAAUUUAUAAGUUGAAAAUUUACUAUUAACAAUUGUGGAAAACAAAACUAUGGAAAUAUGAAAAAUGAAACGAAAAAACUGAAAAUUUUAUGAUAAUAUGAAAAAAUGAGAUGAAAAUGAAACCCCUACCUAUGCAUUUGGAUGACAUAAUUGAGAAGUUAAAACUCCUCAAAAGCAGAGCCAAAGAUGGAAAGAAAUACAAACUAUUUCAAUCUUUUAAGUCCUCCAUCCCCUUCUUCACCAUCAUGGCUAAAGCUUCUUUUGUUCCCAGCAACUCUCUUUUCAGUAGCAUCCACGUAAAAUACAUGAACACCACAUCUUUCCACCUUGUUAUAGUCUUCUUCUUCAUUAACUUCAUCAUCAUUGUCGAUGAUGUAGAAUUUAAAUGAUGCCUCCUCAUAAUUCUUGUCUUCUUCAACCAUGUCGUUGCUAGAUAGAAUAAACACGUGAUCACCGUUGUACUUAUUUGGCUCAGAACAAUCGAAGAAAGAUAUCUUACUUAUGUAGCUUUUAGAAUCACCACCACCGGCGGCUGUAAGGUGGUACUCACAAAUACAAUUAAGAUAUUUAAAACGAUGGCAGUGAGUGAGAUCAGCCACAAGGCAGAUAGCGAAAACCAAAAAUCUGCUCCCACUACCCCUAUUUGGGGCUAUCUUCAAACACAAGGAAGAAUUCAUUCUCUGAUACUUGAACUUAUCUGCAGAAAUUUUGUUUCCUGGGAAACAACAAAUCAAUCUUGGAAAGUCUUCUCGCUGGUAUUUCCAAUCAUAUCUUGCUGCCCAUUUCUUAGCUAGGGAUCCAAUUUUGAGCAUGGCAUUUUCCUCAAUGUUAUCAAUUGACUCUGGAUUCAAGUUGAUGCAAUUACAGAAUAGCAUGCCAAACAAAUCAUCACCUAACGAAUCAAACUGAUAUAAAUUUUGAUCUGCAAAGGAAACUUUUUCUAAUGAUGUGCAGUAUUGUACAUUCAAGUUUUGCAUAUAUGGUGGAAGCUCUGAGAGUAAUUUGAGGCUCUCGCAACGAUCCAUCCUCAUAUGGUUAAGGAUUUUAGACCUCAAGCUUGGCGUGGGAAAAUCGACAGUUGGAAACUCUCUGGAACCGAACAGGGUGAUAUUACACAUUAGCUUUUGAAUACUUGAGCCGCUCAUAUUUAAGUAUUGAAGAUUACUUAAAGAGUCUAACGACAAGGCAGCUUCUUCAAUUCCAGUUCCAGAUAAGUCUAACCAUGUUAAGCUCCUCGGGAUUUUUGGAAAUUCGACCAUUGGGCAUUCACUAAGAUUCAAUUCACUAAGGAGUUCCAACUUUGAAAUAUUGAUCGAUACUUUUUCUACCUUUGAUUUGCUCAACAACAAUCUUUCAAGUUUGUGGAGAUACUUAAUUGCAUCAGGUACUUCUUCUAUUUCAGUUUCUCGUAAAUCUAAAUAACAAAAGUGACUUGGGACCUGAGGAAACUUCCUGAGACUAUAACAUCCCUCAACGCGAAGCUUAUCCUCAUCACGAGAUGCCAAAUGAUUAAGGCUGGGAAGUUCAACCAAACUUUCACAGUAAGAGCAAUCAAGGAGUUCAAGGUUAGUGGCUCUUGAAAGAUUAGGUAUCUUCCUUAAUUUUUUGCAAUUUGAGACGUCAAUUUCCCUUAAAUUAACAAGAUUCUGUACAGGAAAAAAAUUAAAUGUCAUCUACUUACUUUAGGCAAUAAAAAAUGGAAAGGAAAUAAAUAAUUAUGAUACUAAGAAAAAUAAAAACUUAUACCCGAUGUAUUGGGCUUGAAAAUUCACCCACAAUUAAUAGAUCAAGUGAUGUCACUUAUUUAAAUAAAAUAAAAUCUUUUAUAUUUAUUUUUUUAAAAACUUUAAAUAAGAUGUCCUCAUAUGAUCAUUUGAUACAUCAAAUUAUAAAUCCUUUUUUUCCUUAAAAAAAUUCUUAGAUGGAGAAAGUAUGAAAGCACAUACCAUAUGAUCAUUUUCAUUCCAAAGUUGUUCCAUAUUGCCACUUCGUAAUAUCAACAUGACAAGAUUCUUUGGAUUAAAACUUGAUAAAGUUUUAAGGGGAAAAUAAUCCCAACAAAGAUACCUUAGCUUAUUAGGAAGAGAUAUACUAUCAACUUGGUCUACAAGAAACUUCGGAUUUCGGUAGCCGUUCUCAAUCUUUGAAUCAUAGAAGCAAAUAUAUUUAAGAUUAAGCAUGCUCUCAAAAACAGAUGGACAUAACUGCAGCUCAUCCAUUUGAAACAUGUCUAAUUUUAUUCCUUCAAUUGAUACGGUCCCCUAAUAAUGAAAAAACAUUUUAUCAAGUAUCAGUAUGUAAAGAUACAUUUUGCUUUCUUUUAAAAGCAAUGCAUUAAAUAAGUACUAACCCAGUAAACCCUUGAUAUUUUUUUUUUUGAAAUAAUAAUUAAAAUGAUUAACAUUUGAUACAAUAUAAAUAUAAACAAUUAAACUUUUAACACAUGAAAACAUAUAAUUAACUGAAUUUAUAUAUUUACAUGAUAUCACAAAUAAAUUUUAAUUAAAAUAACACGAAUAUAUAAAAUAAUAGAAAACACUGUAAAUACAAUUAGCGCUUACUUUAUUAUAUCUGAGCACUUGAUCUACAUCUUCAGGAAACCAUAACCUGCUACGCUUUCCCGGGUCUUCUUUACAUUCUUGGCGAACAAUGUCCUUGCCAAUCUCUUCAAGCAUGUCAUGCAUAGAAUAACAAUCUAUGCUAUCAAGUAAGCACUUGUCGACUAAGUUUCUUAUUCCACUCAUUGCACCCAUAUAAUAAUUACUUAGUAUUUUUUCUACAGUAUCCAUUUUUUCUCCUUUAAAGAAGCAUGCUAUGUCAAGAAAUAUAUUCUUUUCUAGCUCACGCAACCCAUCUAAGCUACUCUUCAAAAUAUGUGACAUUUUUGGCUCGGCAUAUUGCUUUAGACUAUCCACUUCGCUCUCCCACUCUUUUCUAGACUUUGUAUAUAGUUUAGAACCCAAAACUUUAAGAGCAAGUGGAUUACCUUGGGCAUAUCCUACAAACUUGCAUGAUAGAUCUUGAAAAUCAGCUGCGGGAUUCAACAACUUAAAUGCAAGUGUAGAAAAAAGUUGAAGAGAAUCAUUCUCAUUCAACUUCUUCACCUCAUAUAUGUGGUUAGCUCUUCCAUUUUUAAGCACCUGUCUAUCUCUAGAUGUUACAAUGAUUUUACUUUCUGGACCAAAAUGUUUAACACCCAUAAAUUCUAUUUGAUCUGGGUUACUAACAUCAUCAAGGACAACAAGUACUUUUUUAUUGUUCAACCUCUCUUGGUAAGGGUGUCCUAUGGAAGGGCUGUUAAUACAAAUUCCUUUUUGGUUUAAUAAUUUGGAAAAAAGUUCAUUUCGUAAAGAUUCAUUCCCUACAUUUUUUAUUUUCUCACUAACAUUUCGCAGAAACAAGUGGCUUUCAAAAUUUUGGCAGAUUUCACUAUACACAACAUCAGCAAGGGUAGUUUUGCCAAUACCACCCAUUCCCCAAAGUCCUAUUACACGGCUAUGCUCUUGCUCAAUCAGCCCCAAAAUUAUCUUUUUUUGAUCAUCUAUUCCAACCAAUUCUUCAGAAACACUUGUACAAUUGCUAUCCAACUCUUUUGAAAUAUAUUCAACCACAUCUUCAAUGUACUCUGUUUCAUAUCUAGAAAAUAGUUAAAAAAUCGACAGUCAAAAGAAAGAUAUUCGUAUUAGUCAAAUAUAAGGAGAUGAGAAUAUAUAUAUAUAUUGUUACCUAUCGGAUUUGCCUCCUAUAUGCCACCCUUUUAAUGCACCGACCUCUUGAAAUGCAGAUUUCCAUCGUUGUACUCUAUCAGCUGGUUGCUUUGAUUCAUGCUUUUGGAAGGAUGUCUUAAAAGUCCCACCAAUCUUUUGCACAUGGGAAGGAUUAACAUGGUAAAAGAUGGGAAGAACAAUAUAUUUGUCAGUAGGAUUGCGCUUGCGAUCCAUGAUGUCAGAAAGUUCACCUAAGCAUGAAUUUGAAGAAGCAUAGUCUUUAGAUAAAAUGAUGAUGGAGAGAAUUGAGGCCGCAAUUGCAUUCGAAAGUGCUGAUGAAAUUUUCUCCCCUUUCUUUAGUGUAUCGUCAUCGAAGAAGACAGUCCAUCCCUUGUCUUUCAAAGCUUGGAGUAGAUGAGCGGUGAAGUUAACGCGCGUGUCUUCACCUCUGAAGCUCAAGAAAACUUGAUGUUUCACUUGACGAGAAGAAGAUGAAGAAGACGCCAUGUAAGUGUAUGGACUGUGAGGUUGAGGAAAAAGAGAACAAAAUAAACUGAGGGAGCUUUGCUUUUGCUUCUAUUUUUGUAAUGGUAAGAAGAAAAAGUGUGUCAAUUAAAUGGGAAUGAGAUUGAAAAGGUGAAGCAUUGCGGAUGAGUUUUUACUGAUAAAAAUUUCAAUAUUUAAUCCGCUUAUCGAAUCUAAAACCUCCAUUAUCAAUAUACCAAAUAUUUUCUUAUUAAUUGAAUGCUAAAACUUAUCUAAAUAUAAGUUAAAAAUUAAGGGUUAUUUAGACUUUAAAGGCUUAUUUGGGGUAUGAUAAAAGUACAAGAGAUUAUUUAAAUGAUGCUAUAAAUCAUCUAUAAGAAAAAUAAAUAUUAAUUGAUUUUUGUAAUUAAACGUAUAACUUCAAAAAAAAAUUGUCACCAUUCUUGAAUUUCGUUUUGGGUUAUGAUAAAAUUUCUAAUAAAUUUCCUAACAAAAAUAUUGACUUUUAUACACUUUGUCAUUUGGGUCAUUGAACUGACUUUCAUAAGAAUAAUUGCCACUUUUAGACCAUUUUAGGUGAAUUCAACUUAAAUUUCCUACAACUUUCUCAACAAUAAUCGCCACUUUUUUCCCCUAAAUGGAAAGUCUUUGGAAGGAAGGAUGUUGUGUUUCUAUUUUUCUUGGGAAAUAAUGAUAGAUUUUCUUUGUGCUUUUGGGGGGUUUCCAUUUUAGUCCUUUCUUCUGAAAUAGGUAGGGUGAGUUUGGGCAAAAAUAUCUCUCCAAUCUCUUUCAAUUUUGAAAUUGAAUAAAUUGGUCUCUCUCAAAAAAAUCAAAGCAAUUUAAUCAUUCUUAAUUUUGAAAGUGAGCAACAAAGAACAAUUAUUCAUGACGUUAAUGCUUUUCGUCAAUUGUAUAUAAUUUUGAUUGGUAUAAUAAAAAUUUUAGCCAUGUUUACAUAUUUUGUCAAUUUGGUCUUAAUUCUAAAAAUUCAACGAGUUUAGUAUAAACAUUUACACAAAUAUUGCUGGCUAAAUUUGUUAAAUCAAGACAAGUGAUAUAAUUGUAAACUUUGAGGGGUAAAUUUGUUAUUAUACCAAUUAAAAUUAUUUACAUUUGAUGGAAAACAUCAAUGUUGUGAUUAACUAUCAUUAAUUACUCACUUUAGAAAUUGCUCCGAUUUUUUUAAGAGACUCCAAUUUGCUCAAUACCAAAAUUGAUCAAAGAGAUUGGAUAGAUUUUUAACCAACAAAUAUGCUUGCCUACAUUUAUUUUAAAUAUAGAAUCGAACCGGUUUUCUAAUUAAUGGUCUAUUUGUUUGUAUGUAAAAUGUUUUCCAUAACAUAUUUUCAUUGUUUUACCGUGUUUGUUUGGUGAAAAAUGAAUUAUUAAAGGAAAUCAUUCUUCAAAAAAAAUGUAAAAUCAAGACUUUUUCAAGGAAAAUAUCUUACCAAUUUUUUUUCCCGUAAGAUAUUUUCUAAACUAAUAAGACUAUAUUGACUAUCUUCACUGUCAAAAAAACAAAAAAAAAGGGAAGCUUUCAGAGCAACAAAAGGAAAGCUCUCUUCACUGUCGAAGAAAAUAGUCCCUCAUAUUAUAAUUUUAUAUUUUUACAAAUUAGUCCCUGGAAUCUAAAUUUUUACUAUUCUACAAUUUAAUUCCUCAAAAAUAGAUUUUAUUAUUCUACAGUUCAGUUCUAAACCUCUUUUUGUACAAUUCUGCAAAACAGUCCCUUCUCUAAAAUUUCUAGAUUUUAUAAUUUAGUCCUUACAAUUAAAAUUUUGUUUUGGUCCUAUUAUUAUUCCUAAAUUUAGAUUUUUAUUUUUAUACUUUAAAAUAGAAUAAUUUGAUCCUUUACUACAAUAAUAUCGUCAAUUAAUCAAAGUAAAUAUUACUAUUAAUUAUUCCAAUUGAAAUACUAACGUGAAUUUUUUAAAAAAACAUUGCUUCCAUCAUAAAGAUUUCAGCAUGACUAGCUAAUAUGGAAAUGCACAAUCAAUAUUCCAUUAUCGUUUUACAAAAGAGUGAUCAAUUUCCCUUUUGGAUGACCAAAUUAACAAAAAUAUUAGAGCAACCAAAAUAGGAAUGACCCCUAUUUGAAAUAACUAACGAGAUAAUAAUUUACCCAUAAAAGUUUAAGAGCUUAACUGAAUAAAGCUUAUGACUUAUUUAGUAUAGUAGUCUAAGCAAAUCAUCUAUAGGAAAAAAAAAGUUACUAGUUGAUUUUGUAGCCAAAUCUAGUUGAUGGAUAUUAAGUAAAUUUCAAAGCACAAAAUAUUGAUGCCCAAAUUAGCUUGGAUUAUUAUAAUAAUAUAAAAAUAGGACAUAUUUAGAAACAAAUUAAAAAGGUAAUCCUCUUUUAAUAAAUGUGAAAAAUAGGUCGUACACCGGCAUUAGUAGUGGAGCUUUUAUUUUAAUGCCACGAGUGAGAUUAAAAAAUUGUCUUAUAUUAAUUCAUUGAAUAUUGCAAAAAAUAUGCUACAAAGAUGUCAAGAAUCUUCUCCUUUUUCUUUUGUUUUUUAGCUGAAUUUACAAAGCAAAUCUGCAUAUUACAGUCAUACAUAUUGUUCCAAAAUGCAUAAGGAGAUAAUGCACCAAAUUAAGCAUGGAAACUCACUUUUUUGUUUUUGAUGAGGUGAUAAAGACUACAUUAAACUUAUUAAUAAAAUAUUUUUAUUGGCUGAGAAAAAGAAAAGGUUGCUUUUGCUUUUGACACCCAUUUCAAAAUGACUAAUAAACAGCACUUCAAAAUAUCAUCCAACCUUCUUUCUUUCCUCGAAGCUACAUAUGUAGGAAUUUGGAUAAAUCAAACCAGAACCACCCCUGGGCUGAAUUUUCAUGGAAGUUCCACCAAAUUUGCACAUCACAACCGUACAUAUAGCUUGUAAAAUGCAUAAGGAAAAAAGUAAGUUGAUAAUGCACCAAAGAAUGAAAAUUCUAAAUCACAAGCUAUUUGUACAGCAUGUGAUUCUGGUUGGUUUUGAUUAAUUAAAGCACUUCAUAUUUCUAUCAUUGGCCAUUAAUUUAAAAGUUGGAAAAUAAUAGUUUAUGUGUUACAACGUAAAUGUUGAGUAAAAUACUAUUCAACGUACCAAUAUCGGCACAUUUUCUAAAUAGCUCGGGUCUUGGGCUAGAUAGUUUGGCCUCGCUCAAAUUUGAUUAUUUCUUUUCUGUUGUUGUUUGCUGCUGUUAUAUUGUUGUUUCGUUACAAUUUUAUUAUUGUAUUGUUAAUAUUUUAUUGUUAUUGUUUGGAUAUUGAAUUUUUGGUUUUAUUGUUAAUUUUGCUACUAUUUUAAAACCAUUUGAUUGUUGAGUUGCAACCGUGUUAGUGUUAUUUAAGUAUAAAUAUUUAUUUUUAAAAAUAUAUUUUUAAUUUGUUGAGAAACAUUUAUUUUAAUAUUUUGUGUAUUUGAUAAAUUAUAUUUUUUAAAAUUAUCUUUACAUAAAAAUAAUCUAAAGAAAUUAAUACGGGUAGGUCAGCCCGAGCUUAGAAAACGGGCCUAAAAUUUUGCACUGGCUCGACUCAUGAUCAAGUCUAUAUGAACUUUAAAUAAUCAACUCAUUUAAUUUAUCCAACCCAAUAUCAAGUUUUCAUUGCAAAAAUAUUAUUUAUAUAAUUAAUUAAAAUAAAUUUAAUUCAUUGAUUCAAUUAAAUUAUUUUCUCAACUAAAUUUUAAUUUUAUUAAAGUCAUGAUAAUUUUAUCGUACUAGAACCUAUAAUUAAAUAAAUUUUGAGUUAAGGCACGUGUCUUCACCUCUCAAGGUUAAGAAAACUUAAUGCAUCAUUUGACAAGAAAAAGAUGAAGAAGAUGCCAUGAAAGUGUAUGGAUUGUGAGAUUGAGGAAGAAGAGAGGAAAGUACACAAAGGGAGCUUUGGCAUCCUAGUAUUAAAUGACAAUGAGAAUAUGAGAUUUAACAAAGGCAACGACUGGAGGAGAUUAGCUAAUUAUCUGAGUCAAGAAAAUUGUCACUCUCACACUUUCCAGAAAUGACAGUCUUCUUGAUUUGUAUAUUUUACCCACAAUAGUCAAGGUCUUCCAAUGGGACAAUGUUGAGCAAAUGGUUAAAUUCUUAAAAGAGUCCUUGAAUAGUUUACUUUUGUUGUACCCAAAUAAACCCCUAUGUUUUUAUCUGUGUUUAAAUUAGCCCUUAUUUCAAAUGACAUGUUAAUUUUAAACUAAGUUGGUGACGAGGAGACUUAUAAUCACCAUUUAAUAUAUUUUAUUUUGUGUUUAUUGUUGUGCAAAGUUUAAUUAUUAUUGUUAAUUUUUAAAAACCAAGUUUAACUUAAAUCGUUUGUUAGUUAAAAGGAUAAUAAAUCUCGUAUUGCUUAAGAACAAAGCACAAAUUGGGAUUAUGAAUCUAUAUAAAAGCCCAUAUUUCACAUUAUUUAGAAAAACAAAGGCAAAAAGAUUUUGAGUUUAUAUAAAGAACCAUAUUUUACGCCUUAACUCUAUAUAUUAGCCUUCUGGUGAUGUGGACUUUGAUGAAGAAGAAGGCAUGAAAGAGUAUUAAAAGGGAGUUUUGACCAGCAAGAAAACUUGUUCCAAAUGACGAUGAUGAUAAUGAUGGGUGUUAAUUUCCAAGUCAAGGUCUUCCAAUGGGUUUUGACCAACAAGAAAACUUGUUCCAAAUGACGAUGAUGAUGAUGGGUGUGUUAAUUUCCAAGUCAAGGUCUUCCAAUGGGAGACUAAAACUUUUCUAGAUACAAGUUAAAAAUUAAAAUUAAUUUAUUUGGAUAACAAAUAAAGUUUAAAGGCUUGUGUGGGGUAUGAUGAAAGUACACAAGAUUAUUUAGAUAAUGUGAUAAAGGUUAAUGGCCUAAUUAAUAUGUUAGUAUGAGUAAAUCAUCUAUACGAAAAUAUAUAUUAGUUGAUUUCGUAACCAAACGUACAACUUCAAAAGCAAUUGUUACCAUUCAUGAAUUUUUUUUGGGGUUGUGAUGAAAUUUCUUACGAAUUUCCUACCACUUUCUUGAAGAAUAAUUUUCACUUUUUUUCCCUAAAUAAAAAGUCGUUGGAAGGAAGGGUGUUGUGUUUCUAUUUUCCUAGGUGAAAUAAUGAUAGAUUUUCUUUGUUAGUCCUUUCUAACAUAGGGAAGGCAAGUUUGGGUAAAAUGACUUCUUUAGUCUUUCUUAAUUUCAAAAUUGACUAAAUUGAUCCCUUUAAAAGAAGAAAAAUUUAAUCUUUGUUAAUUUUGAAAGUGAGCAACACAUAAAUUUUGAAAAUUGAAUAAGGACAUUUAACUACAUCGUUAAUGUCUUCUAUCAAAUUCACAUAAUUUUGAUAUUGAUAUCAAAUUCACAUAAUUUUGAUAUUGAUAUAACAAUAAAUUUAGCCCUUCAUGUUUGCAUUUUUGUCAAUUUGAUCUUGAUUCUAAAAAAUCAACAAAUUUAGCAUUAACAUUUACACAUUUACACAAAUGUAACAGUUUGAAUUUGUUAAAUCAAGACAAAUUAAACAUGAAUUCACCUAAACUGCUUAGCAACUGAUUUAGAGCUUAGAUCAAUAGGAGAUACCAUUGUUAUAGAAUAGUAAGUCUUUAAAGCAAAUAAAUAUUUGGAUUUGCCUACCCUUGAGAGCUUAUAUGUACUUUGAUCUCUUGUGUGAUAUUUAGUAAGUCUUUACAGUGUCUAAUUAUUUAGAUAUUUGAUGGGUUUCUAUUGCUCUGCAAGAAAAUGAAAACUUGAGCUUACCCAAUUAUCUAUCACGCACAUAUGUGCGUAUGUACCUUACAAACCCAUCAGAUUCUAUCUUUUGAAAAGCCUUUUAACUCUGCUGCCUAUCAUCAUAAUUUUACAAUCUAAUGAAAAUGAUUAAGUUUAAUACAAUGAAGUUUACAAUCAAGUGGAAUAUAUUUGAUUAAACAUCGUUUGAAGAUCAUAUAAAAUAAAGGAAACAAAGUGUAAACCUUAAAAUAAAGCCUCAAUGCCUUCAACUGCUAACUUGAGUCGGAGCUUCCAAGCAGCACGUAAAACAAAAAACAAUAAUACAACAUAAUGUAUAAUGUCAAUAAAUACAAUGACAUGAACAUCAAAAUCCGAUCCACCCUGUCCUUGGCUGAUAUGCCUUGGCAAGACAUUUACGAAAAUCAAUAUCUUUCACUUGAAGGAUCAAUUGAUUAGCUCGGAUACGUCCCCAAAAGUAUUCGAGGUUGAAUUGAUACACAAUGAAACUGUCAUGCUCUAGUUCGAAGCUUCAAGCACAUUAUAAUAGCUCGAAUCACAGCCACGUUUUAUGACUGCUGGAAUUCCGGCACCCCCUUAACAUCAUUCUCCCAAAACAGUGACUGUAAAUUCACAACGAACGAUCACCGUAUGCAGCAAAUGGUUAUAGAAAAUCGCAUCGUUUGUUUCAAGACACAAACACGACACUGCAACCGCAUAACAUGUUCAGCUAAGAUCAAACACCUAUAGAUUUGUGUAAAUAAUGCAAUAUAAAAUAAUCAGAGUAGUAUAAUUUGUGUUCUCUUGUAGUAAAAUCAUAGUUUAGGAUUAGAGAAAGUGACUGUAAAGACAAAGUUUCGAAGCUCAUAAAAAUGAAUGCAUGAACCAAAUGGAUUAAAUCCAAAUUAUAUGAAGAACAUAAGGUGAUAGAAUAGUUAAUGCUUAGUGACUAAAGUCCCUGAUUGCCAGCUCCAGUAUUCAUCCUUUCUAUCCAAAAAGAGAGUAAAAAUCUGGAAUUUUAAUCACAAAAAUCAAAUCAAAGUUCAAUCUCUGAUAAUCUAAAAUACAAAAAAAGGAAAAUUAAUUCAAAUUUCAGCCCAAACUGAUAUGAUAAUGAAGUCAAAUGGCUCUACCUUGAAACCAACUCAAACUAAACCCAAAUCAUUUGUUUUUAAAAAGCAGAUGGCCAUGAGGGUUGUAAAAGAUCACAAUGAAACAAAGGUAAUUAAGCUCACAAGGAAGGCUAAAUUGGCAAGAGCAUAUGGCUCCUCAAAAGCUCCAAUGUUGGUGCAAGAGGCAGCAAUAGGCUAUUUUGUAUCUUGCUUGAAUAGCAAGCCUCGAGCCUUGGUGAAGAAACAAACUCAGAAGCAGAAACAGAAAAUGAAACUAGCUAGUGAAUAACAGAAAAGAGAGAAGAAAAUUUGAAUGAAAAAUGAGCUGAUCUUUUUUCAUUAACACAUCAACAAGGCAUUAAGCCAUUACAUAUAUCAGUCAACAAGUAAAACAAACAAGUAAUCACCUAAUCAACUACCUAACUCCACUAAUUUGCAUUGAAACUUACAAGAUUAGCUUGUACAACUUGCAUUGCUGACUUUUCAGUCAAUCAAUAUCAAAACAUUUACCUACUUAGUUCAACAUGAACUAGAUUACAAAACAAUCAAAAUGGAACUAAAAACAGCAAGUGGAUUGGCAGCUUCAAACUUCAGUUGCUGCACACCAUGGCACCACUGCUUGCUGCUAUUUCUUCGAGCAUGACCACCUUUGUAUGUCGUGCAUGGCCACCUUUGCAUGGGAACUAAACUUAACACUCCUCCUUAGUUUCCAUGCUAGUAACACCUAAUUCCCUUUUGAAUUUAACAAAUUUAGACACAUUGAGUGCCUUUGUGAAGAUAUCAGCAAUUUGCACUUCUGAAUUGCAAUGAAUCAGCUCGAUUUCAUGAGCUUGUUCCAUCUCCCUUAUAACAUGCAACUUAAUAUUGAAGUGCUUGGUUCUGCCAUGAAAAAUGGGAUUUUUUGCAAUUGCAACAGUAGAUUUGUUGUCACAAUAAAUCUCUGUUGCCUCCUUUUGGUUUUGGUUUAAAUCAGCCAAGAUUUUUCUAAGCCAUAUGGCUUGAUUCACAGCAGAUGCAGCAGCAACAUAUUCAGCUUCUGCUGUUGAUUGUGCCACCAGACUUUGUUUCUUAGAACUCCAGCAAAACAUGCCUGAGCCAAGACUAAAUGCAUAUCCGGAUGUGCUCCUCAUGUCAUCACUCGAUCCAGCCCAGUCACUAUCAACAUAGCCUAUCAGCUUCAUGUUUUCAGCCCUUUUGAACAAUACACCAUGAUCAAUGGUGCCUUUGAUGUAUCUUAGCACUCUUUUAGCUGCUCGAAAGUGCUGAUCAUUGCAGCAAUUCAUGUAUCUCGAUAGCACACUAACAACAAACAUGAUAUCGGGCCUUGUUGCAGUCAAAUACAACAGACUACCAAUGAGACUCUUGUACAUGGUCUCGCAAAUUGGUUCACCACUCCCUUGCCUCGAAAGCUUCACUCCAACAGCCAUUGGUGUGCUUGUUGGCUUGCAGUUCUUCAUAGANNNNNNNNNNNNNNNNNNNNNNNNNNNNNNNNNNNNNNNNNNNNNNNNNNNNNNNNNNNNNNNNNNNNNNNNNNNNNNNNNNNNNNNNNNNNNNNNNNNNNNNNNNNNNNNNNNNNNNNNNNNNNNNNNNNNNNNNNNNNNNNNNNNNNNNNNNNNNNNNNNNNNNNNNNNNNNNNNNNNNNNNNNNNNNNNNNNNNNNNNNNNNNNNNNNNNNNNNNNNNNNNNNNNNNNNNNNNNNNNNNNNNNNNNNNNNNNNNNNNNNNNNNNNNNNNNNNNNNNNNNNNNNNNNNNNNNNNNNNNNNNNNNNNNNNNNNNNNNNNNNNNNNNNNNNNNNNNNNNNNNNNNNNNNNNNNNNNNNNNNNNNNNNNNNNNNNNNNNNNNNNNNNNNNNNNNNNNNNNNNNNNNNNNNNNNNNNNNNNNNNNNNNNNNNNNNNNNNNNNNNNNNNNNNNNNNNNNNNNNNNNNNNNNNNNNNNNNNNNNNNNNNNNNNNNNNNNNNNNNGGAGAGUAUUUGAUGAACAAAAAUGAUUCAUUAUGGAGAGUAUUUGAUGAACAAAAUGAUUCAUUCAUUUUUUGAAUAAUGGCAUAAUGCCAAUACAUAUAACCAAGCACUAAGCUUGUCAAAAAAUAGUAAGUAAUUACCUAAACAUUACUACCUCCACUAAUUACAUAGAAACUUGAAAUUUAAACUUGUAAAUUGGAACAAAGCUAUGUUUACAGCUCACACUCUAGCUAAGCACAUCAAUCAUAGACCUAACUUAGUUAGAAAUGAACUAAGAUAUAUUUCAUUAACUAAAGUUUAACAAAUGAACAAAAUAAGCUUGCAUCAGCAGCUCCUGCAUGGCUUGGUCUUCUUGCUUUUGAGUGUUUGCUGCAUGCUGACCAACUUCAUCACUCAUCCUUGGUUAGCAUGGUACAAACACCAAAUUUCCUUCUUAGACACUCGAACCUUGUGACAUUAAGGGCUUUAGUUAAAAUGUCUACAAGUUGAUCCUCUGAAUUGCAGUGAAUCAACAUCACCUCCUGUGCUUGCUCCAUUUCUCGAACAACAUGCAAACUUAAUGCUAAAAUGCUUUGUUCUUCCAUGGAACACUAGAUUUUUGGCAAUUGCAACAGCAGAUUGGUUGUCACAGAAAAUUUCUGUUGCUUCUCUUUGCUGAACAUUCAAGUCAAUCAAGAUUUUCCUUAGCUAAACGGCUUGGUUGACAGUACUUGCUGCUGCCACAUACUCUACUUCAACAGUAGAUUGAGCCACCAGGCUUUGCUUCUUCGAGCUCCAGCAGAACAUGGCUGAACCAAGGUUGAAAGCAUACCCUGAGGUGCUUUUCAGAUCAUAUAUCGAGCCAGCCCAGUCACUAUCAGUGUAGCCUACCAGCUUCAAAUUUCCUUCUUUGUUGUAUCUCAGACCAUAGCCCAAAGUACCCUUGAUAUACCUGAGCACUCUUCUUGCAGCCUGAAAAUGUUUCUCAUUGCAGCAAUGCAAGAAUCUUGAGAGCAAUCCUACAGCAUACAUUAUGUCUGGUCUAGUGGCAGUUAAGUAUAGCAAGCAACCAACUAGACUUCUGUAGGUAGUUUCACAAACCUUCUCAAAAUCACCUUGGCUUGAUAGCUUCUCUCCAACAGCAACAGGUGUCUUAGUUGCCUUGUUGUUUUGCAUGGAGAACUUAGUCAGAAUCUUUGUGGCAAAGCUUUUCUGACUUAGGAAUAUCCCAUUCUGAUUUUGUGACACCUCCAUUCCAAGAAAAUAGGACAUCUCUCCUAGAUCAGACAUUUCAAGCACCUCUUGCAGGUUGGUCUUGAAAUCGACCAGCAUUGUUUGAUCUUCUCCUGUCACCAGCAGGUCAUCAACAUACAGGGACAUAAUGAGCUGUGUUUGUGCCCCUUUCUUCUUAACAUACAAUGUUGGUUCACUCUUGCUUCGAUCGAAUCCCAAAUAAAUCAAGUAGCCAUCAAUUCUGCUAUACCAGGCCCUUGGAGCCUGUUUCAAGCCAUACAAGGCUUUCUUCAGCUUGUACACCAUCUGCACCUUCCCAGCUAUUUCAAACCCCAGUGGUUGCUCAACAUAGAUAUCUUCCUCAAGAAUUCCAUUGAGAAAGGCUGACUUUACAUUAAGUUGGAGAAUUUUCCACUGCAUUUGUGCAGCUAAGGCAAUCAACAACCUUAUGGUGUCAAGCCUGGCCACUGGUGCAAAGGUCUCCAGGUAGUCCAGGCCAUAUUUCUGACUGAACCCUUUGACAACCAACCUUGCUUUCAACUUGUUCAAGCUUCCAUCAGCAUUCAAGCUUGGCUUUGUACACCCAUUUCACUCCAAUAACCUUCCUUUUGACUGGUCUUUCAACCAAUUCCCAAGUCUGGUUCUUCUCAAUCAUGCUGAUCUCCUCAGCCAUUGCCUUCUUCCAUCCUUGCUGAGUUUCAGCCUCCUCAAAGCUACUUCGUUCAGCUAUGGCUACAUGAGCCCUUUCAUAAAUCUCAGCCAAUGGUCUUGUUCCCCUGACUGGUUCAUCACUAAUGUCCAUUUCAAGACCAUUUUGGUCUGGCUCAGCUUGAUCUGCUGCAAGUUCUUCUGAAACUUCCUCAGGUUCAUGUCUUUCCCAGUUCCAACAUAACCUUUCAUCAAAUACCACAUCCCUGCUGACUGACACUUUGUUUGUUAAAGGAUCCAAGAUCCUAUAGCCCUUCUUGACAGUGCUGUAGCCUACUAAAAUACCAGGUCGAGCCCUUUCAGACAACUUGUCCCCUUUAACAGUAGGUACAUGUGCAUAACAAAUGCAUCCAAAGACCUUCAGAUGAGCCAGUGAUGGUUUGAAUCCAAACCAGGCCUCGAAUGGAGUCUUUUGAGCCAAAGCCUUUGUUGGAAGCCUGUUUUGAAUGUAGGUUGUAGUGUUAACUGCCUCUGCCCAUAGAGCUUUAGGCAGAUUCUUCUGAAUCAUCAGGCACCUAGCCAUAUCCAUCAGGCUCCUAUUCUUUUUUUCACUUACUCCAUUUUGAUGGGGUGUAUAUAUGUUGGUAAGCUGAUGUUUAAUGCCUGUCUUAUCACAGAAGGCUUGGAACUAAGAUGAAGUGUACUCAAUCCCAUUAUCAGACCUUAUGGUCUUCAGCUUGCAACCUGUUUCAGUCUCAGCAGUAGUCUUAAACUUUAAAAACACAGAGGCCACCUCUGAUUUUUGUUUCAAGAAAUAAAGCCAGCAAUAUCUCGAGAAAUCAUCAAUGAACAGUAUAAAAUACCUGUUUCGACUAAAUGGCUCAGUCUUCAUGGGGCCACACAAAUCAAUAUGCACCAGUUGCAGUCUUUCAGAGGCUCUCCAGGCUUGAUUCGAGGGAAAUGAAAGUCUGGCCUGCUUGCCUAGCUGCCACACUUCACACACCUCCUGGUUUUGGACUGAAUUUAUGAAAUUUUCAUUGAAACCACUCCUGCACAUGUGCUCCAUUGAUUUGUAGUUGGCAUGACCAAGUCUUUGAUGCCGAAGCUUGGAUUCAUCUGUUGUAGCCAUGUAAGCAAUGUCUGAUUCCUUUGUCCAGUCAACCACAAAGCUUUUAUCAGCCAUAGGGACUGCCAUCAGCUUGGAUCCACUUGGAUCACUGAUUUGGCACUGAUUAUCCUUGAACACCACAGAAUACCCUUUCUCCAGCAAUUGAGCUAUGCUGAGCAGGUUUCUGUCGAUUUUAGGCACCAAAAGCACAUUUGAAAUAACUUUGGCACAUGUGGGAGUGCAUAUCAGCACAUCACCCUUGCCUUCAGCUUUUAUGAAGUGGCCAUUAUCAAUUUUAACUUUGGUUCUGUAGCUUCUCUCCAAUGACUUGAAUAUUGCAGCAUCAGGUGUCAUAUGGUUGGUGCAUCUACUGUCUAGGAGCCAAACAGUUGAGAGCCUUUUUUGUUCAGCUGAACAUGACACAGCAAAGACUUGCUCCUCUUGGUCACUAUCUUCCUUGGCUACUCGAGCCUCAGCUUUCAUCUGUUGAGACUGGUUCUGUCUUGGUUUGCCCUUACUUUUGUAGACCCUUUCAACAUGACCCUUCUUUUUGCAAUGUUGGUAUACAGCAUCUGGAUUGAACCAACAAUUUUUCUUCUGGAUGACUAGCCCUUUUGCAGUGCUUGCAAGUCUGACCUUCUUUUCUUGCAGCAUCAUACCUUGGCUUGUCUCUCCAAGCCUUCUUGCCUUUGUAGGCGGUAUUUAUUUUUGCCUGAAAGGCACCUUCUUGGUACUCCUCCAGUCUGCUUGCUCUCCUCUGCUCUUGAACAUAUAGAGCAUUGAUCAACUCUGUAAAAGGAAUGCUGGUCAGGUCCCUUGAGUCUUCGAGGGAUGAGAUUUUUGCCUCAUACCUCUCGGGCAAAGUUGAAAUAACCUUUUCCACUAUCCUAGCUUCAUUAAACUGCUAUCCAAUGAGCCUAAUGCUGUUAACUACAGCCAUAAUCCUGUCAGAGUAUUGCUUGACAGUCUCUUCUUCCUUCAUCUUCAAAUUCUCGAACUCCCUUAUCAAAUUCAACAACUGUUGCUGCCUUGUCCUCUCUGUCCCUUGAAACUCUUCUUUCAACUUGUCCCAGGCCUGUUUUGGUGAUUCACAAGCCAUAAUCCUUGUGAAAAUCACAUCAGACACUGAGUUCUGGAUGCAAGACAUGGCCUUGUGCCUCUUGGUCCUCUCAUCAGCAUGCUGCCUGAUCGGAGCCACUGUUGGAUUGGCUCUAAGUGGCUCUGGUUCAACAUCAGAGUUGACCACCUCCCAUAGAUCGAAAGCCUGUAGGUAGGUCUUCAUUUUGACCACCUAUAUGUGAUAGCCUUCUCCAUUGAAGACUUGUGGUGCAGUUGGUGAAAAGUUUGAUGAAGCCAUUCUUUGAAUACCAGGUCCCUUAAGAAAUAUGCUUUAGAUACCAAUUGUUGGUGUUAGAACAGAAUUAGACAGGCUCAGCUUGUGUCUUGUGCAAUAAGCCUCGAUGCUUGCUGAGCAAACAAACGAAUUCGAGCAGAAGAGAAGAAGAAAAACUAAGGAAAAAAUGGAGAGUAUUUGAUUAACAAAAAUGAUUCAUUCAUUUUUUGAAUAAUGGCAUAAUGCCAAUACAUAUAACCAAGCAUUAAGCUUGUCAAAAAACAGUAAGUAAUCACCUAAACAUUACCUACCUCCACUAAUUACAUAGAAACUUGAAAUUUAAACUUGUAAACUGGAACAAAGCUGUGUUUACAGCUCACACUCUAGCUAAGUACAUCAAUCAUAGACCUAACUUAGUUAGAAAUUAUCUAAGACAUAUUUUAUUAACUAAAGUUUACAAAAUGAAAAAAAUAAGCUUGCAUCAGCAGCUCCUGCAUGGCUUGGUCUUCUUGCUGUCAAGUGUUUGCUGCAUGCUGACCAACUUCAUCAAUACCCUUAUCAAGAGAGGCUAAAUAAUAAAUAAGUACUUCUUGUCCUUGAUGAUGUUAGUGACCCAGACCAAAUAGAUUUUAUGGGUGUCACAUAUUUUGGUCCUGAAAGUGAAAUUAUUAUAACAUCUAGAGAUAGACAAGUACUUAAAAAUGGAAAGCUAACCGCAUAUAUAAGGUAAAGGAGUUGAAUGAGAAUGAUUCUCUUCAACUUUUUUCUACAUUUGCAUUUAAGUUUUUAAAUCCUGCAGUUGAUUUUUGAGAUCUAUCAUGCAAGUUUGUAGAAUAUGCCUAAGGUAGUCCGCUUGCUCUUAAAGUUUUGGGUUCUGAACUAUAUACGAAGUCUAAAAAAGAGUGAGAGAGCAAGGUGAAUAAACUAAAGCAAUGUGCAGAAUUAAAAAUUUCACAUAUUUUGAAGAGUAGCUUAGAUGAGCUAGAUGAUGAAGAAAAUAAUAUAUUUCUUGACCUAGCAUGCAUCUUUAAAGGGCAAGCCAUGGGUUAUGUAGAAAAAGUUCUAAGUAAUUGUUAUAAGGGUGCAACAUGUGGAAUAAGUAAAUUGGUCGACAAGUGUCUACUUGAGAACAAAUAUGGAUGUGUUUUUAUGCAUGACAUGGUUGAAGAGAUGGGCAAGGACAUUGUUAUGCGAAAAUUUGAAUGCCCUAGAAAGCGAAGUAGAUUAUGGAGUUGUGAAGACAUGGAAUAAGUGUUCAAAUAUGAUAAAGUAAGUGUUAAUUGCAUUUAUUUUCUAUUCACUCUUUGGUAGGUUUAAUAGAUGUUGUUGUGUACCAUGUAUUAUCUUUUUUAAUUAUUAUUUCAAAAAAUAAAUUAUUUAUUUCUUACCAAAAACAUAAUGACCAAAUGUCUUACGAUACAAUAUGGAAUUUUGUUAAAAGUUUCUUGGGUUAGUUAAAUAUCUAAUGCAUUUUUAUGAGUGAUUUAAUGGAAUGUCGAUAAAUUUCUUUACGUUAAUCUAUGAUUUUUUUUUAUCAGGGGUCUGACUUUAUUAAAGGAAUAAAGUUAGAUGUAACUCAAACUGGUAACCUACAAUUUUGUGCUACCGAUUUUGGGAAGAUGCCUAAGCUUAGAUAUAUCAACAUCAGGUAUUUUGCACAUACUUUAUGGAAACCUCCACCCCAAUAUGCAAACCAAGUUGAUAGUAUAUGUCUUCUGGGUGAGUUAAGGCUUCUCCAUUGGGAUUAUUUUCCCUUCAAAACUUUAUCAAGUUUUAAUUCAAAGAAUCUUGUCAUAUUGAUAUUACGACGUGGUAAUAUAGAACAACUUUGGAAUGAAGAUGAUCAUAUGGUAUGUGCUUUCAUAUUUUCUUCGCCUAAAAUUUUUUUAAAGAAAAAAAGUAUUUAUAAUUUGAUGUAUCAAAUAAUAAUUUGAUGAUAUCUUAUUUAAAGAUUUUAAAUUUAUUUAAAUAAGUGACAUUAUUUGAUCAAGUAAUUGUGGCUUUUACGCCCAAUACAUCAAAUAUAAAAUUUUAUUUUUUAGUAUUAUAAUUAUUCAUUUCCUUUUCAUUUCGAUGAUGCUUAAAAGUAAUACAGUUAUUUUUUCUGUACAGGAUCUCGUCAAUUUUAAGGAAGAUACCUAAUCUUUCAGGAGCCAUCAACCUUGAACUCCUUGAUUGCUCUUUAUGUAAAAGUUUGGUUGAACUUCCAUGCCUCAAUCAUUUGGCGUCUCUUCAUCAUGAUAGGCUUUACCUUCAGGGAUGUUAUAGGCUCAAGAACUUUCCUCAGGUCCCAAGACACUUUUGUUCUUUGGGUUUAUUAAUAACUGAAUUAGAAGAAGUGCCUCAUUCAAUUGAGCAUCUCCACAAACUACAGAGAUUGUCGUUGAGCAAGUCAAAGGUAAUAAAAGUAUCGAUCAAUAUUUCGAAGUUGGAACUCCUUGGUGAAUUGGUUCUUAGUAAUUGCCCAAUGAUCAAAUUUCCAGAAAUCCCAAAAAGCUUAACAAAAUUAAACUUAUCUAGAACUCAAAUUGAAGAAGUAUCGUUGCCUUUCGACUCUCUAUGUAAUCUUCAGGACUUAAAUAUGAGCGGCUCAGCGGUCAAAAAUGUAUCAAUCAAGUUGGAAUCCCUUCAUAAACUGAAUCUUAGUGAUUGCCCGAUGAUCAAAUUUCCAGAAAUCCCAAGAAGCUUAAUAGAAUUAAAUUUAUCUGGCACUCAAAUUGAAGAAGUGUCCUUACCUUUUGACUCUCUAUGUAAUCUUCAGAUCUUAAAUAUGAGUGGCUCAGCAGUCAAAAAUAUAUCGAUCAGGUUGGAAUCCCUUCGUAAACUGGAUCUUAGUGGUUGCCCAGUGGUCCAAUUUCCAAACGUCCCAAGAAGCUUAACACAUUUAGAAUUAUCUCGCACUCAAAUUGAAGAAGUGUCAUUCCCUUUCGACCCUUUAUGUAAUCUCGAGUACUUAAAAGUGAGAGGCUCAACGGUCAAAAAUGUAUCAAUCAAGUUGGAAUCCAUUCGUCGACUGGAUAUUAGUGGUUGCCCAAUGGUCGAAUUUUUAAAAGUCCCGAGAGGCUUAAUAUGGCUAAAGUUAUCUAACACUCAAAUUGAAGAAGCGGCCAUGUCUAUAGACACUUUAAGUAAUCUUAAGGAGUUAAAGAUGAGCAGCUCAAGUAUUCCAAAGCUCCAAUGUAAUAUCUCCCUGUUCGAUUUAAGAGAGUUUCCCACUGUUGAUGUGCCCUCACCAAGCUUGAGGUCUAAAACCCUUAGGUAUAUGUGGAUGGACCGUUGCAAGAGCCUCAAAUUACUCUCAGAGCUUCCACCAUAUCUGCAAGGCUUGAGUGUACAUGACUGCACAUCAUUAGAAAAAGUAUCCUUUGCAGAUCAAAGUUUAUAUCAGUUUGAUUCUUUAGUUGAUGAUGACAAUUACAAUGUCUUUUGCAUGCUAUUCUGUAAUUGUUUCAACUUGAAUCAAGAGUCAACUAAUAACAUUGAGGCAAAAGCCCUGCUCAAAGUUGGAUCCCUAGCUAUGAAAUGGGCAGCAAGAUAUGGUAGGAAAAAACGGCGUGAUAACUGUCGAAGUUUGAUUUGUUGUUUCCCAGGAAACAACAUUUCAGGAAAUAAGUUCAAAUGUCAGAGCAUGAAUUCUUCCUUAAGUUUGAAGAUAGUUCCAAAUUGGGGUAGUGGGAGCAGAUUUUUGGUUUUUUCUAUCUGCAUUGUGGCUGAUCUCACUCACUGCCGUUCCAUUAGUUAUGUUGGAUGUAUUUGUGAGUACCAACUUACAGCCACCGAUGGUGGUUAUGAAAAGUUCGAAAGUGAGAUAUCUUUCUUGGGUGCUUCUAAGUCAAAGAGGUGCACGGGUGAUCACGUGUUUAUUCUAUCUAGCAUCAAAAUCGUUAAAAGAGACAAUAAUUAUGAGGAGGCAUCAUUUGAAUUCUACAUCAGAAAUAGGGAUUACGAAGAAGAAGAAGAAGCAGAAGCAGAAGCAGAAAAAAUUAUCAAGGUGGAGAGAUGUGGUGUUCGUGUAUUUUACGUGGAUGCAGAGAGGGAAACUAACGCUAUAGAAAUGGACCAAAAGAAGCUUUAGACAUGAUGGUGAAGAAGGGGAUGGAGGCCCUAAACGAUCGAAAUAGUUUUUAUUUCUUUUCAUCUUUGGCUCUGGUUUUCUAGAGUUGCAACUUCUCAAUUAUGUUAUCCAAAUGCAUAGGUAUGGUUUUCAUUUUCAUCUCAUUUUUUCAUAUUAUCAUACAAUUUUCAUUUUUUUUAUUUCAUUUUUCAUGUUGCCAUACUUUUAUUUUUCACAAUUGUUAAAACUAAAUUUUUAAUUUACUUAAUUAAAACAAACCAGAAUGAAGCUAACUUGCUCUACUUUAUAAAUUGCUAGUCAUUUAGAAGGUGCUUUACCAUUUUCGAGAAACUGAAAACUUGUAGUUCCACAUUGUAAAUGUUAAAAGCAUAGUUUAUGAACAUAAAAUGGAAAUUUGUUCUAUAGUUUGUGGUAGUUUCUUCUUAUUAUUUUUCUCAUAUCCAUUCCUCUGUUGUGUCUGUGUUCUUUUGUAGGUAUAGAAUAUAUUGUCUAAGAAGGAAAUUCUCCAUAUUAAUUGAUUUUGAGGAAAAUUGAAUGGCAACUGGAGAGAUUUCAAUACAGUAGCAAAAAGAUCCUGCUUUGGAGCUGAUAAAAUAUUCAUAAACAGCCCAAAUUAAUAGGAUCGUACUCAAAUAUAUAUGUAAUUAGCUCAUAAAAGUAUGUCAUUUUAGAGUAUUAUCAAUAGGGGUUAUUGGUAGGUGACCAAAUUUAGAUAUUAAGAUUCAUACUUAAAUUAUUCAGCCUCAUUGUUUAGUUGCUAACGUCAUUGUUGGUGUUAGAACAGAAUUAGACAAGUUCAGCUUGUGUCUUGUGCAACAAGCCUCGAUGCUUGCUGAGCAAACAAACGAAUUCGAGCAGAAGAGAAGAAGAAAAACUAAGGAAAAAAUGGAGAGUAUUUGAUGAACAAAAAUGAUUCAUUCAUUUUUUGAAUAAUGGCACAAUGCCAAUACAUAUAACCAAGCACUAAGCUUGUCAAAAAACAGUAAGUAAUCACCUAAACAUUACCUACCUCCACUAAUUACAUAGAAACUUGAAAUUUAAACUUGUAAACUGGAACAAAGCUGUGUUUACAGCUCACACUCUAGCUAAGUACAUCAAUCAUAGACCUAACUUAGUUAGAAAUGAACUAAGACAUAUUUUAUUAACUAAAGUUUACAAAAUGAACAAAAUAAGCUUGCAUCAGCAGCUCCUGCAUGGCUUGGUCUUCUUGCUGUCGAGUGUUUGCUGCAUGCUGACCAACUUCAUCACUCCUCAUUGGUUGCAAACACCUAAUUUCCUUCUUAGACACUCAAACCUUGUGACAUUAAGGGCUUUAGUUAAAAUGUCUGCAAGUUGAUCCUCUGAAUUGCAGUGAAUCAAUAUCACCUCCUGUGCUUGCUUCAUUUCUCGAACAACAAGCAACUUAAUGCUAAAAUGCUUUGUUCUUCCAUGGAACAGUAGAUUUUUGGCAAUUGCAACAGCAGAUUGAUUGUCACAGAAAAUUUCUGUUGCUUCUCUUUGCUGAAAAUUCAAGUCAAUCAAGAUUUUCCUUAGCUAAACGGCUUGGUUGACAGCACUUGCUGCUGCCACAUACUCUGCUUCAGCAGUAGAUUGAGCCACCAGGCUUUGCUUCUUCGAGCUCCAGCAGAACAUGGCUGAACCAAGGUUGAAAGCAUACCCUGAGGUGCUUUUCAGAUCAUAUAUCGAGCCAGCCCAGUCACUAUCAGUGUAGCCUACCAGCUUCAAAUUUCCUUCUUUGCUGUAUCUCAGACCAUAGCCCAAAGUACCCUUGAUAUACCUAAGCACUCUUUUUGCAGCCUGAAAAUGUUUCUCAUUGCAGCAAUGCAAGAAUCUUGAGAGCAAUCCUACAGCAUACAUUAUGUCUGGUCUAGUGGCAGUUAAGUAUAGCAAGAAACCAACUAGACUUCUGUAGGUAGUUUCACAAACCUUCUCAAAAUCACCUUGGCUUGAUAGCUUCUCUCCAAAAGCAACAGGUGUCUUAGUUGCCUUGCUGUUUUGCAUGGAGAACUUAGUCAGAAUCUUUGUGGCAAAGCUUUUCUGACUUAGGAAUAUCCCAUUCUGAUUUUGUGACACCUCCAUUCCAAGAAAAUAGGACAUCUCUCCUAGAUCAGACAUUUUAAACACCUCUUGCAUCUUGGUCUUGAAAUCGACCAGCAUUGUUUAAUCUCCUCUUGUCACUAGCAGGUUAUCAACAUACAGGGACACAAUGAGCUGUGUUUGUGCCCCUUCUUUCUUAACAUACAAUGUUGGUUCACUCUUACUUCGAUCGAAUCCCAAAUCAAUGAAGUAGCCAUCAAUUCUGUUAUACCAGGCCCUUGGGGCCUGUUUCAAGCCAUACAAGGCUUUCUUCAGCUUGUACACCAUCUGUACCUUCCCAGCUAUUUCAAACCCUUGUGGUUGCUCAACAUAGAUGUCUUCCUCAAGAAUUCCAUUGAGAAAGGCUGACUUUACAUCAAGCUGGUGAAUUUUCCACUACAUUUGUACAGCUAAGGCAAUCAACAGCCGUAUGGUGUCAAUCCUGGCCACUAGUGCAAAGGCCUCCAGGUAGUCCAGGCCAUAUUUCUGACUGAACCCUUUGACAACCAACCUUGCUUUCAACUUGUUCAAGCUUCCAUCAGCAUUCUGCUUGGCUUUGUACGCCCAUUUCACUCCAAUAACCUUCCUUUUGACUGGUCUUUCAACCAAUUCCCAAGUCUGGUUCUUCUCAAUCAUGUUGAUCUCCUCAGCCAUUGCCUUCUUCCAUCCUUGCUGAGUUUCAGCCUCCUCAAAUCUACUUCGUUCAGCUAUGGCUACAUGAGCCCUUUCAUAAAUCUCAGCCAAUGGUCUUGUUCCCCUGACUGGUUCAUCAUCGAUGUCCAUUUCAGGACCAUUUUGGUCUGGCUCAGCUUGAUCUGCUGCAAGUUCUUCUGAAACUUCAUCAGGUUCAUGUCUUUCCCAGUUCCAACAUGACCUUUCAUCAAAUACCACAUCCCUGCUGACUGACACUUUGUUUGUUGAAGGAUCCAAGAUCCUAUAGCCCUUCUUGACAGUGCUGUAGCCCACUAAAAUACCAGGUCGAGCCCUUUCAGACAACUUGUCCCUUUUAACAGCAGGUACAUGUGCAUAACAAAUGCAUCCAAAGACCUUUAGAUGAGCCAGUGAUGGUUUGAGUCCAAACCAGGCCUCGAAUGGAGUCUUCUGAGCCAAAGCCUUAGUUGGAAGCCUGUUUUGAAUGUAGGUUGCAGUGUUAACUGCCUCUGCCCAUAGAGCUUUAGGUAGAUUCUUCUGAAUCAUCAGGCACCUAGCCAUAUCCAUCAGGCUCCUAUUCUUUCUUUUACUUACUCUAUUUUGCUAGGGUGUAUAUGUGUUGCUAAGCUGAUGUUUGAUGCCUGCCUUAUCACAGAAGGCUUGGAAUUGAGCUGAGGUGUACUCAGUCCCAUUAUCAGACCUUAUGGUCUUCAGCUUGCAACCUGUUUCAGUCUCAGCAGCAGUCUUAAACUUCAAUAACACAAAGGCCACCUCUAAUUUCUGUUUCAAGAAAUAAAGCCAGCAAUAUCUCGAGAAAUCAUUAAUGAACAGUAUAAAAUACUUAUUUCCACUUAAUGACUCAGUCUUCAUGGGGCCACACACAUCAGUAUGCACCAAUUCCAGUCUUUCAGAGGCUCUCCAGGCUUGAUUCGAGGGAAAUAAAAGUCUGGCCUGCUUGCCUAGCUGACACACUUCACACACCUCUUGGUUUUAAACUGAAUUUAUGAAAUUUUCAACCAAACCACUCCUGGACAUGUGCUCCAUUGAUUUGUAGUUGGCAUGACCAAGUCUUUGAUGCCAAAGCUUGGAUUCAUCUAUUGUAGCCAUGUAGGCAGUGUCUGAUUCCUUUGUCUAGUCAACCACAAAGCUUUUAUCAGCCAUAGAGACUGCCAUCAGCUUGGAUCUACUUGGAUCACUGAUUUGGCUCUGAUUAUCGUUGAACACCACAGAAUACCCUUUCUCCAACAAUUGAGCUAUGCUGAGCAGGUUUCUAUCGAUUCUAGGCACCAAAAGCACAUUUGAAAUAACUUUGGCACCUGUGGGAGUGCAUAUCAGCACAUCACCCUUGCCUUCAGCUUUUAUGAAGUGGCCAUUACCAAUUUUAACUUUGGUUCUGCAGCUUCUGUCCAAUGACUUGAAGAUUGCAACAUCAGGUAUCAUAUGGUUGGUGCAUCUACUUUCUAGGAGCCAACCAGUUGAGAGCCUUUUUUGUGCAGCUGAACAUGACACAGCAAAGACUUGCUCCUCUUGGUCACUAUCUUCCUUGGCUACUCGAGCCUCAGCUUUUAUCUGUUGAGACUGGUUCUGUCUUGGUUUGCCAUUGCUUUUGCAGACCCUUUCAACAUGACCCUUCUUUUUGCAAUGUUGGCAUACAGCAUCUGGAUUGAACCAGCAGUUUUCUUUUAGAUGAUCAGGCCUUUUGCAGUGCUUGCAAGUCUGACCUUCUUUUCUUGCAGCAUCAUACCUUGGCUUGUCUCUCCUGGCCUUCUUGCCUUUGUAGGCAGUAUUUGUUUUUGCCUGAAAGGCACCUUCUUGGUGCUCCUCCAGUCUGCUUGCUCUCCUCUGCUCUUGAGCAUAUAGAGCAUUGAUCAACUCUGUAAAAAGAAUGUUGGUCAGGUCCCUUGAGUCUUCGAGGGAUGAGAUUUUUGCCUCAUACCUCUCGGGCAAAGUUGAAAUAACCUUUUCCACUAUCCUAGCUUCAUUAAACUGCUCUCUAAGGAGCCUAAUGCUGUUAACUACAGCCAUAAUCCUGCCAGAGUAUUGCUUGACAGUCUCUUCUUCCUUCAUCUUCAAAUUCUCGAACUCCCUUAUCAAAUUCAACAACUGUUGCUGCCUUGUCCUCUUUGUCCCUUGAAACUCUUCUUUCAACUUGUCCCAGGCCUGCUUUGGUGAUUCACAAGUCAUAAUCCUUGUGAAAAUCACAUCAGACACUGAGUUCUGGAUGCAAGACAUGGCCUUUUGCCUCUUGGUCCUCUUAUCAGUAUGCUGCCUGAUCUGAGCCACUGUUGGAUUGGCUCUAAGUGGCUCUGGUUCAACAUCAGAGUUGACCACCUCCCACAGAUCGAAAGCCUGUAGGUAAGUCUUCAUUUUGACCACCCAUAUGUGAUAGCCUUCUCCAUUGAAGACUUGUGGUGCAGCUGGUGAAAAGUUUGAUGAAGCCAUUCUUUGAAUACCAGGUCCCUUAAGAAAUAUGCUCUAGAUACCAAUUGUUGGUGUUAGAACAGAAUCAGACAAGCUCAGCUUGUGUCUUGUGCAACAAGCCUCGAUGCUUGCUGAGCAAACAAACGAAUUUGAGCAGAAGAGAAGAAGAAAAACUAAGGAAAAAAUGGAGAGUAUUUGAUGAACAAAAAUGAUUCAUUCAUUUUUUUGAAUAAUGGCAUAAUGCCAAUACAUAUAACCAAGCACUAAGCUUGUCAAAAAACAGUAAGUAAUCACCUAAACAGUACCUACCUCCACUAAUUACAUAGAAACUUGAAAUUUAAACUUGUAAACUGGAACAAAGUUGUGUUUACAGCUCACACUCUAGCUAAGUACAUCAAUCAUAGACCUAACUUAGUUAGAAAUGAACUAAGACAUAUUUCAUUAACUAAAGUUUACAAAAUGAACAAAAUAAGCUUGCAUCAGCAGCUCCUGCAUGGCUUGGUCUUCUUGCUGUCGAGUGUUUGCUGCAUACUGACCAACUUCAUCAGGUGCUCACAUUACAUGAUUUCAUGUUAAUUAGAAAGAUUGGUUUCUCUUAUAACCUAUGCUUUUAUGUUGAUUUAGGAGUAGGUGUUUCCUAUUUGUUGUGAGAUUCGAUACUCAACAGAACUUGCAGAUUAUGGAUGGUUCUGAUAUCCUCUUUCUCACCAACAAAACAAGUUCCCAUGAAAUUUCUGGUAUUAAAGUCAAGUUUGUGACCAAUGCAAAAUAUUUUUAGCCAAUAAUGAGUUGGAGUUUUAGCCAUAUAAGGAGGAACACCUAAGCUGUAAGAGCUUCAAUUUCUUUUACUUGAUGCUUAUUUUAUUUAUGUGUUUGAACUGAUAUUUUGAGACAAUGCAAGUUGUCAACAGAUUUGCCUUAUUGGUCUAUUCAUAUGAUGGUUCAACGCAAAAUUGAAGGAAUCUUUUGAAUACCUUUUCUGGGCUCUGGCAAUUCAGUCUUGGUGGAGAAGUAAGUUACCUUUGACUUAUUAUUAUGAUUUUAGGUUCAUCUAAUGCUUAUUUUUUCUAGAUUUAUCAAAGAAAUUCCGAGAGUUGCUCGUAUCUCAAAUCUUGUGGUAUGAACACAUGGAGCUGGAGGCAAGCGUUUGACGGCCAUCAUUCUCAAGUUGGAUUGGUGAGCUUAUGUUUAUCCCAUUGAGGAACCCAAGAAGAUACUGGAAAUAUAUUAAAUGAUUUGAGUUUAGUUUGAAGUGAAGAGCUGGUUCCAUGGUAGAGCCAUUGGAAUUGAUAUUUUCUUAUCUUGGAUUUUGAUUAUCAGAUCAGUUGGGGCUGAAGUCUCUUUGUAUGUUAUUGCCUUUCAAGUUGUUUAAGCAGCAUUGUGGCGAGGAGAUAUUAAGAUUCAUGCUUUAUUCUUUUCAGCAGUUGACUCCAUAGGAUCAAUGGAGGACUUCAUUCAGCUUCAUUAAAAAGUAGAUAAUUAAUCAUCUGGUAUCUCAAUAAACUCAUUGCAUUUUCCUUCAAUGAUAUCUUGAUUCGUUGAUUUAUGAUUCAUGUCUAUUUAUACUGGAAUUGCAGUCGCAGAUUAAGGUUGGGUUUGAUAUGAUAUCUUCUUUCUUACCAACAAAUACAAGUUCCACUAAAUUUCUAGUGUUAAUGUAAGGUUGUGCCCUAUGCCUAAUCUUUUUUUAUCUCACUUUAUAGAUGUGCUUUUUACUUGCAGAGUUUAAAGCAAUGUAGUAUAAGUGUUGAAGCUGGCCAGCAUGCUGCCAUGAUGCAACAGGAAUAGCCCAAGCCACGCAGUUGUUGCUGAAGAUCAAGCUACUGUUUUGUUUUGUUUUGUUUCUUAAAGUGAUGUUUUGUAACUUAGUUGAAAUCAAACUAAGUUGUACUUGCUGAUUAGGUGCUGAUAAGUUGAUAAAUCAGUUUACCUAUGUGUACAAGUCAUGUUUUGUAAGUUACAAUGCAAUUAGUGGGGUUAGAUAGUGUUUAGGUGUUGAUUUGCUUGUGCUGACCAGUUCAUGUCUUGUAUUUGUAUUGGCUUUAAGCUAUUGUUCAUUUUAAUGAAAAAUUAUCAAGCAAUUGUUUAUCAUAUACUCUCUCAAUUUUAGUUUCAUUCUGGUGCUCCAAAGCCAAAUUCUGUCAUUGAUUGUUCUGCAAGUCCCGAGCCUUAUUGCUCAAGAAACUGUUCAGCCAAAACCUAGAGAUUAAGCUUUGACUUUUUAAAUAUGCUACAGUGAAGGGAAUGAAGAUGUCAGUGAUUGGUUUAAGAAAAGCAGAUGAGGAAACAGAGUCAAGACGACAUUAAUGGCAGAUGAGUAAGCUUCUAAUUUCUUCUAUUGAGUUAUUGCCAUAUAUUUGUGGUUGAACUGAGACGUCGAGGCUGUGUUACAAUUUGUUAACAGAUUGUCCUAGUUGAUAUCAUUCAACUUUGCUUCAAUGCUUUCUGGUUGUUGGAGCUUUGGAGGAGCCAUAUGCUCUUGCCAAUUUAGCCUUCCCGGUGAGCUUAAUUACCUUUCUUUCAUUGUCAUCUUUUACAACCCUCAUGGCCAUCUGAUCUUUUAAACACAAAUGAUUUGGGUUUAGUUUGAGUUGGUUUCAAGGUAGAGCCAUUUGACUUCAUUAUCAUAUCAGUUUGGGAUGAAAUUUGAAUUAAUUUUCCGUUUUUUUGUAUUUGAGAUUAUCAGAGAUUGAACUUUGAUUUGAUUUUUGUGAUUAAAAUUCCGGAGUUUUACUAUCUUUUUGGAUAGAAAGGAUGAAUACUGUAAUUGGCAAUCAGGGACUUUAGUCACUAAGCAUUAACUAUUCUAUCACCUUAUGUUCUUCAUAUAAUUUGGAUUUAAUCCAUUUGGUUCAUGCAUUCAUUUUUAUGAGCUUCGAAACUUUUGUCUUUACAGUCACUUUCUCUAAUCCUAAACUAUGAUUUUACUACAAGAGAAAACACAAAUUAUACUACUCUGAUUAUUUUAUAUUGCAUUAUUUACACAAAUCUAUAGGUGUUGAUCUUAGCUGAACAUGUUAUGCGGUUGCAGUGUGGUGUUUGUGUCUUGAAACAAACGAUGCGAUUUUCCAUAACUAUUUGCUGCAUAUGGUGAUUCUUCGUUGUGAAUUUACAGUCACUGUUUUGGGAGAAUGAUGUUAAGGGGGUGCCGGAAUUCCAGCAGUCGUAAAACGUUGUGAAUUUACAGUCACUUUUGGGGACGUAUCCGAGUUAAUCAAUUGAUCCUUCAGGUGAAAGAUAUUGAUUUUCGUAGAUGUCUUGCCAAGGCAUAUCAGCCAAGGACGGCGUGGAUCGAAUUUUAAUGUUCAUGGCAUUGUAUUUAUUGACAUUACAUUAUGUUGCAUUGUUGUUUUUUGUUUUACGUGUUGCUUGGAAGCUCCGACUCAAGUUAGCAGUUGAAGCCAUUGAGGCUUUAUUUUAAGGUUUACACUUUGUUUCCUUUAUUUUAUAUGAUCUUCAAACGAUGUUUAAUCAAAUAUAUUCCACUUGAUUGUAAACUUCAUUGUAUUAAACUUAAUCAUUUCCAUUAGAUUGUAAAAUUAGGCAAUCUUAUGAUGAUAGGCAGCAGAGUUAAAAGGCUUUUCAAAAGAUAGAAUCUGAUGGGUUUGUAAGGUCCGUACGCACAUUGAGUGAUAGAUAAUUGGGUAAGCUUAAGUUUUCAUUUUCUUGCAGAGCAAUAGAAACCCAUCAAAUAUCUAAAUAAUUAGACACUGUAAAGACUUACUAAAUAUCACACAAGGGAUCAAAGUAUAUAUAAGCUCUCAAGUGUAGGCAAAUCCAAAUAUUUAUUUGCUUUUAAGACUUACUAAUCUAUAACAAUGGUAUCUCCUAUUGAUCUUGAUUACAUCAAGCUCUAAAUCAGUUGCUAAGCAGUUUAGGUGAAUUCAUGUUUAAUUUGUCUUGAUUUAACAAAUUCAGACUGCUACAUUUGUGUAAAUAUGUAAAUGUUAAUGCUAAAUUUGUUGAUUUUUUAGAAUUAAGAUCAAAUUUACAAAAAUGUAAACAUUGAGGGCUAAAUUUAUUGUUAUACCAAUCAAAAUUAUGUGAAUUUGAUAGAAGACAUUAACUAUCGAUGUAGUUAAAUGUCCUUAUUCAAUUUUCAAAAAUUAUUUGUUGCUCACUUUCAAAAUUAACAAAGAUUAAAUUUCUCUUCUUUUAAAGGGAUCAAUUUAGUCAAUUUUGAAAUUAAGAAAGACUAAAGAAGUCAUUUUACCCAAACUUGCCUUCCCUAUGUUAGAAAGGACUAACAAAGAAAAUCUAUCAUUAUUUCACCUUGGAAAAUAGAAACACAACGCCCUUCCUUCCAAAGACUUUUUAUUUAGGGGAAAAAAGUGAAAAUUAUUCUUCAAGAAAGUGGUAGGAAAUUUAAGUUCAAUUCACUUAAAAUUGUCUAAAAAAGGCAAUUAUUCUUAAGAAAGUUUUACAAAAUUUCAGUUCAAUUGACCCAAAUGCAAAAAUGUGUUAGCCAAAAUGAAAUUCAUGAAUGGUGACAAAUUUUUUUGAAGUUAUACGUUUGGUUACGAAAUCAACUAAUAUAUAUUUUCGUAUAGAUGAUUUACUCAUAGUAACAUAUUAAAUAGGCCCUUAACCUUUAUCACAUUAUCUAAAUAAUCUUGUGUACUUUUAUCAUACCCCACAUAAGCCUUUAAACUUUAUUUGUUAUCCAAAUAACUUUUAAUUUUUAAUUUGUAUCUAGAAAAGUUUUAAUCUUAACAAUUUUGUCCCAUUGGAAGACCUUGACUUGGAAUUAACACCCAUCAUCAUCAUCAUCAUGGUCAUUUGGAACAAGUUUUCUUGUUGGUCAAAACUCCCUUUCUUCUUCUUCAUCAAAGCCCACAACACCAGAAGGCUAAUACAUAGACCUUGACUUGGAAAUUAACACCCAUCAUCAUCGUCGUCGUUUGGAACAAGUUUUCUUGUUGGUCAAAACUCCCUUUUAAUACUCUUUCAUGCCUUCUUCUUCAUCAAAGCCCACAUCACCAGAAGGCUAAUACAUAGACCUUGACUUGGAAAUUAACACCCAUCAUCAUCGUCGUCGUUUGGAACAAGUUUUCUUGUUGGUCAGAACUCCCUUUUAAUACUCUUUCAUGCCUUCUUCUUCAUCAAAGCCCACAUCACCAGAAGGCUAAUACAUAGACCUUGACUUGGAAAUUAACACCCAUCAUCAUCGUCGUCGUUUGGAACAAGUUUUCUUGUUGGUCAAAACUCCCUUUUAAUACUCUUUCAUGCCUUCUUCUUCAUCAAAGCCCACAUCACCAAAAGGCUAAUACAUAGACCUUGACUUGGAAAUUAACACCCAUCAUCAUCGUCGUCGUUUGGAACAAGUUUUCUUGUUGGUCAAAACUCCCUUUUAAUACUCUUUCAUGCCUUCUUCUUCAUCAAAGUCCACAUCACCAGAAGGCUAAUACAUAGACUUAAGGCUUAAAAUAUGGUUCUUUAUAUAAACUCAAAAUCUUUUUGCCUUUGUUUUUCUAAAUAAUGUGAAAUAUGGGCUUUUAUAUAGAUUCAUAAUCCCUUUGUGCUUUGUUCUUAAGCAAUACGAGAUUUAUUAUCCUUUUAACUAACAAAAGAUUUAAGUUAAACUUGGUUUUUAAAAAUUAACAAUAAUAGUUAAACUAUGCACAACAAUAAACACAAAUAAAAUAUAUUAAAUGGUGAUUAUAAGUUGAUGUUGAAAUUCAACACUCCCCUCAUCACCAACUUAUUUUAAAAUUAACGUGUCAUUUGAAAUAAGGGCUAAUUUAAACACAGAUAAAAACAUAGGGGUUUAUUUGGGUACAACAAAAGUAAACUAGUUCAAGGACUCUUUUAACAAUUUAACCAUUUGCUGAACAUUGUCCCAUUGGAAGACCUUGACUUUUGUGGGUAAAAUAUACAAAUAAAGAAGACUGUCAUUUCCUGGAAAGUGUGAAAGUGACAAUUUUCUUGACUCAGAUAAUUAGCUAAUCUCCUCCACUCGUUGCCUUUGUUAAAUCUCAUUUUCUCAUUGUCAUUUAAUUCUAGAAUACCAAAGCUCCCUUUGUGUACUUUCCUCUCUCCUUCCCAUCUUCUUCUGGUCAAAUGAUGCGUUAAGUUUUCUUAACCUUUGAGGUGAAGACACAUGCCUUAACUCAAAAUUUAUUUUCUCAUAGGUUCUAGUAUGAUAAAAUUAUCGUGACUUUAAUAAAAUUAGAAUUUAGUUGAGAAAAUAAUUUAAUUGAAUGAAUGAAUUAAAUUUAUUUUAAUUAAUUAUAUAAAUAAUAUUUUUACAAUGAAAACUUGAUAUUGGGUUGGAUAAUUAAAUGAGUUGAUUUAAGUUUAUAUAGACUUGAUCAUGGGUCGAGCCGGUGCAAAAUUUUAGGCCCAUUUUCUAAGCCCGGCCUGACCUACCCGUAUUAAUUUCUUUAGAUUGUUUUUAUGUAAAGAUAAAUUUAAAAAAUAUAAUACAUCAAAUACACUAAAAAUAUUAAAAUAAAUGUUUCUCAAUAAAUUAAAAAUAUAUUUUUAAAAUAAAUAUUUAUACUUAAAUAAUACUAAUACAGUUGCAACUCAACAAUCAAAUGUUUUUAAAUAGUAGCAAAAUUAACAAUAAAACAAAAAAUUCAAUAUCCAAACAAUAACAAUAAAAUAUUAACAAUACGAUAAUAAAAUUGUAACGAAACAACAAUAUAACAGCAGCAAACAACAACAGAAAAGAAAUAGUCAAAUUCGAGCUGGGUCAAAAUAUCUAGCCCAAGACCCGAGCUAUUUAGGAAAUGUGCCAAUAUUGGUAAGUUGAAUAAUAUUUUACUCAACAUUUACGUUCUAACACAUAAACUAUUAUUUUCCAGCUUUUAAAUUAAUUGCCAAUGAUAGAAAUAUGAAGUGCUUUAAUUAAUUAAAACCAACCAGAAUCACAUGCUCUACAAAUAGCUUGUGAUUUAUUCUUUGGUGCAUUAUCAACUUACCUUUUUCCUUAUGCAUUUUACAAGCUAUAUGUACGGUUGUGAUGCGCAACUUUUGUGGAACUUCCAUGAAAAUUCAGCCCAGGGGUGGUAGCUGCUUUGAUUUAUCCAAAUUCCUACAUAUGUAGCUUCGAGGAAGCAAAGAAGGUUUAUUAGUCAUUUUGAAAUUGGUGUCAAAAGCAAAAGCAACCCUUUUUUUUUCCUCAGCCAAUAAAAAUAUUUUAUUAAUAAGUCUUUAUCACCUCACCAAAAAAAAAGUGAGUUUCCAUGCUUUGGUGCAUUAUCAACUUUUACUUGUCCUUAUGCAUUUUGGAACAAUAUGUAUGACUGUAAUAUGCAGAUUUUCUUUGUAAAUUCAGCGAAAAAACAAAAGAAAAAAGGCGAAGAUUCUUGACAUCUUUGUAGCAUAUUUUUUUUGCAAUCAAUGAAUUAAAAUAAGACAAUUUUUAAUCUCACUCGUGGCAUUAAAAUAAAAGCUCCACUACAAAUGCUGGUGUACGACCUAUUUUUCACAUUUAUUAAAAGAGGAUUACAUUUUUAAUUUGAUUCUAAAUAGGGCCUUAUUUUAUAUUAUUAUAAUAGUCCAAACUAAUUUGGGCAUCAAUAUUUUGUGCUUUGAAAUUUACUUAAUAUCCAUCAACUAGAUUUGGUUACAAAAUCAACUUGUAACUUUUUUUUUCCUAUAGAUGAUUUGCUUAGACUAAUAUACUAAAUAAGUCAUAAGCUUUAUUCAAUUAAGCUCUUAAAAUUUUAUGGGUAAAUUAUCUCGUUAGUUAUUUUAAAUAAGGGUCAUUCCUAUUUUGGUUGCUCUAAUAUUUUUGUUAAUUUGGUAAUCCAAAAGGGAAAUUGAUCACUCUUCUGUAAAACGAUAAUGGAAUAUUGAUUGUGUAUUUCCAUAUUAGUCAUGCUGAAAUUUUUAUGAUGGAAGCAAUUUUUGUUUUAAAAAUUCACGUCAGUAUUUCAAUUGGAAUAAUUAAUAGUAAUAUUUACUUGGAUUAAUUGAUGAUAUUAUUGUAGUAAAGGAUCAAAUUAUUCCAUUUUAAAGUAUAAAAAUAAAAAUAUAAAUUUAGGAAUAAUAAUAGGACCAAAACAAAAUUUUAAUUGUAAGGACUAAAUUAUAAAAUCUAGAAAUUUUAGAAAAGGGACUGUUUUGUAAAAUUGUACAAAAAGAGGUUUAGAACUGAACUGCAGAAUAAUAAAAUCUAUUUUUGAGGAAUUAAAUUGCAGAAUAGUAGAAUUUUAGAUUCCAGGGACUAAUUCGUAAAAAUAUAAAAUUGAAAUAUGAGGGACUAUUUUCUUCGACAGUGAAGAGACCUUUCCUUUUGUUGCUCUAAAAGCUUCUCCUUUUUGUUUCUUCGACAGUGAAGAUAGUCAAUAUAGUCUUAUUAGUUUGGAAAAUGUCUUAUGGAAAAAAAAAUUGGUAAGAUAUUUUCCUUGAAAAUGUCUUGAUUUUACAUUUUUUUUCAAGAAUGAUUUCCUUUAGUAAUUCAUUUUCCACCAAAUAUAGACGGUAAAACAAUGAAAAUAUUUUACAUACAAACAAAUAGACCAUUAAUUAGAAAAUCGAUUCGAUUCUAUAUUUAAAAUAAAUGUUGGCAAGCAUAUUUGUUGGUAAAAAAUCUAUUAGACUCUCUGAUCAAUUUUGGCAUUAAGCAAAUUGGAGUCGCUUAAAAAAAUCGAAGCAAUUUAAAUCCCAUCAGUUUCUACAGUGAGUAAUUAAGGAUAAUUAAUCACAACAUUGAUGUUUUCCAUCAAAUGUAAAUAAUUUUAAUUGGUAUAAUAACAAAUUUACCCCUCAAAGUUUACAAUUAUAUCACUUGUCUUGAUUUAACAAAUUUAGCCAGCAAUAUUUGUGUAAAUGUUUAUACUAAACUUGUUGAAUUUUCAGAAUUAAGACCAAAUUGACAAAAAUGCAAACAUGGCUAAAUUUUUUGUUAUAUCAAUCAAAAUUAUGUACAAUUGACGAAAAAUAUUAAUGUCGUGAAUAAUUGUUCUUUGUUGCUCACUUUUGAAAUUAAGAAUGAUUAAAUUGCUUUGAUUUUUUUGAGAGGGACUAAUUUAUUCAAUUUCAAAAUUGAUAGAGAUUGGAGAUAUAUUUUUACGCAAACACACCUUACCUUUGUUCAGAAGAAAGGACUAAACAGGAAACCCCCAAAAGCACAAAGAAAAUCUAUCAUGGUUUCACCUAAGAAAAAUAGAAAUACAACAUCCUUCCUUCCAAAGACUUUUCAUUUAGGGGAAAAAAGUGGCGAUUAUUCUUGAGAAAGUUGUAGGAAAUUUAAGUUGAAUUCACCUAAAAUUGUCCAAUUAUUCUUAAGAAAGUUAUACCAAAUUUCAGUUCAAUCGACCCAAAUGACAAAGUGUGUAAAAGUCAAUAUUUUUUGUUAGAAAAUUUAUAAGAAAUUUUAUCACAACCCAAAACGAAAUUCAAGAAUGGUGACAAAUUUUUUUUUUGAAGUUAUACGUUUGAUUACAAAAUCAAUUAAUAUUUACUUUUUGUAGAGAUGAUUUAUCGCAUUAUUUAAAUAAUCUCUUGUACUUUUAUCAUACCCCAAAUAAGCCUUUAAAGUCUAAAUAACCCUCAAGUUUUUUACCUGUAUCUAGAUAAGUUUUAGCAUUCAAUUUAUAGGAAAAUAUUUAGUAUAUUGAUAAUAGAGGUUUUAGACUUCACAACUUGACAAAUUUUUAUCAGUAAAAACUCAUCGGCUAUGCUUCACCCUUUCAAUCUCAUUCCCAUUUAACUGACUCACUUUUUCUUCUUACCAUUACAAAAAUAGAAGCAAAAGCAAAGCUCCCUCAGUUUAUUUUGUUCUCUUUUCCUCAAUCUCACAAUCCACUAUCUGUUUUGCCCUUUGCUCGAUUUCGUAAUCUUCUUCGGGUUUUGCCUAUCGAGAAGAUGAGUGAAUGUUAGAGUAUAGAUAAAGACUCUAUUAGUUUAUUAGUUGUUAGUCUGUUAUACAAGCAGUUAUGCUGUUAACUGAAAUUGUUAGUAGCAAUUACUCAUACACAUAUUAUCAAUACUAUUGUUAUACUGGUUAAAUUCAAGAUAAUAAUACAAAAAUCAUUCUCUGCAUAUUCUAUUUUUCUUUCAACUUAAUGUAGAUAUUAACAUAAAGCAAGGUUGUGCCGUAUGCCUACUUUUUUAUUGUCUUACAUUAUAGAUGUGCUUUUUACUUGCAGAGUUUAAAGCAAGGUAGUAUAAGUCAGCCAAAACCUGGGGAUUAAGCUUUGACUUUUUAAAUAUGCUACUAUGAAGGGAAUGAAGAUGGCAGUGAUCGGUGUAAGAAAAACAGAUGAGGAAACAGAGAGUCAAGAGGGAAUUAAUGGCAGAUCUUUGGAAAGGCCAUUAUGCUUGGAAUUUUAGCUAUUCAAAAAGAGAGGGAAUGAAGAUGGCAGUGAUCGGCGUAAGAAAAACAGAUGAGGAAAUAGAAAGUCAAGAGGGAAUUAAUGGCAGAUCUUUGGAAAGGCCAUUAUGCUUGGAAUUUUAGCUAUACAAAAAAGAGAGGAAUAAGUAAGCUUCUAAUUUCUUCUACUGAAUUAUUGUCAUAUAUUUGUGGUUAAGCUGAGAUAUUGAGGCUUUAUUGCAACCUGUUAACAGAUUUGGCUUGUUGAUAUCAUUCAACUCUGAUAAUUUUAUAUUGCAUUAUUUACAGAAAUCUGUAGGUGUUUAGCUUAGCUGAACAUGUUAUGCGGCUGCAAUGUGGUGUUUGUGUCUUGAAACAAGCGAUGCGAUUUUCUAUAGCCAUUUGCUGCGUACAGUAAGUCUUCGUUGUGAAUUUACAGUCACUGUUUUGGGAGAAUGAUGUUAAGGGGGUGCUGGAACUCCAGCAAUCGUAAAACGUGGCUGUGAUUCGAGCUAUUAUACUGUGCUUGAAGCUUCGAACUAGAGCAUGACAGUUUCAUUGCGUAUCAAUUCAACCUCAGAUUCUUUGGGGGACGUAUCCGAGCUAAUUAAUUGGUCCAUCAAGUGAAAGAUAUCGAUUUUUGAAAAUGUCUUGCUAAGGCAGCGGCCAAGGAUGGGGUGGAUUGGAUUUUAAUGUUUAUGGAAUGGUAUUUAUUGGCAUUAUACAUUAUGUUGUACUGUUGUUUUUUGUUUACUGUGUUGCUUGUAAGCUGUAACUUUUACACUUGGUUUCCUUUAUUUUAUAUGAUCUUCAAACGAUGUUUAAUCAAAAAUUUUCCACUUGAUUGUAGACUUCAUUGUGUGAAACUUAAUCAAUUUCAUUAGAUUGUAAAAUUAGGUAGUCUUAAGAGUAUAUUGUAAUUUGAUAUUGCUAAUUUUACAUAAAGGUCCAUGGAUAAAUUAUACAUUGCGAAUUCUACAAAUGUUU
rnacentral:lncRNA from 1 species